GAAAGAAAUCAAAUGAUUUCCUUUCCUAAAAUGUAGCAAAGGGUUAUAAAAACCCCUCCUUUUUCUAAUCUGUAACACACAUUUUUGAGAAAAAACACACAUAUAUAAUAAAACACAGUGGUUUAUCGAAGAACAGAGGUAAUAUUGCUUUUAUUUUUUUUAAAUAACAUGCAAACAUCAUUCAAAUAGAUCAGGAUAGAUUUUACCGUUAAAAUCUCUUCGCGGUGUUGAGACGUUUCGAACUCUGACCGCCGUAGACGUUUCGAACUCUGACCGCCCUACAUGGCAGCGUUGACGACGGCGCGUGGGCGCGUGUAUGCCCGAUGAUCGGAGCAUGGCCGGACGGAGGCCAAAGCCUGAAGGGCCUCUCAUCUCUCCUCUUUCAGAGGAUUUUAAAGUUUUUUUUAAAACGGUCUCUAAAAUGAUUUUUUGAAAAAAAAUUGAUUUAUAUAAAGCAAUAGAUACGGUGUCGUUUUGCUUAAGUCCAAUAAACACUGAAACGGCACCGUUGAGGCCAAGAUCCGCGCAUUGACCCGUGACCCGAGGAGGAUCCGCGUGUUUUUGUAAAAUGGGCUAAUUUCCCAAUCAGUCCUUCUGCAUUUUUAAUUUUUAUAAUUUUAUUUUGUUUUCAAUUUAAUUCAGCCCUAAUUUUUUAUAAUUGUUUCGAUUUAGUCCCGAUGGCUAUUAAACUCAUUCUUAGGAACGACGUCGUUUUGGGAUAAGGGUUAAUUGCCCGAUGAGUCCCUCGAUUCUAAUGCGUUUUUUCAAAUAGGCCUAAAUUUUUUUUAUAUUUUUUUAAAUUAGCCCAAAAUUUUAACUGCUUUUAAUUUUAGUCCCAUUAUACUUAUAAACUUAUUUAUUUUAAGCUUUAUUAUUUAUUUGAUGUAUAUUAUUAUUUUAUAUUUUAUAUUAUUAUUAAACAUACUGGAAAUCCAUUUAUUUUAUUAAAUUAUAUAUUAUGGCAUACAUAUUAUUUAUAUUUUAUUAAUAAAUUUUUUUUAUAUAUGUAUUAUAAAUAUAAUAAAAUUAUUUUAUUAUGUAUUAUUAUAUUAUUUUAUAUGGUAUAUAUAUUAUUUAUAUUUUAUUAAUUAAGUAUUUUUUAAAAAAAUGAUAAUUAUAUAUAAAUAAUCAAAUUUUUUUAUGUUAUUAUAUUAUUAUAUGUUUCCUAUAAAUUUUAUAUACAUUAUAUUAUUCUAUUUUAUAUUUUAUCGUACAUUUAUAUUCUAAUACAUAUCAUCAUAUAUAGUUUUAAAAUUUUAUAAAUAAUUAUUAAACAUUAUUUUUAUAUAUUAUUACAUAUUUAAAAGUCAUUUAUUACUACAUUAUUUUAUUAUUUUUAUAUUUUAUGUGUUAUUUUAUUAAUAAGUAUUAUACUAUUUUUAUUAUUUGUUUUCAUAUCAUUUUGUUACUUAUUAUAUUUAUUUCUUAUAAUAUUUUUAAAUUGUAUACUGUAUACAUUUUAUUAUAUAUUUUUAUAUUAUUUAUUAUAUGAUUUAUAUUAUUUAAUUUAUAUUAUAUUUUACCAUAUUUCCUUAUUACCUUUAUUUUAUCAUAAAGUAUACAUUUUUACUUAUUAAUUAUAUACAUGUUCUUAAAGAAUAGCAACAUCUAGUACACUAUUUUUCUUAUAUACUAAGUUAUUAUAUCUAAUAAUAUAAUCUAUAUAUGUAUAUAUUCUUUUAAAAAGGUUCUCUUUUAUUGUUCUUACAUCGUUUAAUAUAUUUCUAAAUAGCUUACUUUUAUAUUUCAUACAUUUAAUUUGCUUAUUUAUUUUUAAAUUCUCUUUUAUUUUGAUAUAGUUUAAUAGGUUAAAUUUUACAUAUCAUUUUAUUCUUGUAUCUAUAUAUUCGCGUAAAAUUAGUUAUUUAUGAUUAUUUAGGUAUAUAUAUUUGCAUAAAAUGUUGUUAUAUAUAUGUUAUACUAUUAAAAUUAUUAUGCUCUAUGUUGUAUUGUACAUGUAAUACUAAUGCAUCAAUAUUUAUGUUAUUUAAGAUAUAUGCCAAGAGAUAAAUGGUGUAAUUUAUGCCAUUAUUUUAAGACAUUAUACUAUAUUUGCACGAAAUGAUAAAGCAUGUACAUUGUAAUUAGAUUUAUUUAGCUCUUUGUAAUAUGCAAAACACAUCAUUAUUUUUAAAACCAAAGUUAUAUCUCACUUAAUUCAAAAAAUGAAUUUUAAAAGUGAGGCAAUGUUUUGAUAUUUUAGAGAUCCGGGAAAUAGUGCCCUAACAUGCUGGGUUGCGAUUUCUUGUUUGUCUAAAUAUCUAAAAUAUCCUUUUAAACAAAUUUUAUAAAUCACGAGAUGAUUUCAGUUAUGAGAGUUUAAGAACAUCGUGUCCUAUCAUGUUGGAUGUGAUGUUUGUAUUCUUUUGGAGCUAAGGAAUCUCGAUUUUUCAACUUAAAUAAUUCCGGUUUUUAAAAAAGGAAUCUUAUUUUUAAAUCCUUUCAAAUUUUUGACAUUAAGACAGAAAUCUAUUCAAUUUGGUACCAAUUGUGGGCGUUGCGAGGGUGCGAAUCCUUCCUCGUACGUAACCGACUCCUGAACCUGUUUUCUUAACUUUCGUAGACAAAAACGUUUUAUAAGGUGAUCCAAUCACACCUAAAAAGGUUGGCGGCGACUCCCGUUUUUGUUUUUCAAAAGUCGAUCCCCGUUUUUCAAACAUCCCUUUAAAAAAUGGUUUCGACACUUAUAUGUUACAAAUAUAUGUAUAUAGAAACAUUGGUUAUAUUGAAAUUUGAAAUGAAACCCUAUUAAUUGUUCGGGCUAAGUCAAAUAUAGAUGGCAUGCCAUAGGAUAGGAAGAGUUCAAGGAUUUCUUCGACUUGGAGUCGAUGAAGCACUGGGAGCUAAUUUGAUUCGGUUUAACCGAUGAGACAUUAGAUGUCAAUUUAUAUAGCACUGAGCGUAGUUAUUACUUCGGAUUUAUCUUAUGAGGCACUAGGUGCCAAACUGGUGUGUUGGUUGGAUUCGUGUAUCCGUCCGAGCCUGAGUCGUGUUAAUAAAUUUAUAUGUUCGAUGUUGAGAUGAAAAAGAUGAGAAAUGAAAUAUGAAAUGAUGAAAUGAUAUGUGAAUUGUGAAUUGUGAAAUGAAAUCAAGUAUUGAUCAAAGAGUUGGAUCAUUGCCUGAGUUGAGAUUAACAAAUGUUAUAUGAAAUGUCAUUGAUAUGUGCUUGAGCAUGUGGAAUUUAGUGGAUGUAAUAAAGAAUGAGUAAAUUUGUAUUAUUGAUUUGAAUCAUAACUGCAUGACAUUUCUUGUUGCAUUCUCACAUUUUGAUUACUUAUAUCAGGUUAAAUUGUUCGAGUUAUAGAAAUACCAUUGGGUUUUACUCAGCAUGUGGUUUUGUUUUUUCAUGCGCAGGUUAUGUACUUUUCAAAUUAUCGUCGGCUCAGAAUCCAACCUUAAUUGCUCAAGUGUGGUGAUAUUUUAUUUUUGUAAUGGCAUGUACCUAGGAAGUCAUUUGUUUGAUGUUGUUGAUAUUUGAUAAUAUUUUUGUUUUUAAGUGGAAUGAUGGUCAUUUGUAUAUGUGGUGGUGAUUGAAGUUGUGUUUUGGUAUGUUUCAUAGUUUAAUAUGUUGGUAUGUCUUUCAGCUUAAAGCUUGAUAGCCUAAGUAGCUAAAAGUUAGCUUUAUAUUGGUAAAUUUGGUAUGAAUGAUAGUUUUGAAUGGUUGAUGUCUUGUUGAUUUGUUUGAAUAUACAAAAUGUGGUCCCAAUGAGGGUAAAUUGGUUAGGCACUUAAGUUGGUUGUUUUGGUAUGAAUUGAGCAUGUUUAAUUGUGUUUUGAUUAGGUUAAAUGGCUGGUGAAAUGGUAGCUUAAUGCCCAAGUAAUCACAAUUAGGUGAACUUGAGUUUUAAGGUACAUUUAGGUACACACGGCCUGGGUCCUGUAAACUCGUAUUUAAGACUGUAUGGGUAAUUUUUACUGUGAUUUUGAAUGAAAUAGCUUGCAUUUUAAUUAUGAUUGAAUAAUUGAUUGAUUUUUUAGUAAUGCCCGUAACCCUUAUUCGACAACGGAGAGGGCUUAGGGGUGUUAUAAUUAUGGUGUCCCUCAUUAUGAGAGCGACGACUUAUCCACUUAGGAUUUUGAUAAAUUUAACACUGUUGAUAUGGAUGCCAUAUUAGCAUAGUUAACCGAGGGAUGAGGAGAGUGGAAGUGUGAGGGUAUAAGAAUCACCCUUUAUCCUUUAAAUAAGCCAUUAUGUUUCCUGGUGUAAAACUGUGGAUGUAAUUUAUUUGCACGUGUAUUAGCCUUUUCUUGACCACUAACACUAUUAAUGUAUUUCGAGCAGCUAUUUUAUAUUGCAUUUUGCAGGAAAAGCGAGGGUGUUCAGGUAUAAAGGUUGGUAUCAAUUUCCCCCACCUAAUCAUAAACUUGUGUCGUCGAACGAGGGUGGAAAUGAAUCCAACAAAGCAAUUCCACCACCCCACUCAGAUUAUCAUCGGAUACUCUAUGUUUAGGCAACUUCAGGAGCUCUAGUGGAAAGAUUGAUGAUGAGCCUACACAGUGGGAACGUAGGCUAGGUAGAGAUGUGCGCUACAACAUGAGACUGCUAGAGGCCAUGAAACCAUUCAUGGAUAGCUUCAUGGCGAUCUAGGGGCAUAGAGCAUAUAAUGGCCCAAAAGAUCGAGCAAUUCAUCUGAGGUGAUGGGGGAUGAUUGGAAGACAAUGAUAAGGUGACAGAGGAUGAUGACUUCACGCCAUAUCAUGAAAAUUUUAAGGGUGUUUUCGCAUCAACGCAACCAUCUAAGGGGAGUCGUUAUCUGUGAACCCAAUAACCGACCCGUGAUGUUUUACAAAAGGUUGAUUGCGAGGCGCAAAGGCAAGGGAAUUGCAGAUCGUGUAAGGGUCCCGAAGAUGUUCAGCAAUGUUACAUGCUUUCGUAAUUUUUAUUUUUAUUUACUUGUGCAGUAUGUAAACUAUUUGAACUACAUUGCUUUUGGACUUUUUUUUUGUUCUUAUCUUUUGUAGUUUGUUUGGUUGUUUUUGCUUUUCUGUGUGUUUGUUCUAUAUGCAGCGAAUUACCUUGAAAGGCUAACUACAUUCGUGAGCUUCAACGAUGAGGUAAACCCCCGAGCUAGUUUGACACUCCAUUCUAGGGAAGUCCGAUAACCUCCAAUCUAUUUUAGGAACACAUUGAGGACAACGUUUAGUCUAAGUGUUUGUAUGUGGGGGUGCACAUAGUUUCAUGUGUUUUUUUUCUUGCUUUUUAUGUUAUUUUAUGUGUUUAUCUUUAAUUUUUUUCCUUUUAAAAUUUUUUUUCAAAAAUUCCAAAACAAAAAUUCAUUUUUAUUUUGUGUAAUUGCAUGGUGCUUGGGCAAUAAUUAAGUAAUAAGUAAGUAGUUGUACAUAUUGAAUAGGUAUAUAGAAUUGCCAAAAUUGUAAAUUUUGAACGAUACUAGAUAAUUUACUAUUCUUAAUUAUAGACUAAUUAGUUCAAUUAGUCAAUGUGUUUAAUAGACUAGAGGCAAUAACCUAAAUAAAAAUGUAUAAAGUGUACCAUAGGAUGAAUGAAAUUUACGGAUCCUUAUAGAUAAAUAAUUUGAAUUGUUAAUUGUACAUUUAAACAGAGGUAUGCUUUAAAGAAUUGGUGUCAGAUGAUUGAUUCGGGAAAGACCCUAGGCAUUGUUUGAAGUAGCCUAGAGCUUAAAAGCUUACAUGUUGCUAUAUACCCUUAGUUCUCCUAUAUUUGAGCCUUGAUCACCCUUUUCUUGUAAGCCUUAAUAUCAAAGCCUCAAACUUAAACAGGUUUAGCACUCAAUCCUUCUCAAUCACGUUCUUUAAAAUGCACUAUGUAAUAGACGUCGAACCAUGGACAUUGAGGGCUAGGUAGAUACAUCAUUGUGGCUUUGUGUGAGAAAAAGAAAAUGAAGAGAUUACGCAAAUUAGUACAUUUUAAAAAAAAAGGGUGAACAAAAGAGUGCAAAAAGAAAAAGAGAGCUAAAUCAAAAUUAAGCUCAAAAAUGAAAAUCUUUUUAUUCACAAUUACAAAGUUUUGUAUGUACUAAUCUCGUGUAAUACCUUCUAACAUUUUGGGAGAAAGAAGAUAGGUGAGGGAAGGAGAAAUAAGGAAGUGAGGUCAUGAAUAAAUUGGGGGCGAGUAGGGAACAAUGUCCUGUGCUUAACCAUUUCUAGUGCUUGAACCCAUUUUUGAGUGCUCAUUGUUAGAAUUCUAAAUUGUCCUAAGCCUCAAAAUGUUACAAGCCUAGAAGACCUUUAGGACCCGACUAAGUCACCAACAUAAUAAUUCAUGAAUAGCUUGCAUUUGUUUGAACAAAUAUGACCAAUUCUUUUUAAAUAUCUGUGAGUGAUCCGCAUAAUUUAUUUUGAUGGAUAAUAGUUGCGCAUAUGUUCUUUCCCAUUGCCUUUAUAUCUAUUGAUAUUUUAACUUAGUGAACUAACUAUGUCUGCAUUAGGAAUAAACAAGUUAGCUGGAUAUCACUCUUAAUUUGCAUGUGAGGUCGUUUUUGUACGAGUUCAAUGUUCUACCGCUAUAUGAAUUAAUUGUUUGAUUUAUCCUAGAGUCGUCUUUUCUUUUGCAUGUUUGGUGUAUUUGCUUGAGGAAAAGCAAAGAGUUAAGUGUGUAGGGAGUUUGAUCUACCGUAAUUUGAUAUGGCAAAUUAAGCUUUCCCGGUAUAUUUAAGGAGCUUAUUAUCAAGCAAAGUAGUAUUUUUUUAGUAGUUUUCUUUUGUAAUUUUUGGAUUUUAAGUUAAUAAUUGUAAAUUCCUUGUUUUUACUCAUUUUGUGAUCCAAUUUAUCCGAUAGUGUCAUUGAGGGACCUAACUUGUGGAUGAGUGGUGUGGGGACAUGUUGGAGGUUGAAAACAACUGAAAUUGACACUAAAGGAAAGGGUAUCGUGAUAUCCAAAUCUUGGAAUCGCAAUACCUCUAGUAGACUUGAAGAUUUUGAGACACCCUUUAGUGGUAUCGCAAUAUCCAUCCUCCAAGAAGAGCCCCAAGUUCAAAACUAAUCAGGGUAUCAUGAUAUCCUCUUUUGGGUAUCACGAUAUCAAUGUGGUGAGGGGAAAAAGUUAGACAAAAAGGGUAAUUUUUGUCCACCCGAUGCACCAAUCACAAAUGGCCCAUGUAGGGGCAAUUUUGGUAACAAAAUUUGAUUAAACAUCAAUCUAAAACAACCAAUUCUGGCUAAGGAGAGAGGAGACACAUUAGUUUGGUUUUUAGCCUUAGUUUCUUUAGGUUUUCUUUUAGUCUUUCUUCUUCUUUUCCUAAGGUUUCUUGUUUUCAUUUCCUUAGCAGUAGAUUUUACAUUUCCUAGUAACUUUUCUUCUUAUUUUAGUUAUUCAUAGUGGUAUUUAAGUUAGUUAUCACUGUAGCUUAGGUUUAUUUGCACUUUUAGUCCUUGUAUAUUGGUUAUAAGACAUUUUCAGAUUUAGUUUAAUGUAUUUCAGCCUUUGUUACUUUAAAUCCUUCAAAGUUUAUUCAUUUUAGGUUUAUAACUUUAGAUUUUCUUGCUAAAUGCUUUUCAUUUCAUGUUCUUUAAGGUUUCUUGCAAAAAAAUAUUAACUUUCAUAUGUUUUUAAGCUUUACUUUCAUAGCUUCUAUGUUUUCAUUUCCAUUGUUGUUAGUUGUAUUUUCAAUAUGAGUAGUUAAACCUUUAAGGCGGUCAGUUGAUGGAGAUAUGAUGAGCUAAUUUUUGGAUGAAGGACCAAAUCAUAAUAAAUUGAAUUAAUUUGAAUGAACCUAAAAACCUAGGAUUGACAUCCCUAAGGGAAAAUCUAAACAAGUGAGACUGAGAGGUAAUCUUGUUGCACAACAAUUUGUUAGUCCCAUAUUACUCGGUGAGAUCUAGAGAUAAACUAAACUAAUUUGUCUAAUUUGAUAUAAUUGGGAUCGAGAGAUAAAAUUGAGUCAGUUUAGUAAAUCAAGCGAUUGGAGCCCCUCAUUUGAAAAUUGGUAACCCACAUCAAAGUCAACCGACCACCGUUAGUCAUUUCUUGGUCAAUUUCAUAGUUUUGUAAUAUUUACAAUUUAUUCCCUAGAGUAACGUAUUUUAUUUUCUUACAACAUUUUCUUGGUAUGAUUUGUUGUAUUAAAAUCGUACCAGUAGCCACCUAGACUCUAGAGUGCGUGCUAAUUAUUACUCAACAGCCAUCUCUUUUGGGUUCGACCCUUUAGAAUACUUCGUGUUCCAUCAAAACUAUAAAUAUUACAACUAACACUGUCCACCUACAUUUAAGGCCCACAUUCCAAAAUAGUUUUCAAAAUCAUUAGUUUCAAUUCGCAUGAAUGCGACUAGUCAUCAUUUCCUCAAUAUGACCAGGUAGGAUGCCUUGAAUAGUGCAAGGAACUCCUUUAGAAGAAAUCUGCAUGGUCAUUGACCCAAAAUUCCAGUUUUUCGAUGAGAGAAGCCAUUGUAUGCCUGGAUUUGCAUCACACCCCUUUAAAGUUAAAACCAUUAAGUCAAUAGUAAAAUUGGCUCCUUGAACCUGCAACUCCGCCUCCUUGCAAGUACCGCUGGUAAACAAGUUUCUUCUAUCAACUAUUAUAACCCUCAAUUGCUCUUGCUGCCAAACUGGUAAAUUUAACAUAGCAACCAACCUUAUGUCCAUGAAGUUACGAGUACUUCCAGAGUCUACUAGAAAAAUGGCCUUAAUUGUCCCUAUGUGAGCCUCAAAUCGCAUAGUAUGAUAACUCUAUGAGCCCUUGAUAGCAUGCAAAGACAUCGCAGGCAUCUAAAAUUGGUCCCUAUCACUAGAAGGAUCUUCUAACUGAUCUGAGCAUUCCUAAAACUCCACAUCAAUAGAAGACUCCAACAACAUCUGAUACAACUAGCUCUGGACACACUUGUGUCCAUUGUGGUAUUUAGUUCCACACCAAAAGAAGAGCCCCCUUUUGUUUCCUUCCAACCAUCAAAGUAGGGAUAAACCCUUUAGAAAGGCCCUUUAACCCUUCAGAUGUAGAAUGAGUGGAUAGGACAAAUGAAGUAGAUUAGACGAAACUAGUUGGUCUAUUAGAGACAGAAGAAAAUGGCAUAGGUGUUUCGACUUUCCUGGCAAUAUGGAAACUGUCUACCAACGUUUGAGGUCUAAAGAGUUGAAGAUAUUGACUAAUUUCCAAUUUCAGAUUACUAACAAAUAUAUUGAAGGCAUAAGACUCAAGCUUUCAAAAGACUUACAAACUGGUCAUGGUAGUGCUCCUUAGAUUCUUGUCGCUUCAGUGUCACCAACUCCACCUUAGGAUCCUUGAAGAUGCUCAACUCAAAUCCCUCUUAAACUGUAAGCAUAACAUGUCCAAUGUAGCAAAUGGAGACCACCAUGCUUCUAGGCAUAGAAAUGGUGCCAAUCGAAUGCCCAACCCUCCAGAUGUAACAUCAUUGUGCACACUUUAUCACAAUCAAGCACUCCUUCAGCAAUGAAAAUAUUGUUCAAGCUUCACCCAUCAGCCCUUGAAAUCCGUACUUAUAACAACCUAAUUUCCGGUGGUGUUAAAAACAGUGAUUCAAGAUCACUAAAUCUGACGAGUGAGUUUAAAAUUUUAAUAAAUUAAUAUUUAUUAGUUAAGUGUGAUUUUAAAAGUAUGCUUGAAUCAGUGAAUUUUGUGAUUUAAAAGAAUUUAUUAAGUAAAUUGGGUAGAAAAUGAGUAUUGAGACCUCGAUUUCAUAAAUCGAGUCGAAAAUAUUUAUGGAGUGUUAUUGAGUUAGUAUUAAAUUUUUGUUAGAAAAUUUUAACGUUUUGAUAGUUAAUUAAUUAAAAAUGACUAAAUUGAAAAAUGUGCAAAACUUGCUAAAAUGAUUAAAUAGCUCAAGUGUUAAAUAAAAGAGGACUUAAAAGGAAAAUUACCCUAAAAAUGGUAGCUUAGGCAGCAUGGACGGAGAAAAAUCAAGAAAUUGAGUGAAAUAAGGGCAAAAUUGGAAAUUUUACAAAUUAAACAAAUAAAACAAAGACUAAAUUGAAAAUCUAGAUAUUUCUUCAUCAUUCUUCAGCCAAAAACACCAUAGAAGAGUUCCUUUUAAGCUGGUUUUUCAUAUUUUUUCACUCUAUAAGUUCAAUUCUUGCCUUUAUCUUAUAUUUUUUGUGUUUUUGAGACUUUUACAAUUAGGUCCAACUAUUGAAUUCAUUAGUUUUUUUAUUCUAUGAGUGAUUUUGAAAGUUACCAUGGAAAGGUGCUGGAAGUUUAUGAUGAAUUAACAUGGAUUUGAAGAUCUAAUUUUAUUAUAUAAUGAUUUCAUCAAGUGAUUUUAGUAUAAAUUGAUUUUUAAGACCUAAUUGUAAAAAGUUAAGAAUUGGGGUUUAGUGUUGAAAUUCUGAUUUUCAAAGGUUUUGUAGUAGUUUAAAAUGAUGAAAUAAAGUGUUAAAGCUCAAUUGAUAGGUUAAUUGAUUAGGGAUUAAAGUGUAAAAAUUGUAAAAUUUUGGGUAAAUGUGUAAUUUCAAAAAUUGAAGGGUAUAAAUUGUGAAGUGGAAUGAGGAUGAAAUAUAUGUGCUAAUGAAUGAAUAAUUUUAUAUUAUAGAUCAAGAUUCCAAAGAAAAUCUAAUAAAAUAUAAAUUAUCCAAAUAGUUCCUGAGCUACAACAAAUUUUACAAACUAGUCUAGGUAAGUUCGUAUGGUUAAAUUUGAAUAUUAUUUAUUUAAUUGAUGAUUGGAAUUUAUGUUUAUUGUUGAAAAUAAAAUUAUUUUUAAACUAUGUAUAUAAAAGUGAAAGUUUGAAGCUACCAGAACGCAGGAUUAAGUAUAUUCGUUCAGUGCAAGAAAAGAAUUGACGGCAAAUUACCCAAGUAAACUGAGGUUCAGCUUUGUUGCGAACUUCUGUGUUUGCUUUCCGUUUAGCUCACAUGAGCUUUAGUUAACUCGUAUGAUUUUCAGUUUAACCCUAUUGGGUUUUCGUUUAGCUCUUUUGAGCUUCAGUUUAACCCUUAUGGGUUUUUGUUCAGCUCUUACGAGCUUCUAUUCAACCCUUACGGGUUUUCGUUUAGCACUUGUGUGCUUCCGUGCAGCCUUCGAGCUUCUAUAUACGAUGUACUCAUAUCCGUAAGACGUUCUCUGAUUUGACAAGGUUGGUAAGUGAUAUAUGGAAUUAAUGUCUAAAGAUUUAAAGUUAUUUUGAUAUCGAUAUGAAAUAAGUGAAUUCUUCGAUUGAAAUUGUGUUUGGCAGGAAUAGUAUAAUGAAUGAUUUGCUUAAAUGAAUUGUUAUAAUAUGUUCGGUAAGAUUUAUGUUUAAAGUCAACAAACUUACUAAGCUCAUUAAGCUUACUUUAGUUGUUCAAUGUUCUUUGUAGAUUUUCAAGAAGUUCGGAGGAUCAGAUCAACACAUCAGUUCACACUAUCUAGAUAAUUCCGGUAGAUUUUGUUAAGUAUCUUAAGGUUUAUAUGGCAUGAAUAGGAUUGAAUUGAAAAGUAUACUUGAAUUAUGAAUGUGAAUGAUGCAUAUAUAUAUGUUUGUAUGCAUAUAUAUUUAGUAGUAGUUUUUAGUAAUCAAUGAAUGGAGUUUUUAUGGUAAGUUUAUGCAAAUGAGUCUUGUGAUUACAUUUUAUGUUUAAAACAUAAUUUUUGGUUUGUAUUGGUUGUUUGGUUGGAAUAAAUUAGUAUAUGAGAAUGUUGUGUGCAGGUUGGUAUCAAAAAGGGUCAGAAAAUGGCCUUAAAAUGGCCUAUUUUCGUUCACACGGAUAGAGACACGGGCGUGUGUCUCAACCGUGUGUGACACACAGCCAUACACAUGGGCGUUUAGUCUGGUCGUGUGUCCCCUACAUCUUAAAUUUUAGAAACAGAAUACUCAGAAUUAAGCACACAUGCGUGUGUCUCAACCGUUAAUCCACACGACCUAGCACAUAGGUGUGUGGCUUGGCCGUGUGAAAAGUGCAACUAAUUUUAGGAAAAUAAAUUGACCACAUGGCCUAGCACACGGGCGUGUAGUUGGCCAUUUGACCCAAGUCAAGGAGUUACACGGGGUAAGACACAGCCUGAAGCACGGACAUGUCAUGGGAUCAUACGGGCGUGUCCCUUGGCCACACAGGCGUGUGACCCUUGUACCUAGGAAAAAUUUUAAAAUUUUGCGAAAAAUUUUCUGAGUUCUUGAUUUGAUCCCGACUUACUUAUAAUGCUUAAAUUGGGCCGUGAGGGUCCAUUCAAGGGACGAUAUGAUUAGUCUCGAUUAUGAAUAAUAAAUGACAAGAAUUAUGUGUAAUUAUUCUGUAAACUCUAAUAAUACUCCAUAACCCUAUUCUAGCGAAGGAUACGGGUUAGGGGUAUUACAAUACUUCUUAGAGAAAACCAAUCCAAGGCAAGCUUGUAAUAGCAGGACCUAAAGGAGGUUAAGAUGCUUUCAAUGGAUCUUGAGUGGAAAUCCUAGGGGUGGACCACGUAGGAUCCCCUUCCCUUUAGCUUGAGCAACAACCACCGUGCUUGAAGAAGUAGGGUUCCCAAGGUAUUAUUCAAACAACGAUUGCAGUUCCAACUUAAAAUCCUCCUUAAAACCUUGAAGUAUCUCACUUAUCAUCAAGUUGGGAUAACUCUCAUUGAAUCUUCAUCAUUUCUUGCUGCAACACACAUACAUCCUUUUGCAACUGCGUGGUAACACCAUCCCACGCCAUAGAAAACAUUGAAGCUCUAAUACCCUUGAUGAGAUCGAAAACCAAAAAUAGGAAAUAAAGAAAAGAGAUGGAAAAGAAGAAAAGAGAGCAAAGAAACCAAUGAAUUUGUGUGCAUAACAAUUUUUAUAACCUCCAAAGUCUUUUACACCGAAUAUAUAGGAAAAACAAAAGAAUUGUUUUUUAAAAAUUAGUUAAAAUGAACGGUAAAACUAACUGUACAUAUGUGCCUUCAAAACGCUUCGUUUCAUUAAAGUCUCGCUACACACCGUUUCAUUAAGUUCUUCUCUAAACGCAUCGUUUGUCUUUCUUAGCCAAAGUUCCUUUAUUUCAGUGCCAAAGUUCCUUUAUUUCAGUUUCGACCCAUACCAUUGGCCAUAGGUAUAACAACGAGCUCAUUUUCUUAAAUGAUAUAUACGCGUAUACACCUACCCCCUCACGUCAAUCCCACGAGCCUCUUAUCCAUUCUUAUUCGAUCACGGCGGGGGGCAAGGCAAAAUAGAAAAACUCACAUUAGGUUUAGGGAUAAUCAGGCUCGAACUGAUGACUUCCACCACGUCAAGGUGACACUCUACCGCUGAGUUAUAUCCCUUCCCUGCCCCCAUCAAGAAAUAGAACUGACUAAUCCUAAGUCAAAGGAUCGAGAAACUCAACAACGCCACUAUUCUUGAACAACUUGGAGCCAGGCUUUCCUUUCGCACUAUUACGGAUACGAAAAUAAUGGAAAAAGUUGGAUUCAAUUGUCAACUGCUCCUAUCGGAAAUAGGAUUGACUACGGAUUCGAGCCAUAUACACAUGGUUUCAUAAAACCGUACGAUUCUCCCGAUCUAAAUCAAGCAGGUUUUACAUGAAGAAGGUUUGCCUCAGCAUGUUCUAUUCGAUACAAGUAGGAGAAGCGGUAUUCUUAAAAAAAUAGAGAAAUCAGAACCAAGUUAAGAUGAUAUCACCAACACGGGUUAAAUUACUACCUUUAAGAGUGAUCUAGAUUCUAUUUGAAGUUAUGAAAACAUUUGGAUUCAGUUAUGAUGAUUUUGGUUUUUUUUCUUUUUGUUGGUACCCAUCCAGGCAUUAGCAUUCACUUUGCAAAUGACAGGAGACAAGUUUUCUGCCGAUUUUAUCAAUUUAGUUUGCUAAACAGACAGAAACCUUAACAAUUAAAAAUUGGAAGGAAAUGAGAGAAUACAGGAAAGAAAAUGGUUCCAAAUCCAUAUGUUUGGUUCCAUUCGGUUGAGGAAACAAAUGUAAGCAAAGUAGAAAAAAAAAAAGGAGAAUGAGGACUAAGACCAGAUAAGAUUAACCUUCCACACCAAAGUCGAUGAUAAAAUUCAUUGACCUUCACUCAGCUGAAGGUCUCCACAAUUCUGACAUCGUCCACUGAAGAAACUCCAACUCUUUCACAUCAUUUUGAGCCUGGUUUGCAGGGAGAAAGAGUGUGAGACAAUGAAAGGUCAAAAGUGCAAAGGGCAUAAAAUUUUGAAAAGAGACAACCAAGGAAAAAGAAAUUUUAAAUGAUGCUUUUGCAAAUUUUUUUGUUUUUCCCUGGUUUGGAAUAUGUCAAUGGCCUUUCAUUUUUCUUGAUUUAUUCCAUCAUAUAUCUCAUGUCCUUAGUUCCAUACCUUGUAGUUGCUGUAAUUACAAACCAUGAAGUACAAAGAAUCCAAGUGUUGGAACAUUUCUGGACUGUUGCUAUUCUACGUUUCCAUUAACUCAGGAAGACAAAGAACUCAAAUGUUCAGGUGUCUAAACCUAUAUAUCAUUAAAAAAUUUCAUAAAUAUGUAUGUACCUUUUCACUGUAUAAUCCAUUUAUGGUGAUAUUAAGGUCCUUAUCUGUAAAAGAUCUAUCUCCUCCUUCUGUUGGACAUACUCGUUUUAGCAAUGGUGUGCUUACUUCUCCUUUACAAAAAACACUGAACUCUGGGCAUUCGAUUGCAACCAAUUCAACCAAAGAUGGGAACUCAAAGCGAUAGUACCCUGAGCAAAAACUUGUAAGCGCCUGUAAGCUUUGAAGUCUGAGAUACUCCAGAUGCUUGAACAUGAUGCUAUAUGUACUUCUAUCGUCUGCAUCUGCUACAAUUCCUUCUAGCAUUUUGCAAUCUGUUAUCCUCAUCCUUUUCAGUUGCACCAUGCUUUUAGCAGUUGAGGGUGUUACUAGAUUUCUAAGUCCGUGACAUCUUGAUAUUUCAAGAGUAGUCAGAUUUUGGAAAGACACUGUGGAUGGAACUAAAUUCUUCAAUUUGGGGCAUUCCGAUACUUUUAGACUUCUCAGGUUUCGAAAAUGUGUUCCAGGUUGAGACUGAAACUCUUCCUUCCAGAGAUGCAAUAACUCAGGAAGUUUAGACAACCGUAAAUCACUAAAACUAUCAAGUUCCCAUGCCUGCAUUUUUUCCUCCGUGCUUUUACACUGAAAUAUUUCUGUAAAGGAGGCAUCAUCAACAACAAGCCUUUCAAGUUUGGACAAUGAGAGAAAGAAACCAGAUGGAAGAAUAUCUAACUGCUUAGGUAAGCCUAUGAGCUUCAGAACCUUUAGUUUGGAGAAUGAAUCCAUAGAAAUUUGGUCAUUACAAAUCUUUCUCAGGCUUCCCAUGUCCAUUAUUCCUAAUUUCUCCAAGGAGGGGAAUGCCACCUGCAUGAAAGAUUUGCAUCAAUAACUUGAAAAAAAAAUGAAGAUAAAGGUAGUAAAGGAAUUGCCAUAACCUUUUCAUCAAUUAGAACUGUCAAAUCAGUAUGCAUAUUCUGCCUUGAGUUGUUUCUAGUUACAGAACCAGAGAUGAAUGUAUUCAACAUAGGGCAACUCUGAAUCCAAAGUUCUUUCAAGAAGGGGAACACAAGGUAAUUUCCUGAGUAAAAUCUUGUGAGAUUGGAGAGGGAAAUAAGCAGUAAAGUUUCCAGUUUAGGGAACAUUUUCUUGCUCAUCCUUUCUCUUUUUGGUAAUCCUUUUCUGAUUAUUACCUCUUCCAACAUCUCACAAUCAUGAAUCUCAAGUUUUUCAAGAUGCACAAGGUCCAUGGCCAUGGAAGGGUUAAAUGGACAUCUCAAGUUUCUACAGUUAUAAACUUUCAGAAACUUAAGGUUUUUAAAGUCCAAAAUUCCUUGUGGAUUCCAGUUUCUUAUUUCCAUCAACUUAGAGGAAUCAGAGAGUACCACAUAUUGGAGCCCACGAUAUUCAACCUACAAAAGCAACAUAUUACAAUACAGAAAAAUGGAAUUAAGAGAAGCUCUUAUGUAUGUUCUUUGAGUUUUUCCCCUGAUUUUUCCCCCAUGGAAAUAAAGGUGCAGAAAAAAUAAACUUGAGGAUCAAAGUCUGGGGUUAAUGCAUACCGUUUCCAUGAACAAAAGCUGUAUGGUGGUGUUUUGAUCGCCUUCCCAGUGGCCUUCACCUCCAGCUUCUCUUGAAUACACCCGUUUUAGUUUUGGUGCAUUAAACCUUUCCCGAGGCAAAGUUUUCAUCUUUGGGCAAUGUCUCAUGGUUACAGUUUCCAAUGAAGGGAAUUGGAAGGUGCAGUUUCCUGAGCAAAAGCUCGCUAUGUUUGGCAGACAACUAAGUCCCAAAUACUUUAGCUGAGUUAAAACAAUGGCUUCCUUCACUUCAUCACCUGGGCAUGUUACAAUUUCUUCUAGCAUUUUGCAAUCGGUUACACUCAUUCUAUUAAGCUGCACCAGGCUUUUAGCUGUGGAGUGUGCAAAUAAAUGUUUAAGUCCCUCACACCUGGACACUUCUAGAGUUGUCAAAUUCUCGAAAGACACUGAGGAUGGCACUAGAACGCUUAAUUUACCACAAUCCUGCACUUCUAGAACUCUCAUGUUACAGAAAAUUACUCCAGGCUUAAAAUUCUCCUUCCAAAAAUGUGUCAGUUCAUGGAGUUUGGAUAACCUCAGUACACUCAACUGAGCACAUGCCCCUUCCAGCUUUUCGUCACCACCAGGUUCUUCACAUGGGAAUAUUUCAUUAAUGGAAGCAUCACUCAGAACAAAAUUUUGAAGAUUUGAUAGUGAUAGAAAGAAAUAAGGUGGAAGAACAGUCAGUAGUGGAGAAUUUAUGAGCUCCAGAACUUUCAGCUUAAAAUACCCUUCUGGAAGUUGUCCAUGCCAUAUCUCUUUCAUGUUGCCAUUGCUUUCCAAUCUCAGUUCUUCUAAACAAGGGAAUGUGCCCUGGUCAGUUGACAAAUGUGUUAAACAAAAGCAAGGAUGAAUUUCGAUAAAGAAAAUGGAAUUGUGGCAAUGAGUUUAUUGUCUAUCCAGACAUUCUUGAACUCUCAAUGUCGCAUAAUACUAAUACAAAUCUCAUGCUCGGUCUUCCGGUUUAGAUGGUAAACAUGCAUACUAUUUGAAAUCAGAUUAGGAUAGCAAGGAUGAAAUUAGAUAAAGGAUAUAGAAUUUUGCCAACAGUUUAUUGCAUAUCCAGACACUCCUGAAGCUGAAAACAUUGCUUAAUACUAAUACUAUUUUCAUCCUUGGCCCUUCGUUUUAGUUGGUAAACAUGCAUGCUAUUAGAAUUCAGAUCAGGACAGCUAUAGAGAGAAUGCUCAUGGAUUAGAUGUGGAUGGAUUUAUGCAGAAAGUAAAAUAUGCACAUCUAGUUUUACUAAUUACUAUGUUAGAAUAAGAAAAAGAAAAUCAAUGCAUCUUGUGGACAUGUUUCACAUACCAUAUUGAUCCAAAAUAAAGGAUGCUGUCCUCGUGUUUCAUGGGAGCUUGAAUAUUCUGAAGCAAAUAUCUCCACUUUGUCACAUCCAUAAACAUCCAAUUUUUUCAAUAAUGGCCAUUCGGUGGUAUGCACCCCAGAGUAGAAACUCUUCAGUUUUGGUAGCAUAGAAAGGUUCAGGUAUGUCAUUUGAGGAAAUACAAACUUGGUGUUUAUUUCUGCCUCAGUGAAUUUGUGUUCAAAUAAUUCUUCUAAUGAGGCACACUCCAUUACUUGCAGAUUUUUUAGUCUCUUAAGUCUUUCCAGCAUAUUAAGUGGGAAAAUGUUUGAUAGUUUCACACAACUAUGAACUUCAAGGUGUUUUAACUUGGAGAAGGAGUUCAUCUCAAGUUGGUCAUCCCAUAUCCUUUCCAAAUUCCCCAUGUCUACAAUUGUCAAAUCCUUUAACAAAGGUAAUGACACCUACAAAAAUUAUUUCAUUGUGUUAAUAACAGAACAUGGUUAACUAUGUGAGAAAAGAGACAGAACAAUGGAGAACAGGCCUUUCGACUUUAUUCGAUGAAUUCUGUCUUAAAACAUUUUAAGCCUCAGAAAAUAUCACUGAACAAUGGGUGUAGAGAGAUUCAUGGAUGCACCUGCCAUGCAUUUUUCAUUUUGAAAUUUGCACCCUACAGAAAAAUCUUUUUAAAGAAAGUAAAAAAUUCACAAUGCAGAUCAGCCUGACCUUAUUACUGAAAAAGGGUUUAGCAGAGGCAUUAGGGGCAUCCUUUACAAGAAUAUUCGAAUACUCUCCACUGAUGAUCUCAUUGUGCAGCUCGUUUGAAACAGUGGAUGCAAAUGCAACCAUCUUUGGACAGCCAACUAACGUAAUUUCCUUCAAGUUUGGACAUUCCAGUGCAAAACUUCCUGAGGAAAACCAUGACAAGCCCAAACAAGACUUGAUAGUUAUUGUUUUAAGCUGAGGGAAUAUGAUCUUCAUUGUAGUUGAUUUGUCAUCUCUGAUGAUUUCUUCAAUUACUUUGCAAUUUUUUACUUUUAUCUGCUGCAGCUGCACAAGAUCUGCAGCCAUGGAAGCUGUUAACAUGUAUCUCAAGUUGUUACAGACAUACACUUCCAGACAUUUGAGUCUUUUGAAGUCUAUAAUUCCUCGAGGAACUGUAUUCCAGAUUUCCUCCAACUCAGGAAACUCACGAAGUUUCAAAUGCUCUGGCUCAUAAUAUCUUACCUAUUAAAACCAAAUUGCAACAGUUAAUACUAGAAUAAUAAAUUGAAUUGAAAAAUAAAAAGGAAUAACAGAUUCUUCUUUAAGCAAAAAGAGGGCUUACUAUAUUUUUGUGCAACUGAUAUAUGGUGGCAUUGAGGUCACCAGCCCAAAACCCCUUAUAGUCCUCUUCUGAUAGCCUCACUCCAUGUAACUGUGGGGUACUUAAGACUCCCUGACAAAAGAUCUUUAAUUUGGGACAUUGUCUCACAAUAACUUGUUCCAAAGAUGGGAACUGAAAGCUGUAUUCCUCUGAACAGAAGCUUGAAAGGUUUGGCAAAUAAUGAAGUACUAAGCAUUUCAGCUUGCUGAAACUUACUAAGUCUUUUGCAUCAUCUUUCUCUUUUGCAACUAUUUCUCUCACCAUAAUGCAGUCUCUAAUCCUCAUUUUUAUCAGCUGCACCAGAUUCCAAGCUACUGAAGAUGUAAUUAAGGCAGUUGCUUUGCACUGCCAAAGGUCCAAAGUUAUGAGAUUUUGAAAGGAUGACAAGUAUGAUCCCAAACUGAUCGAACCAUCACAUCUCCUAACUUCAAGAGUUUCAAGAUUUAGGACAACAUGGGGUAGUUGUGAGUUUUGCUCCCCUAUGUAGCCAGUGUUCAGAAGACUAACCGGCUCCCUUUCCGCUUUCUUUUCACUUGCAUCUCCUUCAUCAAUGAAGUUCCCUUUGAAAUCACAAUGAAUCAGCUCAAGCUUUUUCAGAUUGUUAAAUUUUUCUAGAAGAUUAAAUAGAAAAACAACUGGUUUGUCAUGAUAGCCAAGCACUUGAAGAACUUUUAUGCGGCUGAAGAUGCCUACUUGAAAUGGAUGAUUGCGUAUUACUGAAAUGUGCUUGCUGUUUAAUGACAACUCCUCCAAAUCAUGGAUCACCUAAGAAUCCAUUAGAAACAAGCUGAAGUUAGUUGCUAGUUACCUUAAUACAAAGACAUAUUUUGGUAAGAAAAUAGAACACUUCCUUUACAGGUGAUCAAAUAAAGUCAAUUAAACAAGAGUGAUGAUUCAAUAUGAUUAAACAGGUUGGGUGUUUCACAUAAAUUCUUCAGCUAUACAUUAACUGCUUGUUGAAUAUCAACAACUUAAAUACUCAUUUAUAAGCACCUCAUUCAGUUUGCACAUAAAUGUAGGAUAUUGGAGAUUCAUACCUUUUCAAAAAAGAAAACUGGCUUUUGAUUUGAGGACUGAUGUUCUUCCAUCCCAAGCACUUCUUGGCCACAAUGAUAAGUCUUCAACUUUUUUAACUUUGGCCAUUUUGCUUCAUAUGCUGCUGGGUAAAAGCAUUUCAGUUCAGGCAGGUUCUGAAGUGUAAGAGAGCAGACUUCAGGAAAUUCAAACUCAUUAACAUGUUGGUUCUGUACUUUCUCCUCUGAAACAACCACUUCCAAUCCACAAGAAUCAAUUGUGAGAUCUACGAGUUGUUUAAGACCUUUUGCCACUGAUGCAGGAAAAAGACUUUUCAGACACCAACAGUCUUGAAUGUAUACAUUUCGUAUAUUUUCAAAGGUAAGAUUGCUUUGGGAAUCCUCAUUCCAGACAUGUUUCAGCUUUGGAAGAUGAGAAACAUACAAUCUUCUUAGCUGAGUGCCUACUUUGAUGUCCGAUGAUUCAAAAAUAUUUUGUAGUGAAUCACAGUUGAAAACUAUUAGUGUUUCCAAUCCCUGGAAGUUCCACUCCUUAAUAGAUGGGAAAAUAGUCAAUAUAUCAUUACAAUAUCCAACCUUCAUUUCUUUUAGUUUGCUAAAAGAAUCUGUGUGGAGUUGAGCGUGCCAUAUCUUCAUAGUUCCCAAAUGGGAGAUCUUCAAUUUCUCCAACUUUGGAAAUGCAACCUGUAUAAUGUCAUGCAAAUGAGUACAAAGAUUAAAAAGAAUUAAUUCCUACCAUUGAUGUAAAAAAAAGCGGGAAAAAUCACACUGAAGAAAAAUGGGGAAUUGUUCACCUUUGCAUUAAAGAGAACUUGUUCACCUAAAUGAUGAUCAUUCUCUUUGUUUAUUUCUAGAGUUCCAAUGACAGUUGUGAUGUCUGUACUCUGAGGUUUGUGCAUAAACUCCUUCAAACGUGGGCAAUUCUCUAUCUCCAAAAGCUUCAAAGAUGGGAACUCGAGAAAGCAACUCUCUGAGCAGAAUCCGACUAAGUUCACAAGAUUUCUCAUUUUCAAGGAAUUUAGUUGGGGGAACAAUAUCUUGGCAAUCUCUUCUUUUUCUUUUUCUUCUUCUUUUACCUUUUCUUUUGUUUCUGUUUCUUUUUCCUUUUCUUUUACUUCAUCUGGAAUUAUAAUCUCUCUUAUACAUUUGCAGUCAAUUAUCUCAAAGCUUUUGAGUCUCAAUAAGCUUCUAGUGAUAGAAGGUGAAAAAAGGUGUUUAAGGUUGCCACAACCCUCAAUUGCCAAGCUUGUCAAAUUCUGACUGUAGUAAGAUGAUUUCAGCCAUAGCCUUUCAAUGUUGAUGCAGGACAACUGCAGUUUCUCAAGGACAGGAAACACAACCUACAUAAAUAAACAGCAUUUCAGUGAAAUUUAAUCUUUCUUUUGAGUUUCUAAAAUUAUGCUUCUAUAACUGAAAGAAGAUAAGAUAUAUAUAUGCAUCGUAAUAUUAGCACCUUUCCAUCAAAAAGUAGCCAAGACCAUGUAUUCACCGGUUCCAGUUGAUAAAUGGAACGGCUCUUCUCUUUGGAGCAGAAACUAUGAAGCUCUGGUAGAAGCUUCAGUGUUAAGGAUCGCAAUUGGCCAAACUGAGUUUUAUUGGUUGCUAUACCAGCAUUUUGCUCUCUCUCUUCAGUAACGAUCUCUUCAAUGCUUUUGCACUUUGAAACUUUAAUUUCUUGAAGUUGGACAAGCAUUUUGGUCAUGGAGAAUGGAAAAAGAUUCUUGAGUCGGUCACAACGUUCAACACUUAUGAUUUGCAAUCUAUUGAAACAUUCUUCUUCAAGUUUGCCUUGACAAAUCUUCUCCAAAUUAAUCAGAUUCUGAAGAACUAGUGAUUUGAGGAUAGGAAAAGCUUUACCUGAUGCCACCUCCAUAGAGUUAAUAAUGAACAGUAAUUCUGGACCAUUUUGUAUGUAGAGAUUCUUGAGCUGUGGAAAACCAGUGCCAUCCAACUCAUACAGCAAGCUCUUGAUGCCUAGCAUUUCAUCUAGAUAUAGAUCUUCAGUUUUCUGCAACAACAGUUUAACUCCACGAUCCAAGUGAAUUCCCUUAGUAAGCUGGAGUUUCAGUGUCCUCUCCUUUUCAUACUUUCCGGACCAGUUCCAGACCUCCCCGAUAAGAAUCUUGUAUCGAUUCAGUUUUUCAGAGAAUAGUUCUGCUGGCAUAAGUUGAACAGAAUGAAUAUGGACAUCCAAAGCAACUAGACCAGACAAAGAAUUCAAUUCACUAAGGCUGGCAUUGCCUUCAACACCCCAUUGAUCGAAGCUGUUGCGCAUAAGCAGUUCUUCUAAAUAAGGCAAGCCUGAUAUGAUUUUAUCUGGAAUGAAUUUAAGCUUAGAACAAUUGCUCAAGUCUAAGGACUUAAGCCUUGUUAGUCCCCCUAUUUCCCGGGGCAAUCUAUGAAUAUCAGAACUGAGAAUUUUAAGUGUAUCCAAUUGCUUCAGCUUCCCAACAAUUGCGAUGUCAUUCAACUUACAUUCAUCGAAUCGCAACCUUUGAAGGUUUCUUAAAGAAGUAAAUGAUGAAGGCAGGGAAGCAAAAUCCAUACCAGUGAAAUCUAAUAUCAAGAGUUCAUUCAUCCGCUUAAAGAAAUUGUCUGGAACUUCUAAUGAUGGAUUUUUGUUGAACAAAACCAGCAACUUUAGCCUGGGGCAUUCGAGAUUGUCUGGCAGCUUGUUAUUGCUACUGUAUGGCAGCGAAAUGGCAGUGCAACUGUUGAGUUUUCUUUCCUUUAGCAGCUCUUCGAUACGGUUUUCAUCCUCUAUAACAAACAUCCGCUUUUCUUCAGAUGCAAUCCAAAUGGCGACAUCACGAACAAUGUCAUGCAUUUUCACCGCUUCAUUGUUGUCACUGCUGAGUAGUAAACCUGCAUCUUUGAGCUUAUUCAAACAUUUUUUGGCUUCUUCCAAUGUGCUAACAUUACUUGCUAUUCUCAAACCCGAGUUGUAUCUUAGCAAAUCAGAUACAUGAAUGUCAGAACCCCGGGGCAGCAAGGCACAGAGUUGGAAAAAUGACUGCAAUUGAGGGUUCUCUAACAUGCUGUAACUCCACUCUAUAGUGAAGUAAACACUUUUGAGCGCUUCUUCCUUUUUUGUAAUUGGCUUUGUUUCUUUUCGCAAAGCCUCCACCAAAAGGUUGAAGUUUUGUGUUCUCAGUGCAAUUGCAAUUGCUGAAAUAGCAACCGGAUACCUGCACAGUUUUUCACAACUUUAGUUAGUAGUUGUCGGUAACCAGGCUGGUUUGCUGCAUUGCCCACAACUUUCUGAAUCCACCCCAUUGAUUCUUCCUCAGUUAACACGUGGACAUUGAACAUUUUUUCCGUUUUCAUAUCAAUGAGUACCUCUCGACUUGUGGAAGUCAGCAAUAUUUUGAAUCUAACAGCAGAGAAUUUCUGAAAACCAUUUUCGCUGAUAUUUUGCAUCAAUGGCCAUCCUAGAUCUUCUUCACUUGCAAUACUCUGGUCACCUUCAAUAGCAAUCCCAACUUGUUCCAAUUCCAGUCUUUGGCCAUCCCAAAUAUCAUCUAAAAUUAGAAGAACUCUCUUAUCUUGUUUCUUCAACCACUGCUGCAGUCUCAUUGCUCUUGCAAACACAGUCUCCUCAUCAAGUUUCAGGCCUAGUGCAUCUGCAAUUUCUCCCUGAAUUCUUUUUAUCUUUGGAUUCCAUGAAACAAUUACCAUCACAACCUCAUCAAACAUGGUUUCUUCCCUGGCUCUCCUAGCAGCUUCUUUCACUAGCAUGGUCUUGCCUACACCAGGCCUCCCAUUUACUCCAAUAAUCUUCAGAUCAGGAUCCUUUAAAGCUUCCACAAUAUCCUCCAGUGUAGCUUUCCUCGAUUCGAAAGCCUCAAAGCCUUGAAUAGGCCUAGAUUUUGUCUCCUGGGUAUUACCAGGAUAUAAACCUCUACUGAACCCGCGUUGUUCAAUCAGCUUGCUGAUGGCCUUGGGGGUGUCAGCUUUUGCUGAACCACUGACCUUAGCUUCAACUUCCAUCACCUUGUCGGCCUCAUCACUGGUUUUCUUCUCCGGUUCAACUUCCAUCACCCGGUUUCUUUUAUCAGCUUCAGGUUGAUCUUCCAAGUUUUGAACCUUGCUCUCAUUGUUGAACUUGUGAGCUUCUGCUUGUUGAAUGAGCUCCAGAACAGCUUGUGCAUCCUCUUCAGCUUUCUUGUUGAGCAAGUCAAGAGACUUCAAAUUAGGACACAGGCCAAGGAAACACCUCUUCUUUGCUUGCGCUUCAAGGUUUUUCACUGUCUCUUCCUCUUCCUUGAUUUUCUCCUCUGCGCGAUUCACCCAAAUCUUGCCAUCUUGGUCAAACUCUUGCCCCUUUUCCUUGGAAACAUCAAUGAAAUGCUGCACUCUGUCUCUUUGGUAUCUCAGAUUCUCAAUUUGUUCCUUGAGAUUCUGAACUUUACUAUCAGGCUUCAACAUGUAACGUUUAAACCCAGAAACAAACUCCAUUUUUUGGGGAGUUUUCAAUUUAUAGUAAUUGGUAAAGCAGACAAGCAAACCAAAAACAAAAUAGCAGUGAACGAAUGAUCAAACUAUGGAGCAAAUGGAGUUUCAGUCAUUGUAAUGAAGGAAAAAAAGAAGCAAUGGAUGGCAAAGACAACAAGGCAAAGAAAGCAUCAAAAGGUAAAAUAAAGAACAUGAAGAUAAAACUAAGAAUGUGGAAUCAAUGCUUUGAUCAAUUGCAGAAGUUAGGGCUUUGACCAUUAGAAGCUCAAACUCCUAAUUCUUAUGACUGGUUUUUUUGAGUCCUGCCGGUCUCCAAGUUAGCCCAAUUGAGUAAAAAAUUUGGAGAUAAUAGAGUAGGAAUUGAGUAAAAAAAUUUUAAAGUUUGUUGGUUUUGAUAAUUUUUUUUAUAUUUUUUUUUAGAUUUUUUUAAAAUAUUUAAUUUUUUAAAAAGAAUAUAAAUUUUCAAACUUUUAUAAAUAUUGUAAAUUUUAAAAAUUAUUUUUAUUUUUUGUUGAGAGAGUUACCAAUUUUAUAUUUUUCAAAACUAAUGGGACCAAAUAAAUAUUUAUAUUAAUAUGUUAUUUGAAUUAUUUAAAUUGUAAACUUUUAACUUAGACUUGAAAUCAAAACUCGAAUUACAAGUUAACUCGAAAAAAAUAAAAUAAUUUGAUUCGAUUAAUUCAAAAUUUAAUUUUUUUAAUUUUUUUCGAAUCGAAUUGAAUUUUGCUCAAAAAAUUUUUCAUUUUUCAUUUCUCAAUACAUGUUGCAAUUAGUUUCUUGUUUAAUAAUUUUAUUUGAAAGUGGAGCCUCCAUAUUUAAGUUAUAAUUGUUGAUAAAAUUAUUUAUACAUCUCUUAAAAAAUUUAUGAAUGUUUCUUUUUCAUAUUUUUUAAAAAGAAGAACAAACGAAUUUUCUUCAAAGAAAAGAAAAAGUUAAAAUGAAGCAAAACGGUUUCGGAAGGCAAAGAAUAAAGUGUCGAGCAGCUUUUAACUGCUUGAAGUUAUUUAAAGUUUUUCUUUUUUCUUUUUUUUUUCAAUUUUCCAUAAGAAUUUUCUGUUUUUUUUAAGUUAAAAUUUUAAAGAUUGGAAAAUAAUUAAGGAAGGAAUUUUUGGUUCCUAAAUAUUCUUAGAAUUAGAAAUUACGGCAAUAAAAGUUGUUAGGAAAAUCACGAAACUUUGCUUUUCAUCAAUUGUUAAAGAAUACAUGUGAGAAUUAAAGUUACAAAUCAAAAUGCAAUUGUUCAUGUACAACACACUGAUAGGCUAGAUUAUCGGAUGCAUUUCUGGACUUAGGUAUGAGAAUAUGACUUUCAAAGAUGAAAAAAGAAUAUAAAAGAAAUAGAACAUAUUAGACAUAUGCUCUUAUAUGUCAUUCAAACUCAAAGUUGGAGUAACAUAGCUAGGAAGUGAAAUAACAACUUUAGAUCAAUGAAUAUCGCUGAAAUUGAGCAGCAGCAACAUACUCUAGUAGACAGCAGUGAAAGGGGUAUCUCCUAUAACUCUUUAUAAAGUAACUGUGCCAAAAUGAUAAGUGAAAUAAUCAAUUUCUGCCAUUAAACUACAUUUUAUGCUUAACCCCAUUACUAAAAGUAGGAUAUUUUUAACACUCGUACCUUAUGGAACACAAAAUCAUUUCUGUGAUUCUUUGAAACUCAUACUUUUCUAAAGCAAAUAUCUCCACUUUUCCUUCAAUUUUGGCAUUUAUGUAGUAUGUAUCCUUGAGCUGACACUCUUCAAUAUGAAUUGCCUAUAGAGUUGAAGGAUUAAAUAAGUUUAAAAAAAUAUAGAUUUAAGGCUCUUUCCAUAGCAAUGGAUUGAGUGAUUGUUGCAUCCGCUGUAAUCUCAUCAUUCAUCCCCUUAAAUAAAAAUGGAAAAAGUAUUCCAAAGUUCUGUUUUUUUUUUCCCUUUAAUCAAACACAUGUAAGAUAUAGACUCACGCAGUUAGUUGACAGGUUGUACCAUAUCUUUCUCCAGUUUCCUACAUCCAUGAUGCUCUGUUCCUCUAAGUAAGGUUAGUUUGCUAGAGAAAAAGAAGUAGUACAACAAGAAUAAGGAAUCAAAUAUUUAAGAAAAAUGAACAAUAAAAAAGACAUGAAAGAAAGCAACGAUACAAUAAAACAAAAAUGGGAUAUUACCUUUCAGUGGAAAGAGUUGGAAGCGAAUCUCUAAGUUGUUUCUUUCUAUCCUAACAAAAUAAUGUCAGUGCCACGAGUGAUCAUAAGAUUGGCCUUUGUCCUCUUAAAUCAUUUUCUCAACCAUUCACAUUGUUCAUUUUCAAUUAAAUACAAGUAUGACUUAUUAUUUAAUUGUAACAAAAGUAGUAUUUGAGGGUAAAACUUAUCAAUUUACUCAUAAUAUAUAUAUAUAUACUAGUUAUAAGAGUUUAACUAGGAAAAUAAGUAGACUUUAGUAUAAACUCUAACACUACUUAUCUAAUUAUAUUCUCAACAUUAAAAAAAAAAAAGGAAUUAAGCUUAUUUUUACUUAAAAGGCUUUUGGAAUCUCACCUCAAAACUGUUAACAAACGGCUUUUGAAGUCAAAAUGGAGAAUGUCCCUUAUCUUUGGACACAAGUCUCAUGAUUACUUUUCUAAGGAAGGAAAUAUAACUGAGGUAUAAUUCUCUGAGCAGAGCCUUGAAAGACUACCAAGUUUUAAAGACUUGAGUUGGGAGAAAACGAUGCCAUCCAUGACUUCAUCAGUGUAGAAAAGCUAUGAUUUCUUCGAACAUUUGACAAUCAGUAACACUCAUUCUUGUGAGUUACACCAUGCUUUUAGCUAUUGCGAAUGUUACUAAAUUUCUAAAUCCAUGGCAUUUUGAUGCCUCCAGAGUUGUCAAAUGUUUGAAUGACACAAAAGAUGGCACUAAAUUCUUUAAUUUGCCGCAUCCCAACACCAGUAGAAAACUUCUGCAAGUGAUAGUUUGUUCUUCUAGAGAUGUGUUAACUCAGGAAGAUAAUACAACAUUAAUUCCUUCAAGCAAGCAAGUGUCCCUGCAUGUUCGUUUUCAUCUCUUACUCCUUCAUAAUGAAGUAAUUCAUUGAAGGUAGUCCUUUUCCAAAAGAAAGGUAUUCAAGAUUUGGUAAUGAUUAAAUGAACCAAUCUGAUAUAGUAACUGUUGCAAAGUGGCCAUUCAUGCAGUGGCAAACUCUUCCCGUGAAGUUGCAAGCUCCCUUUAAACUGCGAGCUUAAGCAAGUCUAUGAGCUCUACAUUUGCGAUCUCACCUAAAACUGUGAGUUCAACCUAGUUGCGAGCUCAUAAUCCAUAAUCCAUAAUCCAUACAGACUUUGAGACCUUUCAAUCAAGAGAGGAGGUUUUCAAUGAUAUCAUGGAGUCACUGAAAGAUGCAACAACAAGCAUGAUUGGAGUGUACGGGAUGGCUGGUGUGGGCAAAACAUGGCUGGUCAAAGAAGUUGAGAGACAACUCCAUGAGGUUAAGUUAUUCAAUUCAGUAGUUAGAGCAACUGCAUCUCGAAUUCCUGACAUUAAGGAAAUCCAAGACCAAAUAGCAUACUCAUUGGGUUUGAAGCUUGAAGAAAACAGUCCGGUUGUAAGAGCCCGUAAAUUGUAUGGAAGGUUAAGGAAUGAGAAAAAUGUUCUUAUUAUUUUGGAUGAUCUUUGGAAGAAACUGGAUCUAAAGGAAGUCGGAAUUCCAUUUGGAAGUCAACACAAAGGAUGCAAAAUACUGUUGACCUCAAGAAGUCGAAAUGUUGUAAGCAAUGAGAUGGGUGCUACAAAGACCUUUGCAGUUGAUGAUUUAGAUGAGGAAGAAGCUUGGGAGUUCUUCAAGAAGAUGGCCGGGAACAGUGUUGAAAGUGAUGAGGAGCUGCGAUCUACAGCAAUUGAGGUAGUCAAGAAAUGUGCAAGAUUACCACUUGCCCUUGCAACAGUUGCAAGGCCGUUGCGAAAUGAAAGUUUAUUUGGUUGGAGGGAUGCUUUACAACAAUUACAGAGGCCUUGCUUGGAACAUAGCUCGAGUGAGAUAUCGGCUGAGGUACAUUCGAAUAUUAAGUUGAGUAUCAAUCAUUUAUCAAGUGAAGACCUCAAGCAGAUUUUCCUGCUUUGCAGUUUACUGCGUCGUGACACUAGGAUUGAAGACUUGUUGAGAUAUGCUCGUGGUUUGGGUCUAAUUAAAGGAGUCAACAGCAUGAAAGCAGAACGAGAUAGGCUGUUAAAAAUGAUGCGUACCCUCAAAGAAUCUUGUUUGUUGCGUGAUAGUAAAAGUACCAAUGAGGAGUACUUCGAUGUGCAUGAUCUUACUUAUAGUCUGGCCAAAUCAAUCGCUUCAAAGGACAAUCAAGUGCUUGCUUUAACAGAGGUAGAUAAGGAUGAGGAUGAGGAUGUUGUAGCAGAUUGGCCAAAUGGAGAGUCAAUGAAAGAGUGCAACAAGAUUAUUUUGCGGGAUCCUAGUAUCAACAAGCUUCCUGACCAGUUGAAUUGUCCGCAGCUUUUUCUCUUCCUUUUGUUUAGUAAGGAUCUCUCCUUGACGUUGCCGGAUAACUUCUUCAAGGAAGCAAAAAAUCUUAAAAGUCUUAGGUUUGACUUGCAUGCAUUUUUCUUCUUUACCUUCAUCAAUUGGUCUCCUAACUAGCCUCAGUACAUUGUGCCUAGAUCACUGCAAUUUGGGAGAUAACCUAACCAUUAUUGGAGCACUCAAGAACUUAAAUGUGCUUAGCCUUGCUGGAUCUGAUAUCAAAAUUGUACCCAAGGAAAUUGGGCAAUUGUUGAAGCUAAAGUUGUUAGAUGUGAGUGGUUGUACUAAACCCAAAACAAUUUCAGCUAACGUGUUGCCAAGUUUGUCAAAAUUAGAAGAAUUAUAUAUGGGUGGCACUUGUAUUCAAUGGGGACAACCCAAUGCUAGUCUUGCUGAACUGAACACACUGUCUCAUCUGUCCACUUUAGAAGUUGAAAUUCCGGACGCCAAGGCUGCCCCAGAGGACUUCUUUCAAAAGUUACAAAAGUUGGAAAGAUACAAGAUUUGCAUAGGAAAGGAAUGGGUGCGGUUUCGCAACUAUCAAUAUUCAAGAACCUUAAAACUCAGGCUAAACACAAGCAUUGAUGAUUUUGAUCAUGGAAUUAAGAAGUUGGUAAAGAGAACUAUAGAUUUACAAUUGGAUAAACUGAAAGGUGCGAAGAUUAAUGCACUGGAGGAGGUAACAGAUGAGGAAAGGCUAUCACAUUUGCAGAAUCUGCAUAUCCAAAAUGGUUUGGAUUUGAAUCUAUCAUUAAUGCUAGAAAUGAAUUUCCUCAUUUGCAGUCCUUGACAUUGGAGGGUCUUCCUCAACUCGUAAGCUUUUGCUGUCAAGACAAAAUCGAUGGUACCUCAUUGCCUCAACGUGAAUUGCCACUUUUCGGAGAAAAGGUAUGUAUAAUUCAAUAUCUUUCUAGUUUUUCUUUCAGGGCUUUCUUUCCUUUGCUGAAGCAUGCAAUAUUGCUCUUGUGGUGUUUUUUUUUUCUCGUUUUUCUGAUCAUAUUUUUUAUUUACUAGAAUUUUUCUACAAUACGACACUGUUUAUUGGUUGGCAGACACUAUUUUUGGUUUUUUUGAGUUAUUAGCUUUUUUGUAUUAUGUAUUCAAUAAGUAUGUUUUUUUUUAAAUAUUCUCAUAAAUAAAUUUUAGUUUUUUAGAAAAUAUAUGUCAUGUUUUGCAAUUGGAAGUAUAUCACCAUUAGAAAUUUCAAACGGAUAAUUUUUUAUUAUAUUUGGUAUUUGCAAAAAUAGAAUUAUAAAGUAAAUAUUUAUUUAGAAUUAUAUAUAUAUUUUACAAUAUUUAUUUAAAAGUAGAUUUAAUUAUGUGUUGUAGAUAUCGUUCCGUUCCUUGGAGAAAUUGUGGUUGUCAUCACUUAAUAUUACAAGAGUACGGCACAACCAGUUGUAAAAUGCAUCUUUUUGCACUCAUGAGAAGUUAACUACGUUGAAAAUCGAGGGUUGUGGAAACAUAAAAUACCUGUUAUCAUUUUCUAUGGCUAAAUAUCUAGUUCAUCUCAAAUACUUUGAAUGUUUUAAGGUGAAUUAAACUUAGGAAUGAAUUAAUGCAUAUUGUAUAAACGGAAUUCGAAUUCAAAGGUAUGCUAUCAGAAAUUUCCUGAAUAUUGACAAAUGAAUUUUCGUGCUUGUUUGUAAUAUUCCUUACCCCUCCGGCGACGGAUACGGGUUAGGAGUGUUACAUAUAUAAGGCCAAAAUCUCUUAAAAAAAACAUUUUCAACUCCCUUUCAAAAAAAAAACUCCCCUCCCCAUUUUCUCUCUGCAACCUAAUGGUCCGGCCAGGCUCCGUUCACCAACCACCGCCGCUCACCACCGGUAAAUUUUUUUGUAAUAUUUAUAAAUAUAUAAAAAAAUAAAGCUAAAAACGUAAUAGAAAAAAUAAAAAAGAAACUUUUAGCAAAUAUUGCUUUUGUUUUUCCGAUCUUCUGUAUAUUUCUGCUUAGUAUUUGUGUAUAUUCUUAAAAAAGAAAGGGCCUUUUUACAUUCGUUUUCUAAGGCUUUUAUAGCCUUUUUUACAACUGUUUUUCGACUAUUGAAGGUGGCGUGGUGGAUGCGGGCACUGACGUGGGCUUGCCUAGGGUUUUCUCCUUUUUGCUGAAAAAUUUUAAGUUCUUAGGCUGAAAAUUUGGACUAGGGUUUAGUUUUUGGGAUUGGGCUUGUUUGGGUUUAAUUUUUAGGGGUUUGGUUUUUUGUUUGUAUUUGGUUUUUUAUUGGUCUGGGCCACGAGUUGAAAUUGAGCCCUACAAUUAUGUCAUCUACAAUUCCAAUUGGGGAGAUGGCUAGUCUUGGCUAUCGAAGUAGUUAACUCCACGAGUAGAGACACAUAUGUAUUCAUUGGUAGAAUGAUACAUUGGACUAGACCCAAGAUGAAUUAAUUCUAAAUCCAGUUGUGAAUUAAUUAACUUAUGAUGUUCAUGGUGUGAUUUACCUAAAUUUGAGUUAGUCACUGAUCAGCCAUUUUUUUUUGUUGCCUCUUCAUAGCUUGCAGGCUCUAAUACGACAACAUUACAUCUUUCAUAUACCUUAGAUAUAGGUUUGGUGCCUUUGACUGGUAGAUCAUCAAAACAAUCAGCAUCUUGGUUUUGAACAUCACCAGUUCACACAUUCAGCUCAAUCUGACUUUGUUCAACCAUCUCAGCUUCUGUAGCUUCCCAAUUUCACAAAGCUUCCUCACUGAACACCUCUACGUUCAAACACUUUACUAGUGAAAGGAUUAAAAAUCCUAUACCCUUUCUUGCAAUUGUUGUAGCUAACAAAGAUACCUGGUUGAGCUCUUCUUUCCAGGUUAUUCCUUUUAAAAGCAGGAAUGAAAGUAUAGCACAAACAACCAAAAAUCUUCAGGUGUGACACUGAUGUCUUGAACCUAAACCAUUCUUCAAACGGUGUUAUACCCUUCACAGCUUUUGUUGGCGAUUUGUUGAGCAGAUAAAUGGAGGUGUUCACAGCUUUAGCCCACAACUGGUUUGGUAGCUUCUUCUAGAAUAAUAAACAUCUUGACAUAUCCAUAAUUGUUCUAUUUUUCCUUUCAUACACACCAUUUUGCUAAGGGGUGUAUGUGUUAGUCAACUGAUGUUUUAUCCCAGCAUAUUUGCAAAACUUCUGAAACUUUUCAAAAUUGUACUCAAUUCCAUUAUCAAACCUGAGUAUUCUCAGCUUGCAACAAGCUUGAUUCUCAACAGCGGAUUUAAACUUCCAAAAGACCUUAGCAACUUCAGACUUGGCCUUUAAAAAAUACACCCAACAAUAUCUAGUGUAAUUGUAACACCCCUUACCCGAGUCUGAUGCCGGGACAGGGUACGAGGCAUUACCAGACUUAAACAUAAGCAAUUACACACAACCAGGCCAUAAAGUUUUGUCCAAAUUAAAACCAUUAAUAUAUAUGCAUAUUGUCACUUAUACAGGCCUACGAGGCCCAAAACAUACAUAGGGAGUGGUUCAGGACUAAACCGAGAACUUUGGAAACUUUAGGGAAACUUAAAAAAAAUUCAUCAUGAAACAGGGCCACACGCCCGUGUGGGUAAGCCGUGUGGUCACACACGCCCGUAUGGCUUGGGACACACCGUGCCCCUUACCCGUGGAGCUCUCUGUUUAUGACGUCAUGUACAAAAUAAGGUUACACGGCCAAGGCGUACUUCCGUGUCCUUAGGCCGUGUGGCGUAUUAAAUUCUAAUAAUUAGGUGCAAACUUCACACGGCCAGAGCACACGCCUACGUCUCCAGGACGUGUCCCUCACGGCCAAGACACACGACCGUGUCUCAGCCCGUGUGGCCAAUUCGAAGCUAAAAUACAAGAUGUAGGGGACACAUGGCCGGACUACACACGGCCUAGACAUAUGCCCGUGUGUCUACCUGUGUGGACAACUUUGAGGCUAUUUUCCAAGCCAUUUGCCACCCUUAUUUGCUCAAACACGUUCAUAACUUCAAAGGCAUAUAUCAUAGCAUAUUUGAGUACUUAAACAUUAUUCAACAAGUCAUGAUCAUGACAAUAUCUUGUCAACUUAUACACACUCAAAACAUCAUACUUAGUCAAGCUCAAACUUACUAAUUCUCAUGCAUCAAGAUUUAUAGGUUUACUUCCAUGUUACACAUUUAGGCAUUAGUUGUCAUUAUAUCAUCACACCUCAAUUUAAACCAUCAGGCAUUCAUCACCAACAAUAUAACCCAUCACAUACAUACAAUCACAAGCCACAUCUCCAAGACAUAGGCACAUGCAUAAUCAUAUAAUCAACAUAAGCCAUCAUUCAUGGCUAUAUACAAAUUGGACCAUAACCAUUAUAGGCCAACACAUUUGACCAUAUUAGAAAUGACAUAAUUACAAAAGACAUAGCCCCUAUACAUGUCAUAAAUUCAAGUGCUUGAAUACUUAUACCCUAAAUGGUAGCUUGAUAGUGUGAUAACAUUUCCGACGAUCUCUAACCCGAGCUAGCUAAAUUAACCUAUAAAGAUGGGAAAAGGAAGGGGAGUAAGUUUCAAAGCUUAGUAAGUUCACAUGCAACUAAUAAAUAACUAUUGACACUCAUUUAUCUAUUUCCCCUCCCUAAGGAUAUUAUUACUGCAAUUUGCACUAAAUCUCAUGAUUACCACUUGUUUAUUCAUAAUGCUUACUCUUUUAUUUUACAAAUACUAAUUGCACGUCUUGGCAUUGGAUUGGUAAUCAUAACUUCCCCAUUAUAGUCUAUCACAUUAUUUAACAAGUUAUUUAUAUACAUCAUAUUAUGUCACAACCCAAAGUAAGCCUAACACAUGAUCAUUACCAAAUCUUAGUGUACAUCAUCUUAUUAUGAAUGUAGAUCAUUAAUCCCAAGGUUAUCAAUAUCUCACAAGCAAAACAUAUUCAUGUACAUUCUUACCAAAUAUUCAUUAUACAUUGAACUCACUACUCAUGAGUUUUGUCGUACAUACCUGUACCAUCUCGUAACAUAAUCACUUACUCAUCUUGUAACACCCAUUACCCAUACCCAAGACCGAGACAAGGCAUAGGGUAUUACCGUACACGAGCAAGAACUUUUCAGUGAAAACGGAUCAUAAAACUUCUUCCCAAUUUAAAAAUGAUUAAAUCAUAUUCAUAAUGUCCUUAAUAUGGGCCUACGAGGCCCAAAACAUGCAUUAGAUACGAUUCGAAACUAAACUGAGGACUUAAGAAAAGCUUAGAAAAUUUUAUGCCUUAAGGCUUCACACGUCCAUGUGGGCAUAGGGCACACGCCUGUAUGACUUGGGACACGCCCGUGUCCCUCACCCGUGGAGUUCUCUGUCCGAUUAUGCAUGAACAAAUGAAAUCACACAGCCAAGGCACACGCCCUUGUGCUUACCCGUGUGGUCGAUUUAUUUUUCAUAAUUUUUCAUAAAUCAAGUGCAGACUUCACAUGGCCUAGGCACACGCCCGUGUCCCUCGCAUAGCCAUGACACACCCGUGUCUCAGCCCGUGCUCAAAAACCUUGAUAUUCUGUUUCUGACGUCAUCAACCAAUUUGGAAGCACACGACCAAGGCACACGCCCGUGUGCUAGGCUGUGUCCUCCAUACGGUUGAGAUACACGGUCGUGUCUCUACCAGUGUGUUUACUACCAUCCAUACUUACUAGAAAUUUCAUGGUGUAGGGGACACACGACCAAAUAACACGCCCGUGGGGCUGUCCAUGUGUCACAUACGGCCUAGGCACACGCCCAUGUGGCUGGCCGUGUAGACAAAAAUAGGCUAUCUACCAAGCCUAUUUGUCACCCUUGCAUUUAACAACAUACAUAACAUUCAACUAUACCAAUAUCCCAAGCAAUAGGAGACCAAUCAACCACACAUAUAAUUAAAUGGCAACCCAACCAAGUGUUUAUACAAAUUAUUCAACCAAGAGUACAUCAUCUUUCAAUUCAUAACUCAAAAUGAAUAUUAGCAAUCAACCAUGGCCUUAUACAAAAUGAAUCAACAUAACAUUCAUGAGCCAUUACUUUGGCUAACCCAAUGACACAUAUAAAGCAAAAUAACCAAAAGUCCUAUACAUGCCAUUAUGACAAAAUAAGAGUUUUUAUAUACCCAAAAUGGAAUUAGGUUGAUAGUGUGAUCAAUACUCCAACCGACUUCCAAUCCUCAAGAGUCCACGAGUUCUGUAAAACAGGGAAAAAUGAAAGGGGGUAAGCGUUAAUGUGCUUAGUAAGUCCGGAUAACGGGAAGGUAAACUUACCGGUUAUUUAGCAUACAACCAUAUUUAACAUUCAAUCCAAACAAGUAUAGGAUCGUUUCCAUGCCACAUACACUCAACCAUCAAGUUAGUCUCAUGUCAAUAUAUGACAAUAACAUGUCUAUAUGAAUUCAUCAUUUCAAUAUUCCUAUUUCAUAUCUCAUAUUAGUCCCGUUGAAGUUCUCGGUAUCCCGAUGGAUAUCCCAUUUUCUGUCAAUUCUUACAAGUGAUCAUUUUAAGUACGGACUCCCACGAACUUCGUAUAUUACGGUGGGAUUACCAGUCCAGGCUAAAUCCCCUGCAACGACAUAAACUCUAGUGAGCUUGGAUCUGAAUUACCAGUCCAGGCUAAAUUCAGAUCCUAAUUGGAUUACCCGUCCGGGCUAAAUCCAUUAUGCACACAUAUUCUUCGGAAGGCUAGAUCCUUUUUACCAUCAAUUCAGUUUCGAGAAAAUCCAUCAGGUAACCCUUUUCAUUCAAUUGGGACAUUUUAUACGCAUUUUAUCCAUUUCAUCAAUUUUCAUGAAUUAUCAUGCAAUGAACAUCUAAAAUUUUCAUGCAAUCAAGAAUACAGAUUUUAAAUAUAUUAAAAGUAUUCUUUGAGUUACUCGAACUUACCUGGUAAUGGUCUCGAAUUCAAGUUUUGAUUAUUCCGAAACUUUUCGCUUUCCAUGAUCGACCUCAGGAAUUGGUCUUUCGGGGUCUAAAAUAGAAAAAUAAAUUUAUUAAUACAUCAUUUUAUCCCUUUUUGGCCUAAAACCCAUCCUAGGGCAAAAUGACCAAUUCGCCCUUAAAUCUGAGAUAGAUUGAAAACAGCCUUCGAUAGAUAGAAAUCAUACGCAGAGUUAAAUGUUAGGAAAUUGAGUUUGCUGUUGGUGACAAGGUGUUUUUAAAAGUAUCAUCAUGGAAGAAAAUUUUGAGAUUUGGCCGAAAAGGGAAGCUGUGUCCUCGUUUUUUUAGACCGUAUGAGAUCACUGAAAGAGUGGGACCAGUCGCUUAUCGUUUGACAUUACUUGCAAAAUUACAGAAAAUACAUGAUGUUUUCUAAGUUUCAAUGCUUAGAAGGUAUUGAUCGAAUCCAUCUCACAUUAUUUCAACGGAAGAAAUUGAAAUUCAACCUAACUUGUCUUAUGAAGAAGAACUAGUUUAAAUUUGGGCUUGCGAGAUGAAAGAGUUGCGUAAUAAGCAUGUUCUGUUUUUGAAAGUUCUAUAGUGUAGUCAUAGCAUCGAGGAAGCAACUUAGGAGCCAAAAAAGACGAUUUCGGGGACGAAAUUUAGUUAGGAGGAGAAUCGUAACAACCCAAUAGUCAGAGGUGUCAGAAAGUGAGGUUUGGGACUCCUUUUUUGUAAGACGAACUCUUAGAUAUAUUUAUUGAAUAUAUACGAGGUUAGUUUAUUAGUAAAUUAAAUUUUGGAUAAGUAAUUGCAGGAAAUUAGUAGUUAUUAAGGUAUAGGGACUAAAUCGUGAAAGGGUCAAAAGUUUAAUUAUAGCUUAAAAAUAAAUAAAUGGGUACUAAAGUAGUAAUUAUACCAUUAAUUAAAGGUUGGAUGGUGGUCGGCCAUAUAUUAAUAAAUAUGCAUAUGUAUAUUAUAUUUAUAUAUGUUAUAUAUAUUAAGAUGAUGAUGAUGAUGAUGAUAAUGAUGAUGAUGAUGAUGAUGAUGAUGAUAAUAAUAAUAAUAAUAAUGGUAGUAAACUAAAAUCACUUCUUUUAUUUCACAUGCAAACAAAUUAAAAAGAAAAGAAAGAAAUAGGGGAAGAAGCUUGGACGACACCUUAGGGGUUUUUAAGUUUUACAACUUCAAUUGGUUAGACUAUUUAGUCCAUUUAGUCCAUUUUCUUGUAAUUUUUAUAGUUUUGGAAUCCUGGUACUUAGAGCUACCCGACCCAUGUUAAGAUUUUUAGUAUUUUUCAAUAUUUUAGAUGUUGCCAUUGUUGAAUAGUUUAAGUAUUAGGGAUUAAAUAGAUAGAUUUUUAAGUUAGAAGUGGAAAAGGACUAAAUUGUGGAAUUAAUUGUUGAUUUUGAACAAUAGGGACUAAAUUGAGAAAAAAAAUUAAAAAUUAGGGGUGGAAUUGAAAAAUAAGGAGCUAAAUUUAGCUUAGAGUGGAAUUAGUAUAAAAUUUGAUGUUAAAUGUGGAGGCUAAAAUUAGUCUUGGUUUAGGGACUAAAUUGAAGUUUAGGCAAAUAUAGUGUAAAAAUUAAAAAUUUAAUGUGAAAUUUAAUUGUGUAAUAUUAAUGUAUUUUAAUUGUUUUAAUCCGUAGCUAAUGUCGUACCGAAAUCCUCAAAUAAAAAGGGGAAGGAUAAAAUUGACGUCGAAUAGUUCGGAAUUCACAGUUUGUGUUUCUAUAAUCCGAACUGUUAUAAAUUGUUACAUUUUGAGCUAUUAUGCAUGGUAAGACAUGAGGUAAGCAGUUUGUUAAAAUUGGGAUGAAACAAAUUGAAUUGAAUUGAUGAAUGUUUAUAAUGAUUUAAAUAUGUGCAUUGAGAAAUGUACGUAUCUGUAUAUAUAUGUUGAAUUGAAUAUAUAUUUUGAGAAUUGUAAUUGUUAAUGAAUUGAAUCACAUGCCUAUUGUAGCAGCCCAAAUUUGACCAGGCUGAAAACAAGAUAAAAGAAUUAAAUAAAUAAAUAUUUAUUUAUUUAAAAAGCCCAUUACAGUCCAGUUUACAAAAACCCAGUACCCGGUUAUAACCCAAUUAGACUAAACCUUUGGCCCAAAAUCUAUUAACCCGUUACACCCAAACCCAAACAAGACCUAACCUAAACGAGGCCCAAUGCCUAAACAGAAUCUGGAAACCCUAGGGUUUCCAGAAGCUUCGCGCCGUAAGCACCCCAUCAGUCACGCCUCUUCAACCUCGGUCGUUCCAUCUACCCUCAUCGACGCCAUGAUUCCAGGCCUCAAAUCUGGCCGUAGUUGAAGCCGAAUGAAUGCAGAUCAGCGCCAGCACCGUCGUCAUCAGGGCCUAAUCAUCCUGGCCCACUGAUUUCCUCGCUAGACACCUGCAAAAAAGGAAGAGAGAACCAACAACAACCAAGAAACUAAUUUGGAAAGAAAUCAAAUGAUUUCCUUUCCUAAAAUGUAGCAAAGGGUUAUAAAAACCCCUCUUUUUUCUAAUCUGUAACACACAUUUUUGAGAAAAAACACACAUAUAUAAUAAAACAUAGUGGUUUAUCGAAGAACAGAGGUAAUAUUGCUUUUAUUUUUUUUAAAUAACAUGCGAACAUCAUUCAAAUAGAUCAGGAUAGAUUUUACCGUUAAAAUCUCUUCGUGAUGUUGACACGUUUCGAACUCUGACCGCCGUACAUGGCGGUGUUGACGACUGCGCGUGGGCGCGUGGGCGCGUGGGCGCCCGAUGAUCGGAGCAUGGCCGGACAGAGGCCAGAGCCCGGAGGGCCUCUCAUCUCUCCUCUUUCAGAGGAUUUUAAAGUUUUUUUUUUAAAACGGUCUCUAAAAUGAUUUUUUGAAACAAAAAUUGAUUUAUAUAAGGCAAUAGAUACGGUGUCGUUUUGCUUAAGUCCAAUAAACACUGAAACGGCACCGUUUAGGCCAGGAUCCGCGCGUUGACCCGUCACCCGGGGAGGAUCUCGUGUUUUUGUAAAAUGGGAUAAUUUCCCAAUCAGUCCUUCUGCAUUUUUAAUUUUUAUAAUUUCAUUUUGUUUUCUUUUUAAUUCGACCAUAAUUUUUUAUAAUUGUUUCGAUUUAGUCCUGAUGGCUAUUAAACUCAUUCUGAGGAACGACGUCGUUUUGGGAUAAGGGUUAAUUUCCCGAUGAGUCCCUCGAUUCUAAUGCGUUUUUUCAAAUAGGCCUAAUUUUUUUUAUAUUUUUUUAAAUUAGCCCAAAAUUUUAACUGCUUUUAAUUUUAGUCCCAUUAUACUUAUAAACUUAUUUAUUUUAAGCUUUAUUAUUUAUUUGAUGUGUAUUAUUAUUUUAUAUUGUAUAUUAUUAUUAAACAUACUGGAAAUCCAUUUAUUUUAUUAAAUUAUAUAUUAUGGCAUACAUAUUAUUUAUAUUUUAUUAAUAAAUUUUUUUUAUAUAUGUAUUAUAAAUAUAAUAAAAUUAUUUUAUUAUGUAUUAUUAUAUUAUUUUAUAUGGUAUAUAUAUUAUUUAUAUUUUAUUAAUUCAGUAUUUUUAAAAAAAAUGAUAAUUAUAUAUAAAUAAUCAAAUUUUUUUAUGUUAUUAUAUUAUUAUAUGUUUCCUAUAAAUUUUAUAUACAUUAUAUUAUUCUAUUUUAUAUUUUAUCGUACAUUUAUAUUCUAAUACAUAUCAUCAUAUAUAGUUUUAAAAUUUUAUAAAUAAUUAUUAAACAUUAUUUUUAUAUAUUAUUACAUAUUUAAAAGUCAUUUAUUACUACAUUAUUUUAUUAUUUUUAUAUUUUAUGUGUUAUUUUAUUAAUAAGUAUUAUACUAUUUUUAUUAUUUGUUUUCAUAUCAUUUUGUUACUUAUUAUAUUUAUUUCUUAUAAUAUUUUUAAAUUGUAUACUGUAUACAUUUUAUUAUAUAUUUUUAUAUUAUUUAUUAUAUGAUUUAUAUUAUUUAAUUUAUAUUAUAUUUUACCAUAUUUCCUUAUUACCUUUAUUUUAUCAUAAAGUAUACAUUUUUACUUAUUAAUUAUAUACAUGUUUUUAAAGAAUAGCAACAUCUAGUACACUAUUUUUCUUAUAUACUAAGUUAUUAUAUCUAAUAAUAUAAUCUAUAUAUGUAUAUAUUCUUUUAAAAAGGUUCUCUUUUAUUGUUCUUACAUCAUUUAAUAUAUUUCUAAAUAGCUUACUUUUAUAUUUCAUACAUUUAAUUUGCUUAUUUAUUUUUAAAUUCUCUUUUAUUUUGAUAUAGUUUAAUAGGUUAAAUUUUACAUAUCAUUUUAUUCUUGUAUCUAUAUAUUCGCGUAAAAUUAGUUAUUUAUGAUUAUUUAGGUAUAUAUAUUUGCAUAAAAUGUUGUUAUAUAUAUGUUAUACUAUUAAAAUUAUUAUGCUCUAUGUUGUAUUGUACAUGUAAUACUAAUGUAUCAAUAUUUAUGCCAUUAUUUUAAGACAUUAUACUAUAUUUGCAUGAAAUGAUAAAGCAUGUACAUUGUAAUUAGAUUUAUUUAACUCUUUGUAAUAUGCAAAACACAUCAUUAUUUUUAAAACUAAAGUUAUAUCUCACUUAAUUCAAAAAAUGAAUUUUAAAAGUGAGGCAAUGUUUUGAUAUUUUAGAGAUCCGGGAAAUAGUGCCCUAACAUGCUGGGUUACGAUUUAUUGUUUGUCUAAAUAUCUAAAAUAUCCUUUUAAACAAAUUUUAUAAAUCACGAGAUGAUUUCAGUUAUGAGUGUUUAAGAACAUCGUGUCCUAUCAUGUUGGAUGUGGUGUUUGUAUUCUUUUGGAGCUAAGGAAUCUCGAUUUUUCGACUUAAAUAAUUUCGGUUUUUAAAAAAGGAAUCUUAUUUUUAAAUCCUUUCAAAUUUUUGACAUUAAGACAGAAAUCUAAUCAAUUUGGUACCAAUUUUGGGCGUUGCGAGGGUGCUAAUCCUUACUCGUACGUAACCGACUCCCGAACCUGUUUUCUUAACUUUCGUAGACCAAAACGUUUUAUAAGGUGAUCCAAUCACACCUAAAAAGGUUGGUGGCGACUCCCAUUUUUGUUUUUCAAAAGUCGAUCCCCGUUUUUCAAACAUCCCUUUAAAAAAUGGUUUCGACAGCUUGGCGACUCCACUGGGGACUUAAGAGAGUCAAGCCAAGAAAUUGAGUAUUUUUGUCUUAAUGUCAGAAGUUUGGAACACUUAAAUCUUUUUACAUGUGUUUGAUGCAUAUGUUUGUUACUUUAUUGCUAUACAUUGCAUUUGCACGACCGUUGUGGUCAUACCCUUAAGUGGGAGUGAGAAGCUACGCUUUCGUAAGGUUUUCACCUUCGUAUGAGCUAGUGGAUUGUUUCCGGGAUACUCUACCUAUGUCUUCGUGAGAUUUUCAUCUCCGCAUGGCCAUAGGGAAAAGUGUCCCCCUGAACUGAACUUGGUCUAUAUGAACUUAUAGUGGGUGAGGACCGAAGAAUCUGCUGGUUCAGGUACCUUGCUUUAGAACUAAAACUCAUGUAGUGAACUUUUAAGUACUUAUCCUAGGAAUAAUAGUGAUAACCUUUAGAAAAUUACCCUUAUAAAUAUUUGUUUAUCUUUUUAUAUAUUGAUACUGACUUAUUGUUUUUUUUUAUUUUGCUGUCAUUGCAUGUCAUUUCGUAUUUAAAAGUGUCGAUUCACGGCUCGAUUUCUAAAUUAGAAAGUUCUGUAAUGAGGAAUGAAUAACUUAAUAAAGUGGAGGACAAUGCUUCUGUCUGUACCUGGUCAGAGAAAGCCCAGUUAGAGAAGGGAGAUAGUGUCACUAAGGGGUAUACGUUAGAGUUACGGGACUUCACUAGUGUUAAUUCGACGCAGAAUGAGUUGCAGGAGCUGAAAAACAUUUGGGCCCAGUGGGAUGAUGAUGCUAAGCAGCUUUUCUAUCAGAGUUAUGGAGAUCUUCCAUAUUUGCUACACGUCAAGGUAGAUAGACACUUGUUUCGAGCUAUGGUACAGUUCUGGAACCCUGCUUAUAGUUGUUUUACAUUUGGUGAUGUUGAUCUUGUACCUACUUUAGAGGAGUAUACGACUUUACUGCGUUGUUCAAUAAUUCAUGGUUACAAGGCUUAUGUUAGGCCUGCUAGCCUUCCAACUUUUGCGAAGAAAUUGAUGAUGAUUACUGGGAUGAGUGAGCAGUGGGCUGUAGCUCGUGUGCAGCAAAAGGGUGAUAGUAAGUGUAUUCCAUAUGCCGUUUUGAGGGAUUUGAUAUUGACGCAUCCAAAUGUGAAGAAAAAGGUCGACGUCCUGGCUUUGAGCAUUUACGGCACGGUGAUCUUCCCGAAGGCAUUGGGGCACAUAGAUGAGUCGGUCGCAGAUUUGUUUGAUCGACUUAGUAAACAGAACACGCAUGUGCCUGCGAUCCUAGCUGAGACGAUAAGAUCCUUGUGACAAACUUUCGAAUGUUUUACCAUUUGAUAUGGUGGAAAGACUUGAAAAACUAGAAACUCUGCAAAUAUUGGAAUGCGAAUCGGUAGAAGAAAUAAUUGGACUUGUUGACGAUCAUGGACUCAACUCAAAUGAAUCGAUUAAGCUCAAAAGGGUUUCUACUCCAAGGUGCAUACUACAGAUUAGCUAUUGUUAAAAUUAUUGGAGGUGAGUGAAUGCAGCAAGGUGGAGACAUUUGCUGGGGAGUAUAUCAACUUUAGAGAAACACAAGGAGAGAACCAAACCAUUAUCUCUGUUCCACAACCCCUAUUUUGGGUUACUAAGGUAAGAUCUCAUAAAAGAAACUAAAUAAAAGGUCAAUCUAAACAGAGUUGCAUAUUUUAUCAUUCUCUUUAGAAGAUUUGCUUUUAUUUAACAUAUAUAUGUUUUUUAAUUUCUCAGGAAACAUUCCCCAAUUUAGAAGAAUUGGUUUUGGAUGGGAAUGGCAAUAUGAAAGUAUGGCAUGGACAUGGAGCAGACCCCAAGCAAUAUUGUCCCAAACUAAGAGAGUUAUAUUGUCCCGAAACAUGAGUUACUAUCUCAGAUUGUUUCAUUUAGUCAUUACAAAAUCUUGAAUACCUUUCUUUUGGCAAACGGCAACCUUCAAUGAAUUAUUUCCAUGUAAAGGUGUAAGAGACGAAAACGAAAAUGCAGGAACGCUUGCUUUCUUGAAGGAAUUAAGUUUGUAUUAUCUUCUUGAGUUAACACAUCUCUAGAAAAACAAACUAUCACUUGCAGAAGUUUUCUACAAGUGUUGGGAUGCGGAAAAUUAAAGAAUUUAGUGCCAUCUUUUGUGUCAUUCAAACAUUUGACAACUCUAGAGGUAUCAAAAUGCCAUGGAUUCAGAAAUUUAGUAACAUUCACAAUAGCUAAAAGCAUGGUACAAUAAAAGCAAAUUGGUUCAAUUUUUACACGAUAAUUUAAAUUCUAAAAAUAGAGUUUAAAAUCCUUAAAAAUGAUCUUGUGAAUAAAUAUUUAAUCCUAAUGAAAUUCCAUCCAACUUUCAUCUUGUGCAUUUAAUCAUAGUCGAUGAAUAGUUGAUGUAAGAGGAUUGCACUAUUCAUUCUAUUCAACAUAAAUGAGAGCAUUUAUUCUUGAGAUGUUCAUUCAUUUGAAUCAUUCUCAGCAUCAAGAGCUUUUGGAUUCUCAUGAUUAGAGAAAUUUGUUGGUAAUGCAAAGAAAUUGAAAAAAAAAAUAUUUUUAAAUGGUUACGAUUUGAUAAAAUCAAAAUCUAGCUUCUAAAUGGUUACGAUUUAAUAGAAUCAGAAUCUGACUGUUGAGACUUUUUAAGAAAUUGACUCUGCAAAUUUACCAUUUUGCGUCUUCAAAAAACAAUAUAAAUAGGAGGUCAUUUUCUUCGUUUUUCAUAGAACACAGCAAGAGAAAAACAACUUCUCUCAAUUUUCUAUUAUCUAAAUUCUAUUUUGCGAAAUUACACGAGAGGGAAAUUCUGUCUAGGAGAUUGGGUUUUAAGCGGGACCGUCUGUGACCCCUCCAAUCUUUCUUAAGAAUUGAACCUAGUGUGAUUUCAUUGAUUUUCUUCCAGUUUAUUUUUCGAUCAGAUUCGACCAAUUGCUUUUGUUUUUUCGAUUUCGAUUCCUUUCGAUAAGCGCAAUACUAAUUGUGUUUCACCUUCUUUAUUCAGGUGUACGAAUAUUAAAAUACUGUGUUAACCUUGGGGGGCGACGUCCACUACACAAUUACACCGAUCAAGGUGAAUUCGCUUCUAAGGCAAUGGUUCUUCCACGACACAAUGAUUGUUUUAUUUAUUUAGACUUAGUAUGGUUUCCUAUCAACACUAACAAUUUUGUUUUACAGUAGUAUAUUUCCAACAAUUAGAAGUAAAUUAUACUACUGUUUAAACAUGAGAAUCAUUUCCAUUUCCCGCUAUUGGAACCAAUGAAGGCUCCUACAGGCAACGAGGUAGAGUACACUUGAGGAUAGUUAGAGCAAGUGAAGUGUCCUAUUAAGGCAAUCGGUUUGAGGGCACCUGAGUAGUGCAAGACUGUGCCUAAGUAAUGUUGGAGCAGUUGCAAGCUCUAUUUGUGUUGGCUAAUGGGUCAUUACGAUCAAGAUGGGUUUGGAAGGCCUAGCAAGAUUGAGUGGGUCUGAGGACCCUUGAGUUUGAGAUGGGUUAGAGGUCUCUUGAGUUUGAGUUAGUUGGAGGACCUUUGAAUUUGAGUUGGUCGGAGGACUAUGAGCGGAUCGCUUGAUCAUUGUAUUUGGGAUAGGGCUUACAAUCAGGGGCGAAGCUAGAACAAAUUUUUACGGGGUCGGAUAAAAUUUUAAUUUUUUAUAGUUUAUAUCUUUAUAAUUUGUAAAGGAUUAAAUUAAAUUUUUAUAAUUUUAGGAGGGCCAAAAUGCAAUUUUACCUUUACUAAUUUAAAUUUUUUAAAAAAUUUUAAUAGCCCAAAGAGUAAAUUUACAUUUUAGGGGGGUCGGGGCCCAUGCUAGCCCCCUGGCUUCGCCCCUGCUUACAAUGCCCUUAUCCAUGAUAAGCUACUAAUACAUGAGAUUUGUGGAGCUAGUCCAAGCGUCACCGAGUUUUUAACCAAAGUAGACUGGAGGAUUAUCGAGUCCAAGAGCUUGAAAAAGAGAACUAGUGGGGGAUGUCUUAUUUAGGCAACUUAUGAGAUUGUGCGGAGAAAGGAGUGACGUGCCAGAGUUUGUGUGAAUGAGCAUUAAAGUCUGAAAUUGAGAUUGAGAUCAACCUAGUUCGGUGGUGCUGCAUGUGUUGCGGUUGGCCAAGAUGGUCACACCAAUUGGGUGACCAUGGAGGCGCUGAGAGGGCCUAAGUUGAGGAUGGCCAAUGUGUCAAAAUUUCCCAUGUUAAGAACUUUUGUGUUGGUGUCGCACAUAAACCACAACCAGAGGGAUGUGUUUUUUAGUAUCAAAGACAUGGUAAUAUUCAAUUGACAAAGGGUCAUACCAUUAAGGGUUCCUCAAGGUUGUAACCUAAUGAUUAUGUGUUGUGACAUUGAGUUCGAGUGUUUGGUAGAGGAAUGGGCAUAAACAAGACUAUACCAACGAUUGAGAAUAGACCAAGUUCGAGUCUAUGCUUGAUGCGCGUUGAAUGAAUCAUAACCAUAGACCUUGAAGGCCCAAGAUGGACUUGAGACUGAAAUGUCAACUCAAUGCAACAAUGUUACUAAAAGUGUGGUUUCAUGUUGAUGAGGACAUUGACAUAGUAAGUGGGGGAGUGUGGUCGGCAAUUUACUAUGCUAGUUAUCAAGGUUGAGCUUUCCCAAAACGAUCUUGAGUGAAAUUAAAGUACAAUAACUUGGAAGUUGGAAAUUGUCGAAUACCCUAUAGUCUUGAGAGAUGUUGUGAUGCAAACUGGGUAACUGAUAAAAUUAGCUUUACAAGUGGGUAUGUCAUUACUUUGGAUGGAGCAGCUAUUUUUUGGAAGUCUACUAAACAGACGUGUAUUGCUCGUUCCACAAUAGAAUCAGAGUUUAUAACUCUUGACUAAGCCGAGAAAGAGGCCGAGUGGCUUAGGAAUCUACUUGCAGAGAUUUCUUCAUGGGAGAAUAGAGUACUUGCUUUAGAGUACAUGAGGUCUAAAAGGUGUUCCACCUUCUUUAUUUGGGUGUAUGAAUAUUAAAGUAUUAUGUUAACCUUGGGGGCCGACGUCCACUACACAUGAUUACACCGACCAGGGUGAAUUUACUUCUAAGACAGUGAUUUUAUUAUUUUAAAUAUAUUUGGACGUUUUCUUCGGAGAAAUUCAAUAAUUAUAAUGAAAUUUUAAAUAUAUUUUAAUAAGAUAAAAUUAAUUGGUCAAUCAAUCUUAAAAAAAAUAAUUAGUCAAUCACUUAUAUCUUUAAAUAUAUUCUAAUGAAAUAAUAGAAAGAUAUUUUAAUCAAUCACUACUAUUCAUUUUGGAGUUACAUAGAUAUAAAUAUAUUGAUGAAUUUUUUCCCAAUUUUCUCAACUUUCCUUGGUAUUCAUCAUUUAUCUAUUUAUUUUAUUUAGUUAUUAAAUCAUUCAUGGUUAUAAUUUAAUUUUUAAAACUUUAAUCUAAUGGCUCAUAUUUUUCUCAUUAAAAUAUCUUUCUUUUUUAAUUAUAAAAUUCAAAAUAUUCUUUAAUAGAGAAAUGAUAAAAGUACCAUUUAAAAUGUAAUAAUUACUUAUGGAUAUAUUAUUUCUUCAUGGUUUAGUAUCUUACCAUACCAAUACAAGUACUAAACUUAAUAUUAACAAAUUUUGUAUAAUUAUCAUUACACUUAAUUAUGAAGAAAUCUUAAUUUUUAUAUAAAAAAAUAUUAUUCAACAUGUGUUUAAUCAUUGAAUUUGUAACUUCAAUGAUAGGUUGACAAAAUGGCAAAAUGAUAAGUUGACAUUUAGAAACUAAAUUGAAUGGUGAAUAAUGGAGUAACUUACAUGAAAGGAUCAUGAGACAAACAAUUAAUGGUAGGAGUAUGUUACAAAUGCUUUUAAUGGCUAAAUUAUGCACUUGAUUUAUUUAUACAUUGUUUUUAAAUUAUGUUAUCAUCAUUAAACUCUUUUGCUUAUCAUACAUAUUUAUUUGUUUCUGUGCGUAUAUUUGAGAAAAUCAACAGCAUCCAUGUUUCAAUUUUCAGCACAACAAAUAUGGUAUAAUCCUUUUGAUGCUAUAGUAAAGGUGGCAUGUACCUAAUGCCAAAACUUGUUUUUGGAGUUAAUUAUGGUACCUUGGUAUCUUCUAUGCUUGAAUUUUGUAAUGUAAGCAUGUUCUAUAGGCAUAUAAGCAUUUGAUGAUAUGAUUAAGUGAUUAUGUUGAUAUGCAUGAUCUCAAGUUAAUGAUUUUGCUAUGUUUCAUUGGUUGCAUUCAUUCCUUGUAGGUGAAAUUGAUAUCUGAAAUUGGAAAUAUUGUGACCAUGAUAAUAACCAUGUGUCUGAAUAUGUUUAAAUAGAAAAAUAUGAGGUUUAAACAAGAAUUUGGUGUUCAACAAUACUCAUAGUUGAAAUGGUACUGUUUUGAGCCAAAUUAGAUAUGUUUUGAGGUCAGUUUUUGGUCCUAACAAACUUGUACCGGUACAAGUAGCUAGAUGGAUCGGAAUAAAUAAGUUAAUAGCUAAAAAUGAACAAUUGCAGGGACUUCUAAGUCCAAACUUCUAUGGAUACAAGUGUGGGAGAACAAGGUCCCUCCCAUGUUUUGACUUGUUUUGACCCUCGAAGACUCGAACUUGGUCCUUAUCAUCUCCAAAUACCUAGAACUCAAUUAAAAAUGUUUCUAAUAUAUUUAAAAUGACUUGAACUUGUUUUUAAUUAAUAUGAAUGGUUUGUAUAAUGUGAUGAAUCCUUGAUGCUUAUGUUGUUUUUUAAAGAGAAGCUAGUUCAAGUUACUUUGGCAACAAAUGUGAUGUCAUACAUUCGGACCUGACGAUCACGUCAAAUGUGGAGUGUCACAUAUACACUUUAGUUUUUAACAUAAUUUGGUUCCUUUAUGCUAUCAUGUUAUUAGUCUAAAUAGUUAAUAUUGUUAACUAUGUCAAUCAAAACAUUGAUGUCAAUUUAUGUUAAAAACACUAUUCAAGCAGAAAAAAAUUAUCAUGACAAAUUCAAACGUAUGUUUUUAAGAUAAAUCCAAGUGAAUUUUUUUAUACGAUGUAUUAGGUAUAUUAGGUAUAGGAGAAGCUGAAAACAAAAUAAGGUUUAAACUUCAAAAGAUAUUUAUACGAUCCUUAAUAUAAAUGUUAUACUUCUACUACUCAAAAUUUCCUAAAUCACCACAAUGUGGAUGAAAAAAAUAUUAUAUGUUAAAAAUAUUUCUAAAAAAUAUUAUUUAAUAAUAAAUAUAAAUAGAGUGACAUCCAUUAAGAGGGUGACGUAGCAUAUUAAUUUAAAGGGUUAAUAACCAAUUUAGUCCCUAAACUAUAACUAAAAUAUCAAUUUUAAAAUUUUAAAAUUCUUCUUAAUAAUAAUUUUAAAAAAUUUAAAGGGUAAACUACUUGGAUAGUCAUCCAAGUUUUAGUGCGUUCCUAUUUUGGUCAGCGAAUAUUUUUUUGUUAAUUUAGUCACAUCGUUAGAUUAAUUGUCAUGUUUAGUCACUCCACCAUUAAAAUGCCUCGGCCACUAAACAAAAUGUUGAUAUGACAAUCUUUUGAUUGGUAUAAAAACAAACUUAGCCCUUAACACUUUACACAUUUUAUUUGUUUGUUUGUAAUUCUAAAAAUUCACCAAAUUUAACACUCAAUAUUGCACAUUUUGUCAAUUUAGUCCAAAUUCAAAAAAUAUAUAGUUUUAAAAACUUGAAAAUAUAUAAAAUUUAUUAUAAAAUGACAAAAAAUAUGAAUUACUAAAAAUGUAUAUAACAUAAAGGCUUAAAUAUGAAUUUGGUUGAGGGAUUCAAACAAAUGUUUCUUGAAUUGUAACAAAAAUUUGUAGGGAUUCAACAAAAUUUAACCCUCAAUUUCUCUUGAAUUUUUUGAAUAAAUAUUUAUUUUAAUUCUUUAAACUCCACCGAGCUAAACGAGUCCUUUGAGUUAAUUUUUUUAAUCAAUCACUAUCAAAUUCUACUAGCACAUGAUCAAAUAGUUGUUUGAGGGAUUCAAAUUAGAAAGCCUUUACUUAUAGAAACAUCUUUGGCUCUAUUUUGGCAGUAAAAUACAGGGCUUUAAAGGAUUCAAAUUCUUAAGGCUAAGGAAUGCUUCAUUGAUAAGUUUUCCCUAUUAAAAGAAAAUGCGAAAUAGAGUUUAGGUAUGUCUGUAAAAAAAAAAAAGAAAUUGACUUUGGGUGUGGGUGUGGGUUUAAUGGUGAGUGCUCGACAAUGAAGUGAUGGUGUAGUUUGGGUCUAGUAAAGUUGGGUAUCAAGUUGGUAUGAUAUUUGAGAUUGUGAGGUUUGGGCAGGAGAAUAAGAACAAUAGGAGGCUUGAAGAUGAAUUGGGAAGGAGAUGAGGGGAUGAAUGUUGUUUUACAAAGUUUAUCUCUUUUGUUUGGUUGACUAAAAGAAUCUAGUAACAAGAAAAAAAAUUAAACUUUUUUUACAUGAAAGCGAGUGGGGCAACAAUGUAACUUCCAGCACAAAUCUUUAAUGUGUCGAGGCUUACUACAGUAGUCACAUAUCAAUUGAUCCUUGUCAAACUUACCAUCCGAUGGACUAUCCUGGUUAGCAAUGAGACCAUCUUUCUCAAUAGGUGGAUUAUAGAGCAUAACAACAUAUUAACAAUAUGAAAGGCUGAAGCUGUGUGAGGGUGGGACACACGGUCGUAUGGGCAGACCGUGCAAUAGAUUGAGACCGUGUGGAGUUGGAGUCAUAUGGUCGUGCAAACAAACCGUGUAACCCACUAAGUCCGUGUAGGUCAAAAGUGUAAUUAUUUAAAAGUUGUCGCACAACCAUGUUGUCAGGUUGUGUAACAGGCUGUGGUCGUGUCUUGGAACCGUGUGUGGCAUAUGGCCUGUGGCACCAAAACUAACCUAUAAGUCUCAAAACUCACCUAAACCAAGUUCUAUACAUAAGCAUGUUUUAAAGCAUAACAAUGUUAGGAAAUGUGCCCAUAUUGUAGUAAACAUGUAACUAUUUUCUAUUUAUUUGAAAGAUGAAUAAAUAAAUAAGUUAAUUUCACAUUUCACUAUUAUGUCUUUUGUAUUUUCUGUCUUUUAUAUUUUGCAUGCAUAGAGAAAUUGUGACAAGCAAAUAUUAGCUCAUUGAUUGUCUAAAGUUCAAACUGAAGAUAAGUGGCAUUGUAAAGAACGUUUACAUUGCGAGAAAGACAACUUACUUCAGUAGAUAAUCUAAAUGAGUCCGCAAUCCUGUAAAAGAAUCAAAGUGAGCAUUUGAUUCAAAUAUUGAGAAAGAUUAUUAUUUUCGAAACCAUUUUUAGUUUGAAAAACAGGGAUCGACUUUUAAAAAAGAAAGUUUGGAGUCACCACCAAUCCUUUUUGUUUAGCUGUGAUCGGGUCACCUUGUGAUCGAUCAUUUUAAUAAAGCAUUUUGGUUUAUUAAAACAACGCUUUUGGUCUACGAAAAACUAGAAAACGGAUUCGGGAGUCGGUUACGCGCGAGGAAGGAUUAGCACCCUCGCAACGCCCAAAAUUGGUACCGUAUUAAUCAAUUAACGUCCUAAUGUUGAAAAUUUGGAAAAAGAUUUUAAAACGCAAUUCCUUUAAAAACGUUUAGAUAUCUUGAAUUGGAUAUUGAGAUUCUCUCGCUCAGAAUGAAUAAAAUAUCAUAUCCAGCACGGUAGGAUACAACACUUCGAACCCUCGAUACAAGAUCAUCUCAUGAUUUCCAAAACUCAUGCAUUUGAAAUUUCAAAAGGAUAUUUGGCUAUUUGGUUAAACGGUAAAUUGAAACCCAGCACGAUUGGGCACGAUCUCCCGAAUUUCUCAAACACAAAAUAUUGCCUUUAAUUUAAGAAAACAUGGAUGAAAUUUCAAAAGGAUAUUCAGUUAUUCGGUUGAACGAAAAAUCGAAACCUAGUACGUUAGGGCAUGAUUUCUCGAACUCCCAAACACGAAAUAUUUUCUUAUGUUGAGGGGUUUUUUUUGAAAUGCGAGUGGUUAUAAAAUGAAUGAAAAUAAAAUAAUUAAUGCAUAGAAUAUAAGGUUUAUCAUAUAAAUGAGUUUUUAAAAAAAUAUUAUAAGCUGAAAUUUAAAAUUAAUGCUAUACAAAACAAUUUAAAACCAAAAUAAAUACAAAUAUAAUGUCAAUUAUGUACAUAAAAACAAUGAUGUAUGCCCAUGCCGAAUCUUAAGCAAAUAAUGUACAUGAAGUAAAAAACUUAAUAAGAAUAAUAUAUAUAAAAUAAUAAUGGAUGAGGGUGUCUAAAAAAAGGUAAAUAUAUGGUAAAAUAGGAUUUUUAAAAGAAAUAAAUUGUAUAUAAAUAAAUUUUUAAGAAAAUACAAAUAUGAAACAACAUGAUAUUUAUAAUGUACGUAAACAAAGUUAAUUUUAAUAUAAAUAAUACUAUAUAAAGGUGAUCAAAUUAUAUAUCAUACCUAAUUUUAAAACUACAUUAUAUGAAAGGUUUUAAAAAAAACAAUAAGAAUAACGGAAAAUAACAAUAAUAUUAAAGAACUAUUAUAGUAUAUAAAAAUAAUAGUAAAAUAAUAAUAGUAUAAUAAUAUUUAAGAAAAAGAAUAAUAAAAAUAGUAAUGGUAAUAAUAAUAAUGUAUAAUAGUAAGAAUAAUAAUAAUAAUAACAAUAUUAGUAAAAAGAAUAAGAAAAUAAAAAAUAAAAUAAGGAAUGUAAUAGUAAUAUAUAAUAAUCAUGAAAUAACACUAAUAAUAAUAAAAAAUUGGAAGAUAAUAAAAAAUAAUGAAAAUAAUAAUAUUAAAAUUAAUUAAUUUAAAAAAACAACAAAAAUAAUGAAAAAAAAAGACUAAAUUGAACUUAAAAUGGAAGUUUUGGGGCUAAUCCGAAAUAAAAAUAAGGCGGAUGGACCAAUUUGCAUGCGCGAAUAACAAGGAGGGACCAAAAGGGAAAUAAUCCCUUCUCCUCCAAAACGCACACCAAAAUGCAAUUGAAAUAAAUCACAGGGCCAAGUCAGAAAUAAAGAAAGUUUUAAUUCCAAAGCUAUAAAAAGUGGAAGGGCUAAAUGUGCAAUUAGCCCUUCCAAUUAAAAACACGAGGAUCCUAGGCUAGAGCGGGUCGGGUCAGACGGGUUAAGGGCAAAACGACGUCGUUUUGGGGAUUUGAGGCCAGUCCCAAAACGACGUCGUUUUGGUGGCCUAUAUUGUGACAGCCCUAAUUUGACCUUAGUCGGAAAGUGGUUUUGGGACCACAAAACCGAGUCGUAAAAAUAAUUAACCAUUAAAUUUUGUGUUUAUUGUAUGUGAAAAAGGCAUGUGUGAAAGUUUCAUGCUUUAAUUUUGUCAUUUGUAUGUGAAAUUAUUAAAUAGGACUUAUGUGAGAAAAUUUAGAAAUGUGUUAGGCAAAUGUUGAAGUGACUUAUUAAUGCAUGUUAUAAAAUGCUUGGACUUGCAUGUCAAAUAUCCCUUUUUGCUAGUAGUGGCCGGCCAUGAUGAUGAAUUUAUAUUAAAAUAUGUAUUAAUUUUAGUUAAAUGGUUUUAUACUUUAAAUAAUAAAAAAAGAAAUUUGGUGAUGAAAACAAAGUUCUAUCUUUGUUCAACUUGGCCGAAUAGAAGAAAGAAAGGAGGGGAAGAAUUUCAGUCACUUGAAUCCUUAGGGAGGUUAGUAUAUUGUGUUAAAUUUGUGAAAUGUUUACUUGUUUUAGGUAAAUUAUCAUGGUUCUUGCUUAGCCCAUGCUAAAAUUUUCAAUAAUGAUGGGUGAAUGGGGCAUUCGGCUAUGGUUAUAAAGGAAGGAAUUUUGAUUGUUUUAUUUGAAUUUUGAUGAUGAAUGUGUUGAGGAAAGAAAUUGGUCUUUCUAAAAAUAUGAAUGGUUAAUGUUUAUACUAGUAAUAGCCGAAAUAAAGAUGCUUGAUGUCAUGAAUAAAUGUUGUUUAUAUGUUUUGAAUUGAGUAAAAUUUGAUGUUUAAUCACUUAAGGAUUCGGCAUUGUUUAAGAUAAUUUAUUUAAAAUGUGAUUUUGAAUAUUAUGAGUAUUGGGAUGUAAGUAUAUGUGUGUGCUCGGUCAUAGGAGUUUGCUAUGAAAUUUUGUUUGGUUGAGUGAUGAAUGGCCGAAUGAACUAUAGGCUAGGUGUGGAUAAAUUUUUGUAUAUAAGUAGUGUGUGUGACUAUUGGUUAAUGACAUUCGGCAUUAUAUAUAUUUUAUAUAUAUAUAUGUGUGCAUUCGGUCUUUGGGGGGGAUAACAAGAUGAAGUCAAAAUGUUAAAGAAGGAUUCUAAGACUUGCUAAGUUGUUAUGAUCAUUGCCGAAUGUAUAUUGGUUAAAGGGAAAUUUUCAAAUCGUCUAUGUAUGAGUAUGUGAACUAAAUAUUAAAUGAAUAUUCGGCAUAAUGGGGUUUAUGAGUAAAUGGCAUACUAUAUAUAUAUAUAUGUGAAUACGUGGUAGUGCAUAAAACAAGUAAUCGAUUAAAUUGUGAUAGUCACACAUAGGUAUAGAUAUAUGAACGCUUUAUGUAUGUACCUUGAGACAUAGGGACAUUUAGAUAUAUAUAUAUAUAUAGUUAAAUUCGUGUAUAUGGAAGCAUGGUAAAUUAUGUGAAUUUUUGCUUGUUCAUGUGAAUUAAGAGGUAUGUUAUAAUAUGUUAAUUUAAGGCAAGAAUUAGAUUGUAAAGAUGUGAAAAGUUUUGAGACACUAGUAUAAUUAUUUAGAAUUCAAGUGGUUGAAGUGUAAACACAAGAAAAAUUGAAGGACCAAAAGUGAAAUUAAACUAAUUUCUUGUGACGGGAAAUUGGUAAGUAGGAACCAAAUUAAAUAAGAGAAGAAAUGUGAGGGACUAAUUCACAAUUUUUCAAAAGUAGGUUGUGAUGAAGGAUGAAAUUUGAAAAAAAUAUGAAAGGUAAAAUGAUCAUUACGCUAAAUUAGAUAAUUAUAUGGUGUAAUGAUUAAGGGUAAAAAGUGUUAAAAAUUGAUUGGUUUAUUAUUUAAUUAAUGUUUUAUUCAAUAAAAAAACAAUAAGAUAUUUUUAUAGGAAAAUGAAGAAACUUCUUUAUCUUCUAUAUAAGUGAUUCUCGACACUUUCAUGGGGAAGAGGAAAAACUUCACAUUUUAGGCAAUUUAGUCCUUUGUCAUGAAAAUCUAUUUUUUCACAAAAAAAUUUUAAAAAUUUCUUUAGACAUCAAAGAGAAAAGAUGAAGUAGAGAUUUUAGAGAAUAUGUUCAUCUAUUUACAGAUCCUCAAGAGAAUUUUUUUUAGCCUGUGUGGCUCUUGUAACUUGCUCCAAUUUUUUUAUUUUCGCUCUUUUUGCUCCCAAAUGCUCUAUUAAUUAUCAAAAUAUGAAUUUAAAGGAUUAGGAGCAUAAAAUUCACCAUUAACAUCGAAUAAUCACCUAAAAUCACAUUAAGAAUAGGAUUAAAACAUGUUACUUUUAGUACUUAUCAUUUUCUAUGUUUGAAAUUUGUAAUGUAAGCAUGUUUUAUACACAUAGAAGCAUUUGAUGAUAUGAUUAUGUGAUUGAGUUGAGAUGCAUAAUUUUAAGUUAAUGAUUUUGCUAUGUUUCGUUGGUUACAUUCAUCCUUUAUAGGUGAAAUUGAAAUUUGAAAUUGAAACUAUUGUGACCAUGACAAUAACCAUGUAUUUGAUGUGUUUAAAUAGGCAAAUAUAAGGUUCAAAAAAAGUAUUUUGUGUUUCAUAAUAUUUAGAAUUGAAAUAGUGUUGUUUUGAGCUAAAUUAGGUGUUUUUUGGGGUCAUUUUUGGAUUAUAGCAAACUUGUACCACUACAAGUGAUUAGAUGGAUCAGACUCGAUGAUUGAGUCAGAUGUGAGGUAUCACGUAUACAUUUUAGUUUUUAACAUAGUUUGGUCCCUUCACGUUAUUAUGUUAUUAGUCUAAAUAAUUAAUAUUGAUAACUAUAUCAAUCGAAACAUUGAUGCCAAUUUUUGUUAAAAACACUAUUCAAGCAACUUUUUUUUUAUCAUGAUGUGUGCUUUUAAGAAAAAUCCUAAUAAAUAUUUAUAAUAUUAUUUUUAUUGUUAAAUGGUUAGCCAGGAAUUUUUUUUAAAUUUAUAAACGUCACCAUAUGAUUUAAUAGAUAAAUGUACAAACUGUAUAAAAAUUUAAAAUAUAUGUUAACUUCAACUUUUGACUUUAUAAUUUAAUACAAGUGCAUCAAUAUUAACUAAAAUAAGAUCAAACACACUAAAAUUUUGACCCGAAGAAUACGAUAUCAAUUAUGAUAAUACAAAUGGGUUUCCGUCACAUGGUACUCCCUGAGACCCGCAUGGUCAACCUCCUGUGGCCAACCUCCUCAAUUAUUUAUAUGAUCCAAUCGAUCAUAAUGAGAAGCUCCAUAAGAUUCUCAUUGGCAGGGGGACAAGUGGGUUGCACAAGGAACAAGUCGCACCCUUUCACACUCUCUUGCAACUGAACAUAAAUCUCACCAUCAGCAAAACGCUUUAUCUUGAUUUUCCCAAGCUCCAGACCCAUAUAGCAUGCGAUUUCCUAUCCAAUAUAGAAAAAGCAAUAGCGGGAAUUACACAACUCAUAUUCCUGUAUACCUAAAUACUUAUUAGAUAUCUAAUCUAAACAAUCUCAAUGAAAGAAAAGAGAGGGUUGAAUUGGAUCUAAAACCUGAGCAAGAGCAGGAUUAGCAGUGCCAGAAAAUAUACAGAGCCUAGUGUCGUGUUUGUUGAUAUCGUUUUGGAAAUGGGAAUUAGGGGACAAGAAGGUUGGAAACGCAGGAUCAGAGGCGAGGAGAGGAAAGUGAGGCUUUCCAUUUUCGAACUUCAAGGGCUCCACCAUGCUACACCUCUAGAAAUAGGGAAACCCAGAUUUUAGCUCCUGAAAUUUUAUUAGAAAAUUAAGAAAAAAACACAUAUGCAAGUCAAAGAUAUAAUUAUUAAGUCCCUCAAAAAGCAUGCAAUGGAGUUAUACACCUGCGUAAGACGUCUAAGAUAUCUUAAUUGUGAGAAGAAAGGAGGAGAGCCAGAUCUGGGAAUAUCUUCAGGGAUUGUGAGAAGAGGCUGAGAAGAGCAAUCGCAAAGGCAAGGUGGGCAAGUGUUGGAAGUGUGGCUGAAGGCUACUAAUCCUUCCAUGAAAUGCCAAUAGACACAACCCCACCUUCAUCGCCGCCGUCUGGUUCACUGCCAUUUCUUCUAUCUCAGAGUCUAACUGGAAACCAAAUCAAGACUGCUGCUGGAGAGUUUAUUGACUGAAAAGAGCAACGGAGGGGGUGAGAUUGGGGAUGUUUUGAGGAUACCGAUUUUAGGGGAAAAAAUUAGGGGUUCCAGAAGAGCGAAAUUUGGGAUAAAACCGCGUCUUAAAAUAAUUUUUUUGUGGCGUUUUUUACCAUUAUUGUAGCCUUUUAUGGCGUUUUUUAUAAAAACACCACAAAAAUUAUUUUAUUUUAAAUAAAACGACACCGUUUUGUUCUACUAAAAGUUUUUUAUAUUAUCUGUUAAAAAUUAUUAGUUAAAUAAUUUUAUAAAAUAUUUAUUAUUACUAUUUUUUAUAAAUUGAUUUUUAUAAAUAAAAAAUUAAGUACUCUAAAAAUAAAUAUCGUGUAUUUUAAUAAAAAACAAAUAAUUAAAUGGCUGUAAUUAAUUAUUAAGUUAAAAUUAUCCAAUAUAAGCAAUCAAUCUCUCACAUAUUAAAUUUUUAUUAAAGAUUAAGACGUUAAUCAUGAUUUUAUAUUAUUUUUUUCCGAUCUAAUCUCCACUUCAUUAGAGAUAUUUCUUCCUAACUAAAAUAUAACUAUUUUGCUAGAAUUCGAUGUGGAAUAAUUUUAGUUUUUGUAUUUUAUUUUUAUUUGUUAUAAUCUAGUCCUAUCCAAAAUAGAUAGUUACCGAUCCAUAUCAAUGAUCUGUUACUUUUUAUUUAUUUAUUUAUCAAUUUUUUUUAAAUCUAAUAUUUAAAUAUACCAAAAGUAUUAAUUGAUUGUAAAAAAUUUCACCAUUUAACGAAUCUUAAGUAAACCUUAAAUCCUAAAUCAUUUAAUAUAUAUAAAGUUUAUCUAUUAUCUCUUAAAUAAUUUAAACUAUAAUCAUAAUUUUAAUAUAUUAAAAUUAAUAUUAUCUUUUUUACAAUUAUAUAAGAAAUUAUUUAAUGUAUAAAUUAAAAAACACUAAUUAAUCUAAACCCUAAAUCCCUAACCCUUAACCCCAUAACCCCUAAACCUUAAACCAUAAAACAUAAACCUUUAACCCUUAACCCUUAACCCUUAACCCCUAAACCUUAAACCCAACCCCUUAAAACUUAAACCCUAACCCUUAACCCAUAAACCAUUAACCAUAAUCCUUAAACCCAUAAUCCAUAAACCUUACAAUAGUAACUCAUAAACAUUAAACCCUUAACCAUAUACCAUAAACCCUAAACUAUAAUGAUAAUUAAUUCAAUAUUUUAAAAUUAAUACUUAAAAUUAAUACUAUCUCUUUUACAAUUAUAUAAGAAAAUAUUUAACAUAUAGAUUAAAAAACAAUUAGUCAUAUACCAAAAAUCUUUAAAAUUAUUUUAAAUAAUAGCAUUUUAAUUUUUUUCAUUUUUUGUGCCGCUAAAGAUCACUAAAAUCUCAAUACAAAACGAUGGCGUUUUACAAAAUUAUUUUGCGGCCAAAAGAUUGAGUAUUAGCGGCGUUUUCUAAAAGCGCCGCUAAAGGUGUACAUAUAGCGGUGUUUUUAAAAAACGCCGCUAAUACUCGAUCUUUAGCGGCUUUUUUAAAAAGCGUAGCUAAAAACGCUGCUAAUACUCAAUCUUUAGCGAUGUUUUUAAAAGGCGCCACUAAUGCUCGUUCUUUAGCGACAUUUUUCAUUCAAACGCCGCUAAAAACGCCGCUAAAAACCUGUUUUGCUGUAGUGAAAUAAGAGACUUUGAAACAUCAACAGCUAUAUACUUAUUUCCGUGGAUGUGUAUAUAAAGAUCGUAACUACAAGACUUGAUUUUCAGUGGACCGCAACUCCCUUGCUUCUGAUGAUUUUGAAGGAACAAAGGUUGCAAUUUUCCUUUGAUUUUCUUAAAACAGAAAAAGAGGGGAAUUUUGGAUGAGUUGGUGAGGCUUGCCAAGUAAUGAUUCACUUUGACACAUGAAAAGCCCACAUUUCUUCUACUUUUAAUUGCUUUUACUUUUUGCUUGAUAGAUUGUUAAAAAUGAAAAUGUUCAUGAGUUUUUAAGGAAAGGCAAUGGAGUGGGGGUUGAACUGGAAACUAAACCCCAUAUUCCAUUAUCUUGUUCAUGUAUGUAUACGGUUGUGUUGGGGAUAAGGAUAAUUUUCCCCUCUUUUUUGAAAAUAUAUAAAAAAAAAUUAAAAAUAUUAGAAAGGGUAAACUACAUAUUUAUUCACUUAAGAAUAAUACUUAAAAUUAUAUUUUGGUCAUAAAUUUUAAUGUAAUCACUAAUCUAAGCAGAUCAAGUCAAGUUCGAGUUUAACAAAUAUAAUAUGAGCUAAAUUUAGGCAGAAUUUUAAGCCUAUUUAUCGGGUUGAGUCGGAUUCAAGUCUAUAAUAUUAUACCAUUAUGAACCUACUAAUGUUAGGAACCUUUGGAAUAAAUAUUUUAAGGAUUCAUAAAAAUGCAGUUCCAACCAUAGUAUGAAAUACAUUGACAAAUAUCAGUUUCUUCUUAGACGGUACGAACAACUAAUGACAUAAUUUGACUAAUUAUUCUACGUAUAAUUUAUCUUUCACAGUAGCAUUUUGGAAAUAAUGCUAAACAUAUAUGUAGAUAGAUUUUUCAUGAUUAUUUAAGAGUAAUUAGAUUCCCAAAGUUAAGCUUUAUAUAAUUGAGAUGUUGAAGAAUGAUCAGUCAAAGUAGCAGAUUCAUAUAUUUUUCCUCUUUUAUUUUAUAUUUUCCUUUCUAGUGCUUACUCUUGAUAAUUAUAUUGAAGCGCAGAAUUGAUUAAAGAUCACGUGGCGUUUCAAAUAAAGCCAAGAACUUUCUAUUUAUUUAUUAUUAUUUUAGUUUGAGGAUUCGAAAUUCAAAAUUCGAAUUAGAAAUUAGAAAAUUCUUUUACUCAUGAAUUCUAUUCUUUUUCUAUUUAAUUUCUAAUAAAUCCAUUAAUUUAAUAGUUAAUUUAAUUAAAUAAAUUACGGUACCAUUUAAAAUAUUAAAUUCAAUUUUCUAGUUAAUUUGAACAUUUAAAUAGUAAAAAAUACUUAAUAUGUAAUUCAGGUUCGACGAUUGGACUGGGUAAGGAGUGUUACAUCGCCAGAGAUUUGGCAAAGUAGUAUACGCCAACAGAUGCGGUAAGUGGGUUCUCCAGAUUCAUUGCCAGUCGGACUCGCCAGUGUGUUCGGCGAGCUGGGGUUUGCCAGUUGAGUUGCGAACUAGGGGUUUGCCUGUCAAAGUCGAGUCAAACUCAAAUUAGAAAAUAAAUAUAUUUUGUAUUUAGGAAUACUUUUUGUGCACGCAACUCCUUUCCUAAGUCAAGUAGGGUAUCCUAAGAUUUCUAGCUAACUUAGUGCCUAUAAAUAAGCCUUUAAUUCGUGAAAAUUCUAUCAUCGAAUUUUUUUUUUGUCAAGUCUCUAUUCAGAAUCAAGUUCGUAGCACCCAGAGUAAGUCUCAGUCCUGUUAGGGGAUUGUCCAGAAAGCUAGAUUUGCUUGCAUGAAAGAAUUCUGUUAGUUUUGUCUAUUUAAGUAAUUUUUGUGUAUGUUUAUGUAUGUUGGGCUAUUUUACUAAAUUGACCUAAAAAUUUUUAUUAUUUAUAAAAAAGACCUAGGUUCAAAAACAAUCACAAAAAUGACCUGAAAUGAACAGUAGAAUGGGGUUUUGGCCUGUCAAUAGCCGAGACCAACUCGUAUUUUCGACCCAUGAUUGCCUGAUAAUUGUGUCAGGCUUUAAAAAAUUGUUUUUUUUUUGUUUUGGCCUGUCAAUGGCAGGCACCAGGGUAUUUUUUUUUAAAUCAUAUAAUACUGGUAUACAAAAAUACCAGUAUUUUAAAAAAAAAUUUGGUUCUGGUCUGCCAAUGACCGGCACCAGGGUAUGAGUUUUUAAAAAAAAAAUUUUGGUGCUGGCCUGUCAAUGGCCGGCACCAAGUACAAAAAAAAAAUCAAAAUUUUUUGGUGCUGGCCUAUCAAUGGCCGGUACCAAGUACAAAAAAAAAUCAAAAUUUUUUGGUGCUGGCCUAUCAAUGGCCGGUACCAAGUACAAAAAAAAAAAUCAAAAUUUUUUUGUGCUGGCCUGUCAAUGGCUAGCACCAGAGUACGAGUUUCAAAAAAAAAUUUUGUGCUGGCUUGUCAAUGGCCGGCACCAGAGUACUAGUAUUUAAAAAAAAAAUUUAGAGCUGGCUUGUCAAUGGCCGGCACCAGACUUAGUAUUAAAAAAAAUUUCUUUUUUUGUUUUGGCCUUGUAAUGGCCGGCACCAAACCUUAUAUAUAGUGGGUGGUUUGGGUUCGAUAGUGCAAAUGGAAUGAGAAAUUUUUUUUUUGAGAAAGCCAUCAAAAUGAGAGUGUUUUGUAGUAUAUCAUCAAAUGAGUUUUUUUGUAGUGGAUUGUAGAUGGGAGUUUUUCGUAGUGUACAACUGAAUUUCGAGGUUAAAUUAUAUACUGUCAUGUUUUAACGGAGUUGAUUUUUUUUUUGUACUUGGUGCCGACCAUUGAUAGGCCAGCACCAAAUUUUUUUUUUAAAACUCGUACUCUAGUGCCGGCCAUUGACAGGCCAGCACCAAAUUUUUUUUUAAAUAUUGGUAUUUUUGUAUACCAGUAUGAUACGAUUUUAAAAAAAAUACCCCCAUGUCAGCUAUUGACAGGCCAAAACAAAAAAAAACCAAUUUUUUAAAGCCUGACACAAUUAUCAAGCAAUCAUGGGUCCAAAAUACGAGUUGGUGCCGGCCAUUGACAGGCCAAAACCCCAUUCAACUGUUCAUUUUAGGUCAUUUUGGUGAUUGUUUUUGAACUUGGGUCUUUUUUAUAAAUAUCAAAAUUUUUUAGGUCAAUUUAGUAAAAUAGCUUGUAUGUUGCGAAUCAACUAGACCAUCUACCAGCAAUGAUAAUGGCAAAGUCAAGCUUCUUUAAUUCUCAAUUUUUCGAUAAGUGGUUAAGAAUCGCCAUAAGUGUGCCAACUAUUAUGUUUUUCGGUAUGAAUGCUCAAGGUUCAUAACUUGUGUCCAAACUAUUACGUUUUCCAAAAACUUUGUUUUUAAAGCUAAGUUUCAAGAAUAAGCUUAUUCCAAUAAAACUCUAUUUUUAAAUUUUGAUACUCUAUUUUCAAGUUAUGUUUUCAGGUUAUGCUUUUAAGCCAUGAUUUAAAGAUAUGUUUUAUGCAAGCUCCUAAGCGAGCCUAUGUUUUAAAAUAUGUUUUUAAAGUGCAAUUUUAUAAAUUGUGUUUUUACGAGCUUUUGUGAGAACUCUAUUUGAACAAGUGUUUUCAAGCAAGCUCUAUGUGAUAAGUUUUUGUGCGAGCUCCUUUGCGAGCCAUUAUGUUAGAUAUAUUGAUAUACCAAAGGAUUGUGAGUACUCACCUAUAAGUUCUAUUUUUUGGACGUUGAGGCCCUGGGACAUGUGGAGAGAUAAGGGAAUGUCGAGUUAUGCUCCAUUCACUGAGACAUAUUGAUUUACAUGAGAGUGCAUAGCUUCGCUUGCACUUAUGGGACAUGUUAUAAGACUCUAUGAGUCAUUCUAAGACAUUAUAAGGAGAUUUGCAUAUCCAACAGAUAAGAUAAGUAAGUUAAGACAAGUGUGAGAACAUAUUUUAUGUUUCUCAACAAUUCUGAUAAGACAAGAAUGUGAGCAUGUUUCAUGCUAUACAAGUUUCGUUUGCAAGCUAAGUUUUCAAGUAUGAUUUUCAACAAGCACAACUUAAAUUAUUUUUACAAACUUAUAUGUUUUCUGACAAGCAGGAUUUGUGAACUAGGUCUCACAACCUUCUCCGCGAACCCAUCAUAUGAAACGAUUUUCAAACUAAGUCUCCUUUUUGUUUUAAACUUCAUAUUUUAAGCAUACGUUGAUGAUUCCUAAUUAUUCACUGAGUUCGUAAUGAACUCACCCACUCCUCUCUUACUUCGCAGGUAAGUAGGUUGCGGAUGACAAUGGCAAGGUAGAUGAAUUGGCAAGACUUAUCCCUAAAUAGAUAUUGAUGAAUUUAGGAAAAAGGUGAUGGAGUUUUAUUUAUGUGGGUUUAGAUUUAUUAUAAUUUGACUCAUUUAUUGAAAUAAUUUCUUUUAAGUUUAAAGUUCAAUUUUUGUUCUGCGAAUUGUUAAGUUAAACCUUGUUACUAAUUUCUUCUCAGCAUGAUUAAAGUUUCAUGUUUCAUUAUUUCUCCAUGCAUGCGUACCAUGUUGUAUUCUUUCAACUUUGCCAAAGUAUGUAUUAAAAUAAUAUGUGAGCUAGUUUUAUUGCAAAGUACUAAUUUUCUAUGACCUUUGCAUGUUAGUGACCCUAAUAUGCAUGCGAAACCCUUUGUAGGAAUAUCUUACAAUAUAGCAAACCUUAUUAAAGUAUGUGAACUCUUCUGUGAAUGACUUCUUUGUUUGCGAAGCCAGUAUUGCAUAUGAACUUAGUCUUGUAUGUUCAAGUGCGAACUUAGGAAGCUUGAGAACUGCAGUUACUUAAUUUGCAAACUCAUGUUUUUGUGAGAACUUAUGCUUUAUGUUGUACUGCAAACUCAUAUGUUACUCUGUUAGGCCAACCUAUAUAUUGUAUGACGUAUACAAGCCUACGUUGUGGUGCGAACCUUAAUAAUAAUUUCUAUGUAGUUGUACUUAUGUAUGAUUGUGCAUACCCUAAACUAUUUGUUCGUAUCUUACAUGGGAAUCCUUAAACCUUUCUAUUGUUUGACAUGCGAACCUUUCCUUUGUUUGUUUUGUAAGUAAGUGGUGUGUUGGAGGUUAGAUUGAGAGUUAACGGAGAGUUACUUUAGUGACUUAUGUAACUCGUUAAAUUUGGGUCAAACUUACUUGGCCGAAUUUAAGGUGUUAUAGGACAAUUACUUAAAAAAAGAUUAUAGCGCAUUGUUAGGUGUGUGAGGAAAUACAUAUCAAAAUAAUUAUUGUCUUUUUCUCUUCACUCUUAGACACUAACUAAGCAAACUUUAUUAAAUGAUUAAAUUUUCUAAAUUGUAUCAUAUUUCGGCUUUAUAUCAACUAAAUACAUUAAAAAUCUUAUCCAUCAUAAUUGAUCUUUCAAUACAGAAAGCAAAGCUUUAUGCCUUAAAUAAAUUACAUUCAAAUAUUUUUAUUUUAUUAUUUGAGACUAAAUGAUAAGAAAUAUUGUUAUUUGUUAGGCUUUCUAAUCAUGAUUCUCAAGAUAUGACAACAUUCUCUAUGCCUGAUAAAAUUGGAAACAAACCGUAAAAUGAUUCUACAUUUUAAUAUUCAGUUUCAUCUCGAUUAUGUGCUCUCAUACAAUUAGGUGUAUAUGCAAAGUCAUUGAUUAACUUUUAAGUCCCUGCACUCCUUGUAAAUUAGGAAUCUAGUCUUUACAGUUUUGUUUUUAGGAAUUCAAUUUAUCCACUUCUCAGAUUUCUAAUUUUAGAUAAAUUGUUAACAUUAUUCCUAUUAUUUUAUUAAAUUCAAUUUCAUUACAAGUUCAUAACCUUUUUUUUAGUUACAUUGAUACUCUAAGCGAAUAUAACUUUUUUUAAUUUCAAAAUGUUAUACCAACAAAUUUUAAAAAAAUUAAUAAUGUUAACAAUUAGAUGUGAAUGGGUACGAAGAUGAUCGAUUGUUUUGAAAAUUUUAAAAAAUUGAAAUGAAAAAGAAAGCUUUCAGAAAAAAGAAACAAAACAAAUUUAUGAUUAAAAAUGAUUCUUCGAAAUAAAUAAAAAAAAGAUAUUAAUUUCUACUCUUUUACCCCUAUCAUCUUCUACUCUUUUCAACAAUGGCUCAUUUAAAACUCCCUUACAAAAUACCUCCAACUCAAGGCAACCUUUUACUAUUAAUUUCUCUAAACAUGGGAAUCCAAAAGUACAAAAGCUCUUGAUGCUGAGAAUGAUUCAACUAUCUCAAGAAUAAAUGCUCCUAGUUAUGUGGAAUAAAACAAAUAGUUCAAUUCUUUUACAUCAACUAUAUAUCGACUAUGAUUAAAUGCAUAAGAUAAAAGUUUGACAAAUUUAACUAAGAUUAAAUGUCUAUCCAUAAGAUAAAAUAUUUUAAGAAUUUUAAACUUUAUUUUAGAAUUUAAAUUAACGUGUAAAAAUUGAUUUAAUCUUGUUGCUUUUGUUGUGCCAUCAUACUGGUGCAGAUGUAUUAGAAUUUUUAAAUUUUAUAAAAAAUAUUUUAGUUAUUUAUUUAAUUUUUUGUUUUUACAAAUUAUUUAUUAAAUUACUUCAAAAUAGACGAAGAAGUUACAUACUGAAAGUGCUGAUUCUUUUAUGAUUGGUUUUCUAAGUCUUGCCUUCAGAAUCUUGGCUGUCUUACCUUUUAGCAUCCCUUAACGCAUUACAUGACUUUUCACUUCUCAAAACAUGUUGCAAUUAGUGUUUUGUUUGAUAAAUUUAAGUUAUAAUUGUUUGUUAAAUUAUUUAUACAUUUCUUAACAAAUUUAUGAGUGUUUCUUCUUUUCAUGUUUUUAAAAAAGAAAAAAAAGUUAAAAAGAAGCAAAACUGAUUUGGAAAACAAAGAAUAAAGUAAAAAGAAGUUUAAAUGUUUAAAGUUAUUUAAAGUUUUUUUUUCAAAUUUCCAUAAGAAUUUUUGUAUUUUUUAUAAGUUCAGAUUGGAAAAUCAUAAAGGAAAGAAUUUUUGGGUUCUAAAUAUUCUUAGAGUUGAAAUUACCACAAUAAAAAGCUGUUAGGAAAGUAAUGAAAGUUUGGUUUUCUUCAAUCUUCUAAAGAAUACAUGUAACUCAGUUCAGCACUGACAAUUGAAGUUACAAAUCAAAAUGCAAUUGCUCAUGUACAACACUCUGGUACACUAGAUUAUCGGAUGCAUUUCUAGACUUAGGUAUGAGAAUAUGACUCUCAAAGACAUUAAAAAAAUGGAACAUAUCCUUGUUAGACAUAUGCUCUUAUAUGAAUUUCAAACUCAAAGUUGGAGUAACAUAACUAGGAAGUGAAAUAACAACUUUAGAUCAAUGAAUAUGGCUGCUACUGAGCAGCAGCAACAUAUUCUAGUAGACAACAAUGAAAGGGGCAUCUCCCGUAACUCUUUAUAAAGUAACUGCGCCAAAAUAAUGAGCGAAAUAAUCAAUUUCUGCCAUUAAACUACAUUUUAUGCUUAACCCCAUUACUAAAUGUAGGAUAUUUUUAACACUGGGAUAUAAAAUCAUUUACUAAUUUUCUAAAGCAAUAUCUCCACUUUUCCUUCAAUUUUGGCCUUUCUGUAGUAUGUAUCCUAGAGCUGGAACUAUUCAAUACGAUUAGCCUAUAAAGUAGAAGGAUGUAAUAAGUUUAAGAAAAUACAGAUUUAAGGCUCUUUCCAUAACAAUGGAUUGAGUGAUUGUAACUGCAUGUAAAUUGUUGGCAUGUUUAUUAUUUACAUCCGUUGUAAUUCCAUUAUUCAUCCCCUUAUAUAAAAAUGGAACAAAGUAUUCCAAAGUUAAGUUUUUCCCCCUUCAAUCAAACACAUAUGUAAGAAAUAGACUCACGCAGUUAGUUGACCGGUUGUGCCAUAUCUUUCUCCAGUUUCUAACACCCAUGAUUCUCUGUUCCUAUAAGUAAGGUUAGUUUGCUAGAGAAAAACAAGUAGUACAACAAGAAUAGGGAAUCAGAAACAAAAGAACAUGAAAGAAAACAAUGAUGCAAGAAAACAAAAAUGGGAUAUCACCUUUCAAUGGAAAGAGUUGGAAAGAGAAUCUUUGAGUUGUUUCUUUCUAUCCCAGGACAAUAACGUCAGUGCCACUAGUGAUCAUAAGAUUGGCCUUUGUCCUCUUAAAUCAUUUUCUCAACUCUUCACAAUUGACUUCUAAAACAUUAAAUUUCUUGAAAUCUAAACUUCCAUGAAUGUUCUUCCAUAUUUCAAUUGACUUGGAAAAUUCAGCCUACAAAAUCUGACAAAGAAACAAGGAUUAAAAUUUAUAAAGGUUAUAACGAAGCAAACCCAAACCAUAUAAAAGAAAGAAUGAUACUAUGGAAUAAGCUAGACUAACCAAAGCUAAAUUAAAGGAGCAUACAGUAAUACCUUUAUUGAAUACAUUUCUUGGAUAGUGUUGUUAAGAUCACUACACCAAUGUCCACUAUCUUUUCCGCAUUUUGCCAAUAAUGGUGGAUGAGUUAAAACUCACUCACAAAAUAUCUCCAAUUCAGGGCAAUCACUCACUAUUAAUUCCUUUAAACAUAGGAAUCCAAAUGUGUGGUUGCCUGAACAAAAGCUCUUAAUUUGCGGUAGAUUCACAAGUUCCAAACUUUUCAACCUGCUGAAAAUAAUGUCACAAGUUGCUUCAUUUCCCUCAGUUGCAACUAUUUCCUUCAUUGAACUGCAGUAUCUUAUUGAUAGAGUAUGAGAGUAUUAGUGGUUGUGGUUUGUUAUUCAGGUUGUUAGUCAGUUAAGCAGAGCAGUUAAUAAGUUCUCUACUAUGAAUAAUAGACUUGAUGUACAGAAUGGUUCAGGAUUGAAUUUACAAAAGCAUUCAUUAUUAUUUCAUUAAAAUCACAAAGAGUUCUAGCCUAGAUUACCUUACUUUCUAUCAUGGUAUCAGUCGCCUAAGAUAUUGGUGGUUGCUUCAGCUCCGAGGUCAUGGAUCUGAUGGUUGAUCAGGAAACUGGUUAUUCGUUUCCUAAUUCUGCUUCGCAUCCUCAACUGGUCUAUAACUUCCCUCGUCAUGAGAUUGCUAAGCUGGAUGAGUCUAAUUUUGUCCAGUGGCAGCAUCAAGUUCGGCUUAUUGUCAAUGGCUACGGUCUCCAGGGGUUCUUGGAUGGCUCCGUCAUUGAACCGCCGAAGGUGGUGGCCAUUAGUGAUGGAUGUCUCGCUCCGAAUCCGGAUGUGGUUUGGUUCACGCAAUAAGACAAGCUGCUUGCCUCGUGGCUUCUUUUCACGGUGAGAUCGUCUCUUCUCUCUUAUUUCAUUUCGACUAAAUCUGCUUGUGAUAUCUAGAGUGCAGCAAGUCAUCUCUUCGUCGUAACCUCUGUUGAGAAAGUUUCUCGGAUCCGCCAUGAUCUAAAUGCGGUUUGGAAGGGCGGUUCUACUGUAAAAGAAUAUGUGUCCAAAAUCAACACUUUUUGCGCCUUGCUUGCGGCGUCGGGAUCGAAAGUUUCAGAGGAGGAGAAGGUGGAAGUUCUUUUCGGAGGUCUCACCUCUGACUUUGAUUCGGUCUUUAUGGUGGUUUCGGCUUCGUCGGAGCCAUUGACUUUUCCAAAAUUGGUGGACAUUCUCAUGGCCUUCGAGCAUCGACAGUUACGGGCAGUGCGUGAUGUGUCGCUGAUUACACAUAUGGCUCAGGUUCCUAGUGUUGUGCCUGAUUAUGAUCCUCGUGGUGCUCGUGGUGGUCGGGUGUCGACGGGGUCGCGUGGUGGCCGGGUGUUUCGUUCACGAGUGCAGUGUCAGAUCUGUAGUCGAUUUGGGCAUGUUGCCCAGCAGUGCUAUUACCGCUUUGAUAGAGACUAUGAUGGCUCAUCGGAGGCCAUAGUUGCUGGCGAUGGUGACUCCUUUCGUGUGCGUCCUCAGGCGCAAAGACCUGGAGGAGGGCAGUGGGUUUCACAACAGAACCCCCUUGUUGGUGUUGCUUAUGGUCAGCCCAAUUGGGCUUAUGCUUCCAUUGGACCGUUUAAUGGUUCGCAUGUUUCUGGGCCUUAUGCCCCCUGCUUAUGAGUCUAUUAGUAGGCCGCCCAUAGCCAAACGGAUGCACCCGAAUUUUGGCCAGCACCAAGGGCGUGGUUAUUUGGAUGGUAAUGGGCCGGCUUUAGCAGGCCGCAUGUUUAGGCCAUCUGGGCCUAGUGGUCCGGCUUCGGUUCCUGGGGCUCACUAUGUAUCUCAACAGUCCCCUGAGUCUCCGGUUGUGAACUGUGUUGGUAUUGACGGAUCCGAUCCGACUGCUCCUCCUGAGGCUCCGUGGCAUAGAAAACCUCGUGCUUGGGUAUUUGAUGUUGAUAAUUCUCAGGGUAUUGGGUUGCCUCGGAUACUGGAUUUUCAUGCUUCUGAUUUUUUCGAUACAUCUCGGUAUGAUUCUAGUUAUGGCAGUGUUGAUCCGUAUGUUCCUACACCUACUGGGACUGCCUCGUAGUACUCGGAUUCUGGAGCUUCUAAUCAUGUUUGUCAGAGUGCUGCAGAUUUGAAUGCCUCAACCCCUUAUUCAGGUACAUCUGAACUUUUAAUGGGCAAUGGGGUUCCUACUAGAAUUUUAUCUAUUGGGGACAUAGUUGUUUCUGCUAAUUCCAAAUUAUUACGGUUGUCUAAUGUGUUGUGUGUUCCAAGCAUUCGCAAGAAUUUUUUAUCUGUGUCUCAGUUUGCUCGGGAUAACAAUGUGUUAUUUGAGUUUCACCCUUCAUAUUGUGUUGUUAAGGACAUCCAGACGGGGGAAACUUUAAUGUGGGGCUGAGUUCGUGAUGGGCUCUAUCAGUUUUUAGUUGAUUCAUCUCUUUCCUAGUCUCUAGUGUCUGCGAUUCACAAUGUUGAUCUUCAAGCCAGCUCACAAUGUGCUGAUAAGUUUACUUUGUGGCAUAAUAGACUUGGUCAUCCAUCAUCUUUAGUUGUUAAUGAUGUUAGUUGUUUCUGAUUUGUGGGGACUGGCCUCGGUUGCAUGUGAAGAACAUUUGUACUAUGUUUCGUUUGUAGACAUGUACGGUCGGUUCACCUGGGUGUAUUUGGUUAAACGAAAAUCCCAAGCCGUUGAGUGUUUUUCUCAAUUUCAAAAAAUGGUAGCCACUCAGUUCGAGAAGACUAUUAAAAAAUUUAAAAGUGAUUGGGAUGUGAGUUUUGGGCUUUUGCCUCUAUCCUUGCUGAUCACGGUAUUCUUCAUCGGCUAUCUUGCCCUCACACUUCUGAACAGAAUGGUGUUGCAGAGCGUAAGCAUCGGUAUAUAGUAGAAACUGGUCACACCUUGUUAGCUCAGGUUAAUCUACCUAUGCAGCACUAGGGUUAUGCUUUUCGCAGUGCUGUUCAUCUCAUCAACAGGCUUUCUACUCCGGUACUUCAAGGACAGUCUCCCUAUCAGAAACUUUAUGGGUGUGCAUCGACGUAUAAUCAUCUUCGGGUUUUUGGCUGCUGCUGUUUCUCGUAUCUACGCCCUUUUCAGCGUCAUAAGCUUGAUUUUUGAUCUCAACCCUGUACAUUUUUAGGGUACAGUUCUCAACAUAAAGGAUAUUAUUGUCUUACUCUAGUGGGGUCGGUGAUUGUUUCUCGCCAUGUGGUAUUUGAUGAGAAUCGGUUCUUGUUCUCACUUCCGACGGUGUCUGAUGUUGAUCGUUCUCGGUUCAGUGCUGCGUAUGUUCUUCUUGUUCGUCCAUCCUCCAUUCGUCAUGACUAUUUAUGUGUUUCAGUAGAUUCCUUAAUAACCUCCUGUCCUUUGUCUAGCCCCGAUCGUGAGGUUUUCACUCAGAAGAUGGUUCGUGCUGAGUCUGAUCCUCCAUCUGAUACUCCGUCUACCACUUGUUGUCUACCGGCUGAUGUUCCUGAUACUUCACCAACUGGUGUCCCUGAUGCUUCACAGUUUGGUUCAAGAGGGUCCUCCUCUUCUGCUCCCACGUCAUUCGAAGUCUCGUUACCAGUUCCUUGUGAGAAUACGCACGCAAUGGUUACACGGUCAAAGGCUAGCAUUUUUAAGCCCAAGGUGUUGUCGGUUGAAACUGUUGAGUUUGAACCGUGUUCUAUUGAUGAGGCUAUUGCUCAUCCGAAAUGGAAAUUAGCUGUUCAAGCAGAGUAUGAUGUGCUACUAGGUAAUUCUACCUGGGAGCUCGUGUCGCUACCUCCUGGAUGGAAAGUAAUAGGGUGCAAAUGGUUGUUCAAAAUUAAGAGAAAGCCUAAGGGAUUUGUUGAUUGUCGGAAGGCUAGGUUAGUUGCUAAGGGUUGUGCUCAGGUACCAGGGUGAGAUUUUAAGGAAGAUUUUAGUCCAGUGGUUAAACCAGCCACUAUUCGAGUCAUUUUGUCCAUUGCGGUAUCGAAGGGAUGGACAUUUCGUCAAGUCGAUGUAAAUAAUACGUUUUUAAACGAUGAUCUAGAUACUGAGGUUUUUAUGCAGCAACCUCCAAGGUUUGUUUAGUUUGGGACAGAUGGAAAGCCCAUUGUCUGUCGAUUGCAGAAGGCUCUGUAUGGUCUUCGACAAGCACCAAGAGUAUGGUUUGAUAAAUUAAAGCAGUUUUUAUCUUCUGUUGGAUUUACUGUAUCUUGGUCUGAUGCGUCAUUAUUUGUUCAGAUUGCGUCAGGUACUAUGCUAUAUGUUCUUGUUUAUGUUGAUGAUAUAAUCAUCACUGGUAAUGACUCGACAGAUAUUACUAGUUUUGUUGAACAAUUGCAUACUAUGUUCUCACUCAAAGAUAUGGGGGACCUGCAUUACUUUCUUGGGGUUGAGGUUACGCGGUCUUCCUCAGGUAGUAUUUAUUUGUGUCAGAGAAAAUAUAUUCAAGAUUUGCUUGCUAGAAGCUCGCUCUUAAAUGCGAAGCCCGUACACACUCCUAUGAUUAGCUCAACCCAGUUGUCUAUAGAUGAUGGUGACCGAUUGGGUGAUCCUACUGAGUACAGGAGUUUGGCUGAUGCCUUACAAUAUAUGGUGCUUACGCGUCCUGACAUUUUGUACUCUGUGAAUCGCAUAUGUCAAUUCAUGCAUAGUUAAACAACUACACAUAUGGUUGCUUUGAAACGGAUCUUACGGUAUCUCUGUGGGACACUUAACUAUGGUCUUGUUAUUCGACCUUCUUCGCGUUUAUCUCUUGUGGAGUAUGCCGAUGCAAAUCGGGGACUAUAUUUUGGUGAUGCUCCAGUUUCUUGGUGCUCCAAGAAACAACCGAUGGUGUCUCGUUCUACUGCUGAAGCAGAGUAUCGAGGUCUUGUUGUGGCUACUAGUGAUCUCACCUAGUUAGUCUCACUUCUUUACGAGCUACAGGUUCAAUCACCUGAUACGCCUACCAUCUGGUGUGAUAGUUUUAGUGCCAUUGCGGUUGCAGCUAAUCCAGUUCUUCAUUCCAAAUUCAAGCAUAUUGAGCUUGACUUAUUUUUUGUUCGUGAAAAAUUUGCCAGUGGUGCUCUUCUUGUUGGCAAAGUCCUUGCAUAUGAUCAGAUUGCCGACGUUUUUACCAAGCCUCUCUCUGUCACCAAUUUUACUCGAUUUAGGACUUCUCUUCACAAAACUGCACAUCCAAUGUGGUGAGAUUUUGAAAUGAUGCCAAGGAUGAUCGUAAGCAGAUCAAAUUCAAACAAUGGUGAACUUGAAGAGUCUCAAGUUUGGGUAGAAUGUAGCCCACUUGUAUGUCUUGCUGUUGACAAAGUCCCAACAUACAUCUCCUCAUUACCGGUAUCUCUUCCAGUACAGAAUAGCUCUUUUAUUUCAUGACCAUGGAUAGCAAGGUUUUCAAAAGUGUAGAAACUUUCAAGGAAAGAAAUUCGAAAAUCAAUUGAUUUAGGAACGUGGGCAACCACUUCAAGAGCUUUUACUUCAUGAAAAAGGCUGCUUGAAAAUUGAUCAUCACUUAUCAUUGCAAUCAAAAAACUAUCUAAUGUCAAAUAUUGUAGUUUAGGGAUGUCCUGAAAACCAAUCAAAAAACAAUUUUGGAGUCAAUAUGUUCAUCUUCGAAUUAAGAAUUACUAUUUUUUCUAAAUAAUAUUUUCAACAAUUUUUAAAAAAACAAAGUUACCUUUUCAACCAAGAAAAGUGGUAGAUGGAUUGGGGAGUCAAGUUGUCCAUUGUUAGUGUUCAGUUGUGUACCAAAUAUCUUCAUUUUCUCACACUGAACUACUUCCAACUUGUUUAACUUUGGCCACUUUGCGGUAUGCUUACCCGGGUAGAAACAUUUCAGUUCUGGUACCAGCCAAAGUGAAAGGGUGCAUAGUUGAUCAAACUCGAAAUUGAUAGCCGUUUCCGAGUCUGAUCCUUCCUCUAAUUUGGAAACAAUCUCCUCCACUCCACAAUGAAAUAUAUCAAGAUAGUUGUGGUAGGUCUUUGGCUACUGAGGUUGGGAAUACAUUCUUCAAACUUCGACAGCCCCAAACAGAUAUUGCGCAGAUUUUUUUAAAUGAAAAAAUUCCUUUAGGAUCAUUUUUCCAAAUAUAUUUCCACUUUGGCAAUUCUCUAAUAUACAAUUCUCUUAGUUGAGCUGUUGCAAGUAAAGUGGUUUCUUUUUCUUCAUGCAUGAUUUCAAAUACUUGUUGUAAGGAACCACAAGUUUUUACAAUUAGACGCUGCAGCCUUUGAAAUGUUGUCAACAUAUUAGAUGGGAAAAUGGUUAACAACUUAUCACAUCCUUCAACUCUUAAAGUCUCAAUUGUUGUAGUUUGGGAAAUGCAACCUGCACUCGUGCCAAUAUAAUGAAAUUAGAAGCUAGUUUUUUUUUUUUUCAUUUAUUGUAUGGGUUUGUGGAAAAGUGAAAAAAAACAUAUUUAUUUUGAGUAUAAUUAGUCAAAAAAAAGAGACGAAAAAAUAAAAGAAUGUUCAUUUUUUAUCCUAAUGCAUAAAAACAAAUCAUUUUUUAUCCUAAUGGUUUAGUGAAAAAAACAUAUUGAAGUAAUAAAAGAGAAAAUAAGAUAGAUGCUUGUUAGUCUAAAUAUAUGCAUUUUUCAAAAAUUUCAUUUUCAUUCCACUCAUUUUCAACUGUACUAAGAAAUGAAUAAAAAGAAAAAUAUAUAUUUUCUAUCUUCUACUCCUUUAAUUUUUCAUCAUUUUAAUUUUCCUUUCAUUAAACCAUUAAAGCCAAAGUUAACAAGGGGAAAAUGAAUAAACCUAAAAAUUAGGAAUUAAACCACCUUAUUGUCAAAUAGAUCACCUUGACUAGAUAUUUGUUGGUUCCCUUCCCUUGCAUAUCUACAUAUGAAGCCCUCCAUGUUUGGACAAUGGUAUAUCGUCAUUGACUUCAUAAAUGGAAAUUCAAUAACUUUAUUUUGAGAACUGAAGCAAAAUCCACUCAAAUGCUGAAGAUCCUUUAGCUCUAAGGACUGUAACUGAGGAAGUAAUGAUAAAGUCAUGGUAGCUUGAGUUUCUUCUUCUAUAUCCUCCCAAAAAAUUAUCUCCUCUAGGCAGUUGCACUUAGUUAUCUCAAAAUAUUUGAGAUGAAGUAGAUAUUUAGCCAUAGAAAAUGAUAACAGGUAUUUUAUGUUUCCAAAAUCCUCGAUUAUCAACGUGGUUAGUUCUCAUGAGUGUAAAAAGAUACAUUUGAUAAUUGGUUGUCCCAUACCCUUGUAACAUUAAGUGAUGACAACUACAAUUUCUCCAAGGAAGGGAACCAUAUCUACAACCAUACACAUAGUUAAUUCUACUUUCAAAUAAAUAUUGUAAAAAAAUGAAUAUAUAAUUCUAAUUUUUGCAAUUACCAAAUAUAAUAAAAAAAUAAAGUCUUGCUAAUCAACAAAAAGUGUCAUAUGAUAGAAAAUUUCUAGUAAAUAUAAAAUAUGUUGAGAGUAUUGGUGACAGAAGAACCCAUAAUAUGAUCAGAAAAAGGGAAAAAAAUCUCACAUAACUAAGCAACAACGCAAGAGCAAUACGACAUGAUUCAGAAAAAGGAAAGAAAGCCUUGAAAGAUAUUGAAUUAUAGAUACAUUCUCUCUGAAAAGUGGUGUUGAGGCAAUGAGGUAGCAUCGAUUUUGUCUUGAGAGCAAAAGCUAACGAGUUGAGGAAGACCCUACAAUGUCAAAGACUGCAAUCGAGGAAAUUCAUUUUUGUCAUUAAUGAUAGAUUCAUUAUCCAAACCAUUUUGGAUAUGCAGAUUCUGCAAAUAUGAUAGGCUUUCCUCAUAUGUUAACUCCUUCAGUGCAAUCUUCGCACCUUUCAGUUCAUCCAAUUCUAAAUAUUGAGUUCUCUCUACCAACUUCUUAAGUGUGGAGAACUGAUCAAGAACACUUUUAUUAUUAAGGAACUAAAAAUACAUUUUCCUUAACCAGAAAACUUAACUUACAAGCUUGUAUUUAUAUCCUACUGCUAACCAUCUUAACAAACUAUUCCAUGCAAACUAACUGUAACUAAAUAUCUAACAACUUGCUUACUUCUCAACACUCCCCCUCAAGUUGAGGGUUGAUAUAAGUCUUUAACCCCCAACUUGGAUACCAAAAAAAUCAUGCUGCUUGAUUCCAAGAGCUUUAGUCAUCAAGUCGACAAGUUGUUCUGUUGUUCUGUUGUCCUGAUAUACUGUAUCUGAAUCAAUCCCUCUCCAAUUUUAUCUCGUACAAAAUGACAAUCAAUUUCUAUGUGUUUAGUGCGUUCAUGAAAACUUGGAUUUGCUGCGAUCUGGAAAGCUGACCGACUAUCUGAGAAAAGAACUGACUUGUCAAACUGAUUAAAGCUAACUUCUUUCAAUAAUCCAUCUAACCAAACUAUUUCUGCAACAACAGCUGCCAUGCUUCUAUACUUGACCUCUGCUGAUGAUCGAGAAAUAGUAGAUUGUUUUUUUGACUUCCAUGAGACAAGAGAAUCACCAAUCUUAAUACAAAACCCAAUAACUGAUCGUCUAGACAUGGGACAUAAAGCCCAAUCAGAAUCACAAAAGGCAAUGAGUUGUGUUUUACCAGAUACAGACAACAAAAUACCUCGACCAAGAUUUUUCUUUAUGUAUCGAACUAUCCGAAAUGCAGCCUCUAAGUGAGAUUUUUUUGGUUUGUGCAUGAACUGACUUAAGUGCUGGAUCGCAAACAUUAUGUCUGGAUGCGUAUUGGUUAAGUACAACAACCUCCCAAGAAGCCUUUGAUAUACUGUAAUAUCCGUGAGCAAGUCAUCCCUAUCAGUCUUCAUUUGUACCGAGUCAUCAUACUCUACUGAAGUCAGUUUUUGAUUUUGUUCAAGAGGCGUACUCACUGGUUUUGCUUCUCCUAACUCGACGUCAGCUAUUAAUUCCAAUGCAUACUUCCUUUGAUUCAACACAAUUCCGUCACGUGAUCUCAUUACUUCUAUCCCAAGGGAAAAUUUCAAUGCACCUAAAUCUUUCAUUUUUAAAUUCUGGUCAAAAACCUGCUUUAACUCAUUUAUCAUACCAAUGACAUUUCCUGUGAUUAAUAAAUCAUCAACAUAAAUGAGUAGGAUGGCAAUGUUACCCUCUCGUCUUUUGGAGAAUAAGGAAUAAUCAUAUUUACUUUGUGUGUAACCCCCUUUUAACAACGCCUCAGUGAGCUUUAGGUUCCAUUGUCUAGAGGCUUGCUUCAAGCCAUGUAACGAUUUGAGCAAACGACAUACCUUAUGCUCCCCUUGUGUGCGAAAACUAGUUGGAAUGUCCAUAUACACCUCCUCAUACAAAUCCCCUUGCAAAAAAACAUUGUAAACAUCCAUCUAGAAAAGAGGCCAAUCAUGUAUGGCAGCCAAACUAAUAACAGUGCGAACAGUAACAUGCUUAACAACAGGGGAGAAGGUUUCCUGAAAAUCAAUGCCAGCCUGUUGAUUGUACCCUUUACCGACUAAUCGAGUUUUGAAGCAUUCAACAGAACCAUCAGAGUUAUACUUGAUUUUAUACUCCCAUUUACAGCCAAUGGGUACCACACCAAUAGGCAAGGAAACAACCUCCCACGUAGCAUUUGCUUUCAAAGCCUGAAUUUCUUGUUGCAUGGCAGCAACCCAUCGUGGAUCGAAAAUGGCCUUAGCAUAUUUUUGGGGUUCAAUUAAAGAAUAAAUAUGAGCUAUAAAUGACUGAGUAUGAGCAGGUAAAUGGGAGGAAGAAUAGCCAUGAGAAAUAGGGUAAGAACCUGUGGUAAAAGAAGCUAAAGACUGGUUGAAAUAGACAUAAUCAGUCAUCCAAGCAGGAGUCUUGACAGACCAUGUAGUGCGACGUAAAGGGGGACGAGAAUCGGAAUAUUGAGUAUCUGGUGCUGAUAGUAAAGGUGAGGAAGAACUAGGUGCUGGUACAGUAGGUAAAGAAGGGAUAGAGAUGGAAGGUAAAGGUUCAAGAUGAAGAAAGUUGCAACCAUCAUCGGAAGGAAAAAAAAAAGAAGUUGUAGCAGGAAAGGCAAAAGGAAACACUGUUUCAUGAAAAACGACAUCACGAUUAACAAAAAAUGUUUUGGUUUCAAGAUUAAAUAACAAGUAACCCUUUUGGACAACUUGCUUACUUCUCAACAUUAAUUCCAUGAUCCAAAUCAUCAAUGCUCAUGUUUAGCUUGAGUUUUAAGCUUCUUGAAUAUUGAUAGUUGCCAAACCGCUCCCAUUCCUUUCCUAUGAAAAUCUUGUAUCUUUCCAAAUUUUGCAACUUUUGAAAGAAGUCCUCUGGGGCAACCUUCACAUCUGGAAUUUGAACUUCUAAAGUGGACAAAUGAGACAGUGUGUUUAUUUGAACAAGACUAGUGUCGAAACCUAUUUUUAAAAAUCAACUUUUAUUUAAAAAACGAAAAUGGGAGUUGCCACCAAUCUUUUUUAUGAGGUGUGAUCGGAUCACUUCGUAAAUUGAUCGUUUUUAAUAAAUUGCUUGAUUUACUAAAAGAACUGUUUUGGUAUACAAAAUUCAGGAAAUGGGUUUGGGAGUUGAUUACGUACGAGGAAAGAUUAGCACCCUCGUACAAGGGCGAAGCUAGGGGGCUAGCAUGGGCCCCAGCCCCCCCUAAAAUGUAAAUUUACUCUUUUGGCCCUUAAAUUUUUUUAAAAAUUUUAAAUUAGUAAAGAUAAAAUUGUACUUUGACCCCCUAAAAUUAUAAAAAAAUCAAUUUAAUUCUUUACAAAUUAUAAAUAUAUAAACUAUAAAAAAUUAAAAUUUUAUCUGGCCCUCCUAAAAAUUUGUUCUGGCUUCGCCCUUGCCCUCGUAACGCCCAAAAUUGGUACCUAAUUGAUUAAUUAAUGUCUUAAUGUCGAAAGUUGAAAACUUAAAAAGAAUUUAAAAUACGAUCCCUCUUUGUAUUAAUGUAUAUAUUUUUUAGUAAAAUCCCUUAAAUAGAUCAAAACGUAUGUUAAAAGGCUUUCUUAUCUUGAGGUAACAAAAGGUCGUAUCCCGUAAGUUAGGACAUGACGUCUCGAAUUCUAGAAAAUAAGUUUGCCUUUUAUUAUUAUUUUUUAAUAUUAAAUCUCACGUAUUUUAAUUUUAAAAAAAUAUUUGGUCAUUUAGAUUCAAAGAGAAAAUCAAAAACCCCGUAAGUUAGGUCACGACUCAUCGAAUCUCUAAAUACGAAAUAUUGCCUAUUUUUAAAAUUUUCCCUUUUUUUUAUAAUAACAUAUGUAAAAUUUAAAACGAUGGAUAUUUAUUCUAUUUGGGGGUAUAGUGUAAAAAUAACUAUGGGUAAAUAUGUUUAAACGUAAUUCAUGACGUGAUUUUAAUGAAAUAAGAUAAAAUGGUAAUGCAGAAAAUGGAAUGAUGAUAUAUGAAUCAAGUUCUAGAAUAACAAAUCAAGUUGACACGUUUAUAACCAAUAAUAGAAUGAACAGAAAAAAUGUAUGUUCUGAAGGCUCAAAAUCUCACAAAAAAAUCAUGGUUUUGAUGUCAAACUUGUAAAUUUAAGACUUCAAGAUAAUACCUCAAUUCAGGGAAACAACCUAAAAUUUUUAAUUUUGAAAAAUAACUUAUCAUGAUUGAUUCUUUCACGUCUUAAAGUUUAAAUUAACCAAUACACAAAUAUCUACAAAUUAAUCCAAAACAAAUCAACAAAAAUCUCAAAUCGACAAAAAUUCAUUCUAAUUCAAGUAUGAGAAAUUUACUUAAAUACAAGAAAUAAUUCAAGGAUUUUAUAAUAAUUAUAUAAAUAUCCUACUCACAUUUAAGAUGUGCAUUGUCCUCAAUGUACAAACAGAUAUAAGCACAGUAUAAGUAGAAUAUCAUGAGAAAGAAAACUAAAACUGCCUUGAAUAUUGGAUGAAAUUGCCAGAAUGGUGAAAAUUGGAAUUGUAGGCAAAUCUAAAUGUAGUGUAUGAUUCCAGACAAACUAAUAAGAAAAUAAACACAAAUAAUAAAUAAUCUUAAGAGGUUACAAACUUGAUCAGAAACAACCAUAAAAAAAAACAUAGCUCAAAAGAUAAUAAACGAAAUAAGUCUAAGAAAAUAAAAAUAAAACAACUAAAAGCAAAAAUAAAAUAAGAAUAAAAUCAAUGGAUUUCAUCGUCGAAGGCAUCGUGAUCUUGAGGUGCCGGCGCUUAAGAAGAUAUUGGAGGUACGAACAGAUCUACUGUAAAGUCGUAUCAAUACUGUCAAAUCACUCAAAACAGUGUCGUUCGAAAUGAGUGAACUGCUCAGAGAGAUCCGCUAAGGUGGCAGCAGAAGUAGCAGGACGGUGACUCUAAGAUGGAGGAUGAGGUGGAUCCUUGUGGUGGAAAGGAACAUCAUUAGUAAAGUCCUCAUGCUCAUCUUGAGGGUCAAAAUGAGAUAAUCGGUAUUGAGGAGAAUCCACUCCACGAAGUCACUUGAUCAUCCUCAUGUAACUCAUACUCGAUAACCCCUGCGGGGUUAUCAACAUAACAAGGGUAAAGAAGGAGGACUACUCUAAAGUGUCGAAGAUGUCAAAAUUUCAUGUGAGGUGAGUCAUGUAAAGGCCUAAGCAAAUAAGGCCCUUCCUACUGCGCUCUGUCUAAUGGAAGAUAGCUAGGGCAAUGAAUUAAGAAAGAUCAAAUGUGUGCCCCAUAGCUAUGCUCCAUAGAAAAUAAGCGUGAGUUGUACCAACAAUGCUAGUGCUCUCCCUCCGACUGGUCAAAGUGUGAGCCAAGAUGGCAUGAAUAUAACGAAAGGCCAGAGGUAGAGAAGUUACCUUCAAUCGACUCGUAUCAUAAGGUAUCGUACUCGCAGUGAGGUCUACCCAACAUAGAGAAGGCUAGUAGUUGAUAUGUCGGUAUAAAGUGAGAAAGCUCUCAUCACUCAUGAACUCGUCAGUGUAAAGUCCUAAUUCAACUCCGAACACUAGAACACUUAUAUAACGCGUCAUGCCACUGAGUCUAAAGGUAAUAGUGCCCAGCUCAUCGUGUGUCGACAUCACUUGCUAUAAUAGGAAUGUCAAGCAAAAAUCGUGAGUAAACUUCGAGUAGAUAGGCUAGAUGAUGGAGAAAAAUCGAUCCCAAGGAGCCGUGGCAAUGAUGGCGCGCACUUUAUAAACUAAAUAGACCUGCUCUAAAGCGGCUCAAUUAACACAACGACCUAAUCCCAGUGGCCUUUAUCAAAGAUGCUGAUAGAGGUCCUCUUGAGGACUCUGUGAAAAGUGGAGGUACAGCUGGUAGGAAUCAGCGAAAACAUCCGACGAUGAUGUCGUGCCUGAAGUUUUCCGCUUUUUCGAAGCAAGGACGGCGAGUUUAGAUUUGCCACGUGUGUUGGUCAUUAUGCCCCUAAAAUAAAGGAUAAAAGUAAAAAAAAUCAGAUAACCGGAAAAAUCAACAUAAACAACAUAUCAAUGCAAACAACUAUUCUAGGCCAAUAGACGGCACAAUAGAGACCGAAUCGAAGUGAAAACCUAAACCACAAUACUAAACAGCUAACCCAAAAAAAAACACCAACACUCGGUAUGAUAAAAACAAUAAUAAUAUAAUAAUAAAGAUAAAGUGAAAUAAAAACAAUCAAGGCCUAUUAAUAAAAUAACUAACAAUAGUGAAACAUAAAAAAAAAACAAACCAAAACCAAUAACAGUAAUGAUACAAAAUAAAUAUAUAUAUAAGAAGAAGAAGAAGAAGAAGAAGAAGAAGAAGAAGAAGAAGAAGAAGAAGAAGAAGAAGAUAAAUAAAAAUUAAUGUAUGAAAUCGGAAAAAUAAAAAUAAGAAUGUAAACAAUAAUCAUAAAACAACUAAAGAUAAAAUAAUAAGAAUAUAAAUAAAAAUCAAUAAAAACCUAAAUAUAAUAAUAAAAAUGAUAAUAAAAAAUAAAAAAAAUAAAUAACAAAAUAAGUAAAUAAGUAACAAGGUAAAAGAAGGGACCAAUCAAAUUGAGGUUAUAUGACGGCGGCGGUAAUGGGCGGCGGUUUAUCCUCUUUCUCCCAUGCGCUUGAAAAAUUGAAAAACUAACCAAAACCCAAACUAUAAAAAAAAAUGUAACACUUUUUUUUCAAAUCUCCCUAAUGAAAUAGAAAAUAUGUAAUAAAAUUCAAAAUUUUCAAUGAAAUUAAUUAUAUAAACUAAAUUUUUUGCCCAUUUCCACUCAGUAUAUCUCCAACAUAACUUUACUUUUAUCUGAUUAGAAAUUAAUGUUAAUUUACUAAACUAGAAAAAUUAAAGCAUAUCCAAUUUUGACCUAACUCGAUAUUUCAAAAUUUUUAUUUUUCUCAAACAUUUUUAUCAAAAUAGAAUAACAAUUUCUAAUGUUUUAUUAUUUUUAUAUAACAAUACUAUUAGCUAUUUUUAUACAAUGUUGUAUUGGGGGUACUCGUAUUCAUAGAAACUUUCAUUUUCGUGCCUAUCUUGAUUGUUGGUUCAAUUUAUGCAUGGUGAAAACGAGCAUUGGAAUGGUCUUAAUUCCUAAAUAUUCAGAUGAUAAACAAAAAGAAAAAGUAAAAAUAAUAAUAACUUGAGUAUGAAUUAAACGAACAAACCAAAAUUUAUUUAUUUCAACUACAUUAAAUGAUCUCUCAAAUUGAUCAAGACUCCAUUUUAUUGUCGCUUCUUAUUACCUUAUUGAAUUUGCUUUACUAGGAAAAUCAUGAAACUUUGGUUUUCAUCGAUUGUUAAAAAAUAUUUUUCAAAUAAUGUAUGGGGAUUUACGCAAUGAGACAACAUGGUUUACAAAUAUGAAUUUCAAAGACGAAAAAGAAUAUAAAAGAAACGGAACAUAUCAUUGUUAGAAAUAUGCUCUUAUCUGACAUUCAAACUCAAAGUUGGAGUAACAUAGUUAGAAAGUGAAAUAACAACUUUAGAUCAAUGAAAAUGACUGCAACUGAGCAGCAGCAGCAUACUCUAGUAGACAGCAUUUGAACUCGCAAUGAAAGGGGCAUCUUCCAUAACUCUUUAUAAAGCGACUGCGCCAAAAUGAUAAGUGAAAUAAUCAAUUUCUGCCAUUAAACUACAUUUUAUGCUUAAGCUCAAUACUAAAAGUAUGAUAUUUUUAACACUCAUACCUUACGAAACACAAAAUCAUUUCUGUGAUUCUUUCAAACUCUUACUUUUCUAAAGCAAAUAUCUCCACUUUUCCUUCAAUUUUGGCCUUUCUGUAGUAUGUAUCCUUGAGCUGAAACUCUUCAAUAUGAAUAGCCUAUAAAGUAGAAGGAUGUAAUAAGUUUAGGAAAAUACAGAUUUAAGGAUCUUUCGAUAGCAAUGGAUUGAGUGAUUGUCACUGCAUGUAAAUUGCUGGCAUGUUUAUUAUUUGCAUCCGCUGUAAUUUCAUCAUUUAUCCCCUUACAUGAAAAUGGAAAAAGUAUUCCAAAGUUCUGUUUUCCCCCCCUUCAAUCAAACACAUCUGUAAGAUAUAGACUCACAAAGUUAGUUGACUGGUUGUGCCAUAUCUUUCUCCAGUUUCCCACAGCCGUGAUGUUCUAUUCCUCUAAGCAAGGUUAGUUUUCUAGAGAAAAACAAGUAGUACAACAAGAAUAGGGAAUCAAAUAUUUAAGAAAAAUGAACAAUAAAAAAGACAUGAAAGAAAGUAAUGAUACAAGAAAACAAAAAUGGGACAUUACCUUUCAAUGGAAAGAGUAGGAAAGCGAAUCUCUGAGUUUUUUCUUUCUAUCCUAAGAAAAUAAUGCCAGUGCCACUAGUGAUUAUAAGAUUGGCCUUUCUCCUCUUAAAUAAUUUUCUCAACCCUUCACAAUUCUCAUUCUCAAUUAAAUACAAGUAUGACUCACUAAUUCAAUUGUGACAAAAGUAGCAUUUGAGGGAACUUAUCAGUUUACACGUAAGAAUACCAUACAUAAUUACUUGUUAGAAGUGUUUAACUAGGGAAAGAAGUAAACUCUAACACUACAUAUCUAAUUAUAUUCACCUCAAAACUGUUAACAAGCGGCUUCCGAUGUCAAAGUGGAGAAUGCCCUUAUCUUUGGACACAAGUCUCAUGAAUAUUUCUUCCAAUGAAGGAAAUAUUGCUGAGGUUAAUUCUCUGAGCAGAGCCUUGAAAGUCUACCAAGUUCUAAAGACUUGAAUUGGGAGAAAACGAUGCCAUCCAUGACUUCUUUUGGAACUUGGAACAAAUAAGCAAGCAGAGUCGAGAGCCUGUGCAACAAGCCUCGUAACUUGAUGAAGAAACAAAAACAGAAAUUUGCUAUGAAAACAAGAACAGAAUCGAAAACAAGAACAAAAAUGGAGCAUAUGAAUGAAAUUCAAUAUAUUAAAAAGAAAACAUUGGUGUCGAAACCUAUUUUUUAAAGGGAUGUUUUAAAAACGGGGAUCGACUUUUGAAAAACAAAAACGGGAGUCGCCACCAAUCUUUUUAGGUGUGAUUGGAUCACCUUAUAAAAUGUUUUGUUUUAAAACAUUAAUUUUGGUCUACGAAAUUAUGAGAAAAAUAGGUUUGGGAGUCGGUUACUUACGAGAAAGGAUUAGCACCUUCGUAACGCCCAAAAUUGGUACCAAAUUGAAUAAUUUUUUGUCUUAAUGUCAGAAAAUUUGAAAAGAUUUUAAAACUUGAACAAUUUAAAGUUGAAACUUGAGAUUCCUUUGUUCCGAAAGUAUACAAACAUCACAUCCAGCAUGUUAGGACACGAUGUUUUAAAUCCUCGUAACUAAAAUUAUCUCAUGAUUUUGAAAAUUUAUUAAAAGGAUAUUUGGUUAUUUAGUCAAACGAAAAAAAUCGCAUGUAAUACCACUACCCGUAUUCAUUGCCGGAAUAGGGUACGAGGCAUUACCGGAGUUUACGAAUUAAUUUUUUUUUAAUUUUUUUUUCAAUUCAACAUAUUUUCAUGAUAGAUUCAUGCAUUUAUAUAAGAUAACGUCAUCACAUAUCUAUAACCAGGUUUGUUAACCAUACUAAUGGCUAACUUUACAUUCAUUUCACGUUAACAUUUACUUUGUUAGCUUAUACAUGCCAUUGAUUUCCAAAAUAAAGUUUCUUUAUAUACCGAAAUCCUGAGGUUGACAGUGUGAUGUGUCUCCGACCAAAUCCGACCUCCGAGCUCUUAACACUACAAAACAGGGAAAAAUGAAACGGGGUAAGCACUUUGUGCUUAGUAAGCUCAUGUAACAAGAAUUAUACUUACCUAAUAUUUUCAAUACAAUAUAAUAAACAUUCAUAUAUCCAUUCAAUGCAUUAUUACCCUAACAUGCACAAACUCAACAUUCAAGUUAGUACAAUAAUUUCCAUGUAUCAAUAAUAUAUAUACCAUGAUUGAUGUACUCAUCAAUACCAUGAUUUUCAUUCCCUUAUUAUUUUUCAUAUUUAUCCCGUUGAAUUUAUCGGAAUUUCGAUGGAUUUUCAGAGGUACACUUUUAGUGUACAAUUCUGGGUCCGUCAAUUCAUAUUCAUGUGCGCACAUUUCCAUUUCAGAGAGCACACUCUCGCGAACCUCAACCUUGCAGCGGGAUUACCAGUCCAGGCUAAAUCCCCUGCAAUAUAAACUCAUAGAGUAUUGUCGGGAUUACCAGUCCAGGCUAAAUCCCCAGCUACAAUUACUCUAAUGAGCUUGGAUCUGAAUUACCAGUCCAGGCUAAAUUCAGACCCUAAUUCGGAUUACCCGUCCGGGCUAAAUCCAUUUUACACAUAUUCUUCAGGAGGGCUAUAUCAGGAUAGGAUCACCCGUCCGGGCUAGAUCCUUUUUACCGUAAAUUCAUUUUCAGAGAUCUAUCGAAUUUUCCUUUCAUUCAAACGGGAUUUCUUCCCAUUUUAUCAAAUAUAUCAAUGUUUCAUUAAUUUUCAUACAAUGAACACUCAAAUCAUAUUCACAUCAAAAACAUACAAUCUCAAGCAUUUCAGAAUAUAAUUCAAGUUACACGAACUUACCUUGAUACUUGUUUGUAAACAGUAAAAAUCUAUUAAUCCCGAACUUUUUCCUUUCCUCGAUCUAGCUUCGUAUUUGAAUAUUCUGGAUUUGGUGCAAAAAUUAUGAAAUAUCAGCUUAGAAAACCCUCCUAUGGCGUUUUUAGCUGCUGGAAUUGAAGAGAAAUGAAGAGAAAUCUAGAUAUUUCCUAUUUAGUCCUAGUUUUAUUUAGUUAAUUUUGCAAUAUUCCAAUUUUACCCUUAAUUUAUCAAUUUUUCUGCUGAUUUCAUACCCUUGCCGUCCAGCCUAAAUAACUUUUGGGUCUAAUUUCCUUUUAUAUCCUUUCUCAUUAGACUAAUAAGCUAUUUAAUCACUCUAGCAACUUUUACACCUAUUACAAUUCAGUCCUUUUUCAUUUAAUUGACUACCCAAACAUUAAAAUUUCCUAACGAAAUUUUAAUACCACAUUAAUAACAUUUCAUAAAUAUUUAUAAAAUUAUUUUUGACUCGGUUUUACGAGAUAGAGGUCCCGAUACCUUAUUUUACCCAAUUUCUUCAAUAAUUUCUUUUUCUAACUAAUCACUAAAUUGAUAAAAUUUCCCUAUCAAUAUUUUCAUACGAUUUUCCUAUCAUAUAAAUUUUCAAGCAAAAAUAUUGAAAUAAAUUUCUCUUUAAAUCGGAUUUGUGGUUACGAAACCACUGUUCCGAUAACAUUGAAUUUACGCCAUUACAACUCUCCCCCCUUUUAAGGAUUUUCGUCCUCGAAAAUCUUACCAGUAAAGAGGUUUGUGUAUUGUUUCCUCAUUGCCUCCUCCAGUUCCCAUGUUGCUUCCUCAAUCCCGUGCUUUUGCCACAAUACUUUCACCAAAUUUAUCUUUUUAUUUCUAAGCUCUUUUGUCUCCCGUGCCAAUAUCUUGACCGGUUUUUCACUGUAAGUCAUAUCCGGUUGAAUCUCUACUUCUAUCGGAGAAAUAACAUGUGAAGGAUCUGAUCGAUAUCGUCGUAACAUAGAUACAUGAAAAACAUUAUGGAUUCUAUCAAGUUCUGAUGGUAAUGUCAAUCGAUAAGCGACCGGUCCAAUUCUUUCUAUGAUUUCAUAGGGCCCGAUAAAUCUUGGGCUCAAUUUACCCUUUCGACCGAAUCGAAGAACUUUCUUCCAAGGAGACACUUUCAGAAAUACCUUGUCACCGACUUGAAAUUCAAUCUCUUUUCGCUUAAGGUCGGCAUAUGAUUUUUGACGAUCGGAAGCUGCUUUUAGACUAUCUCGAAUAACCUUUACUUUUUCUUCUGUUUCUCAGAUCAAAUCAACCCCAUGUAUCUUCCUUUCACUGAGCUCUGUCCAAUAUAACGGUGUUCUACAUUUUCUACCAUACAAAGCUUCAUACGGAGCCAUUUUAAUACUAGACUGAUAACUGUUAUUGUAAGCAAAUUCAAUCAAAGGUAGAUACCUCUCCCAAUUACCUUCAAACUCUAGUAUACAACAUCGGAGCAUAUCUUCCAAUACUUGAAUUACACGCUCAGAUUGACCAUCUGUCUGAGGAUGAAAUGCAGUGCUGAAAUACAACUGAGUACCCAAGGCUUCCUGUAAUUUGUCCCAAAAACGAGACGUAAAUCGGGGAUCUCUAUCUGAUAUAAUGGAGACAGGCACUCCAUGUAACCUGACAAUCUCAGAUAUGUACAGUUCAGCUAGUUUAUCUAAAGAAUAAUCCAUACGUACCGGAAUAAAGUGAGCUGACUUUGUCAAUCGGUCUACAAUCACCCAAAUAGCAUCUUUUUUCCUCGGAGACAAAGGUAGCCCCGGUGAUUCUUUCCCAUUUCCAUUCCGGUAUAGUAAUUGGCUGAAGUAACCCCGAAGGUACCUGAUGUUCAGCUUUAACUUGUUGACAUAUUAAACACCUUGAUACAAACUCAGAGAUAUCACGUUUCAUUCCCGACCACCAGUACAUCUUUUUCAGAUCAUUAUACAUUUUAUUACUCCCCGGAUGUACAGACAUAGUACUACUGUGGGCCUCGCGUAGAAUCUUUUGUAUGAGCUCUGAAUUUUGAGGUACACAUACCCUACCUUUGAAUAAUAAACAAUCAUCAGAACCAAUCUGAAAUUCAGAAUCAUUACCUGACUCACACUGUGCCCGUUUAACCUGUAACUUCUCAUCAUUCUUCUGAGCUUCACAUAUUUGCUGUAAAAAUGUCAGUUUAGCUCUCAAUUCAGCUAGGAUUGAACCAUCAUCAGUCAAUGAUAACCGGGUAUUUAUAGCUCGUAAAGCAAACAGAGAUUUUCGGCUCAAAGCAUCAGCUACAACAUUAGCCUUACCCGAAUGGUAAUCAAUAAUCAAAUCAUAGUCCUUUAUUAGUUCAAGCCACCUGCGUUGUCUCAAAUUCAAAUAUUUUCGUGUCAUCAAAUAUUUCAAGCUUUUAUGAUCAGUAUAAAUAUGACAUUUCUCACCGUACAAGUAAUGCCGCCAUAUCUUCAGCGCAAAUACAAUAGCAGCUAAUUCAAGAUCAUGUACUGGGUAAUUUCUUUCAUGUGGUUUAAGUUGUCUUGAAGCAUAGGCUAUUACUUUACCUUUUUGCAUCAAAACACAACCUAAACCAUUUAAUGAGGCAUCACUGUAAAUAACAAAUUCCUUACCUGGUUCAGGCUGCACUAAUACAGGUGCUUUCGUUAAUAGGUCUUUCAAUCGGUUGAAACUUUGUUGACAUUCAUCAGUCCACUCGAACUUUACAUCUUUCUACAAUAAUUGAGUCAUUGGAGAAGCCAUCAUAGAGAAUCCCUGUACAAAUCUCCGAUAAUAACCAGCUAAACCCAAGAAACUUCUAACUUCAGAUAUAUUCUUCGGUGGACUCCAAUUGACAAUAGCUGAGAUUUUACUUGGAUCGACCCUGAUGCCUUCGGCAGAUACAAUGUGUCCAAGAAAACUCACUUCUCGAAGCCAAAAUUCACAUUUAUUGAAUUUAGCAUACAACUGCUUCUCUCGUAGAAUUUGCAACACAAUUCUCAAAUGUUCUGCAUGUUCUUCUUCAUCCCGAGAAUAAACCAAAAUAUCAUCAAUGAAUACUACUACAAAUCUGUCUAAGUACGGUCUAAAUAUCCGGUUCAUCAAAUCCAUGAAUACUGCAGGUGCAUUAGUUAGCCCAAACGGCAUAACUAGAAACUCAUAAUGCCCGUACCUGGUUCUAAAGGCUAUUUUUGGCACAUCUGACUCCUUUACCCGUAACUGAUAAUAACCUGAUUGAAGAUCAAUCUUUGAAAACAUAGUAGCACCUUUCAGCUGAUCAAAUAAAUCAUCAAUCCGGGGUAACGGGUACUUAUUCUUUAUGGUUACUUUAUUAAGCUGCCAGUAGUCGAUACACAAUCUCAAAGACCCAUCUUUCUUUUUCACAAACAGAACCGGAGCACCCCAAGGUGAAUGACUCGGUCGAACAAAACCCCUGUCAACAAGCUCUUGUAACUGUGUCUUUAACUCUUUUAAUUCUAUAGGAGCCAUCCGGUACGAAGCUAUGGAGAUCGGAGUAGUUCCCGGAAUCAAAUCUAUAGAAAAUUCCACUUCUCUUUCUGGUGGCAAUCCUGGUAAUUCUUUUGGAAACACAUCAGAAAAUUCACAUACCACUGGAACUGCCUGUAUCUUUGACUCAGAUACCUUGGUGUCGAGUACAUAAGCCAAGUAAGCAUCAUACCCCUUUUUGACAUACCUCUAUGUUGCCAUUACUGAAAUCAUAUCAGAUAACCCCUCUGUCUGAUCAAAUUUAACCCGGAGCAAGUCACCAUUCUGACAUUUUAGCACAAUAUAUUUUUGUUUACAAUUUACUACCGCAUCACGCUGGGUUAACCAAUCCAUACCCAAUAUCACGUCAAAUUCAUCAAAUGGCAGUAACAUCAAAUCAGCUGGGAAACAAUAACCUCUUACCAUCAGUGGACAAUUUUUACAAAUUUUAUCCACUAACACAGACUGGCCCAGGGGGUUCGAGACUUUAACCACAAAUUCAGUAGGUUCAACAGAUAAAUUUUUAACAAUUGCAAGUUUAACACAUAUAUAUGAAUGCGUAGAACCAGGAUCAAUCAAUGCAGUAAUAUCAGUAUCAAGUAAAGAAAAUGUACCAGUAAUAAUAUCGGGUGCUGAAGCAUCUUCUCUGGCACGAAUGGCAUAUGUCCUAGCAGGUGCUCGUACCUCAGGCCUACCUAUAGUAUCUUUUGUAGCUCCUCGACUACCACUGACAUUACCGGAUGGUCGAGGUGCUCUGCCCCUCAAAACUAGAUUACUCGGCUUCGAUAUAUGUUCAACUUCUUUUUCAACCCUUUCUGGACAAUCUCUGAGGAAAUGGUCAAAAGAACCACAUCGGUAACAAGCCCCACUCUUAAAUCGGCAUUCACCAAAAUGAGCUUUAUUACAGUACUGACAUCUCGGUUUAGGAGUGCCAACACUGCCAACACUGGUCACUGAUGGAGUAGAAGGCCUUGGAUUAGUGCGUUGAGAACCUCGUUCUUUGCCCGAAUACCCAAUGGCUGAAGUAGAACGAUCCUGAUAUUUCUUCAAUUUCUUUGAAGCAGAAAACUGGGAUUUUCCCAUCGGUCUUUUACUAAAAAUUCGAGCUUCCCUCUCAGCCUGUUUCUUUUCUUUACUCAAUUCUUUUGCUUUAUAAGCUCUCUCUGCCAAUGUAGCAAACUCUCGAAUUUCAAGAAUUCCGAUCAGUAACUUAAUGUCUCCAUUCUACCCUUCUUUGAAUCGUUUGUACAUUUCAACUUCUGACUGUACCCAUUCUCGAGCAUAUUUACUCAAUCGAACAAAUUCUCUUUCAUAUUCAGAUACUGAUCUAUUGCCCUGUUUCAGCUCAAGAAAUUCUUUUCUUUUCUGGUCAAGGAAUCUCUGGCUGAUAUAUUUUUUUCUGAACUCGGUCUGAAAGAAUUCCCAUGUAAUUUCUUCUUUCGGAACAACUGAAGCUUUAGUAUUCCACCAAUGGUAAGCUGUAUCUUUUAGCAGUGAGACGGCACAUUUCAGACAUUCUUCUGGUGUACAAGAUAAUUCUUCCAGAACCCGAGUAGUAUUUUCUAACCAGAAUUCAGCCCGUUCAGAAUCAUCAUCAACUGCUGCUCGAAAUUCUUCGGCUCCAUAUUUCGAAUUUUAUCUACUGGAGCUUUCCCUUUUCUGACAGAUUCAGUACCUAUACCUUGUGGGAUCUCGGGAACCGGUGAAGGAGCAGGAGGGGGAGCUUGAACUUGCUGUACUACAGGGUUAGUUCUUAAGUAUUGAUUAAACCAUUCAUUCAUCAUUUGAAAGAAGGCUGUUUUUGCCUCCUCCCCUCGACCCUCUGUCUCGGGCCUUCUACUACUAGUUUCUUUUCUUUGUACUGAAGCCGGAGCAUGACUCCCAGCUUCCUCAGAUUGAGCUCGGUCGGAUGACAUUACUAUAAGAAAAACACAUUUUAAAUGGUCAGGAGAUAUCACACUAUCAAUAAUAAUUUAAAUGGCAUGUAUAGCUAAUCCCGUAUUUGCUACAUCGGUCCUAGAACCGGCUAAACCGUAGCUCUGAUACCAAUAAAUGUAAUACCCCUACCCGUAUUCAUUGCCGGAAUAGGAUACGAGAAAUUACCGGAGUUUACAAAUUAAUUUUUUUUUAAUUUUUUUUCAAUUCAACAUAUUUUCAUGAUAGAUUCAUGCAUUUAUAUAAGAUAACGUCAUCACAUAUCUAUAACCAGGUUUGUUAACCAUACUAAUGGCUAACUUUACAUUCAUUUCACGUUAACAUUUACUUUGUUAGCUUAUACAUGCCAUUGAUUUCCAAAAUAAAGUUUCUUUAUAUACCGAAAUCCUGAGGUUGACAGUGUGAUGUGUCUCCGACCAAAUCCGACCUCCGAGCUCUUAACACUACAAAACAGGAAAAAAGGAAACGGGGUAAGCACUUUGUGCUUAGUAAGCUCAUGUAACAAGAAUUAUACUUACCUAAUAUUUUUAAUACAAUAUAAUAAACAUUCAUAUAUCCAUUCAAUUCAUUAUUACCCUAACAUGCACAAACUCAACAUUCAAGUUAGUACAAUAAUUUCCAUGUAUCAAUAAUAUAUAUACCAUGAUUGAUGUACUCAUCAAUACCAUGAUUUUCAUUCCUUAUUAUUUUUCAUAUUUAUCCCGUUGAAUUUAUCGGAAUUUCGAUGGAUUUUCAGAGGUACACUUUUAGUGUACAAUUCUGGGUCCGUCAAUUCAUAUUCAUGUGCGCACAUUUCCAUUUCAGAGAGCACACUCCCGCGAACCUCAACCUUGUAGCGGGAUUACCAGUCCAGGCUAAAUCCCCUGCAAUAUAAACUCAUAGAGUAUUGUCGGGAUUACCAGUCCAGGCUAAAUCCCCUGCUACAAUUACUCUAAUGAGCUUGGAUCUGAAUUACCAGUCCAGGCUAAAUUCAGACAGUAAUUCAGAUUACCCGUCCGGGCUAAAUCCAUUUUACACAUAUUCUUCGGGAGGGCUAUAUCAGGAUCGGAUCACCCGUCCGGGCUAGAUCCUUUUUACCGUAAAUUCCUUUUCAGAGAUCCAUCGAAUUUUCCUUUCAUUCAAACGACAUUUCUUCCCAUUUUAUCAAAUAUAUCAAUGUUUCAUUAAUUUUCAUACAAUGAACACUCAAAUCAUAUUCACAUCAAAAACAUACAAUCUCAAGCAUUUCAGAAUAUAAUUUAAGUUACACGAACUAACCUUGAUACUUGUUUGUAAACAGUAAAAAUCUAUUAAUCCCGAACUUUUUCCUUUCCUCGAUCUAGCUUCGUAUUUGAAUCUUCUGGAUUUGGUGCAAAAAUUAUGAAAUACCAGCUUAGAGAACCCUCCUAUGGCAUUUUUAGCUGCUGGAAUUAAAGAGAAAUGAAGAGAAAUCUAGAUAUUUCCUAUUUAGUCCUAGUUUUAUUUAGUUAAUUUUGCAAUAUUCCAAUUUUACCCUUAAUUUAUCAAUUUUUCUACUGAUUUCAUACCUUGCCGUCCAGCCCAAAUAACUUUUGGGUCUAAUUGCCUUUUAUAUUCUUUCUCAUUAGACUAAUAAGCUAUUUAAUCACUCUAGCAACUUUUACACCUAUUACAAUUCAGUCCUUUUCAUUUAAUUGACUACCCAAACAUUAAAAUUUCCUAACGAAAUUUUAAUACCACAUUAAUAACAUUUCAUAAAUAUUUAUAAAAUUAUUUUUGACUCGGUUUUACGAGAUAAAGGUCCCGAUACCUUAUUUUACCCAAUUUCUUCAAUAAUUUCUUUUUCUAACUAAUCACUAAAUUGAUAAAAUUUUCCUAUCAAUAUUUUCAUACGAUUUUCCUAUCAUAUAAAUUUUCAAGCAAAAAUAUUGAAAUAAAUUUCUCUUUAAAUCGGAUUUGUGGUUACGAAACCACUGUUCCGAUAACAUUGAAUUUACGCCAUUACAUCGCAACCCAGCAUGUUAGGGCACUAUUUUCCGAAUUUCUAAACACCAAAUGUCGAAACCAUUUUCAAAUCGGGUUUUGGAAAAUGGGAAUCGAUUUUAAAAACGAAAACGGGAGUCGCCACCAGUCUUUUUAGGUGUGAUUGGAUCACCUUUAAAACAUUUUGUUUUAAAAUCAUUAGUUUUGGUCCACGAAAUAAAAGAACGGGUUCGGGAGUCGGUUACGUACGAGGAAGGAUUAGCACCCUCGUAACGCCCAAAAAUUUGUACCUAAUUGAUUAUCAAAUGUCUUUAAUGUCGGAAAUUAAAAAAAAAUUUUGAGAUGUAGUCCUCUUUAAAAUAUUUUAACUUUGAAAACUGGGAUUCACUCGCGUCAAAGUAUUGACAUUAAGUUAACCUUUUUUGAAAUUCCUAUCUCGAAACAGCAAAACGCUAUAUCCAAUAAGUUAGGACAUAUUACUUUGAAAUUCUAAGAUAGUGGCUUGCAUUUAGAAAACCUAAAAAACUUAGAAGGGUACUUAAUUAUUCGAAUUCAACGAGAAAAGUGGCAACCCAAUAAGAUAGGGCACUACUUUCUCGAAAUUUCCAAACACCAAGCAUUGCCUUACUUGCAAAAAAAAAUCUUAUCUCGAGGUAAUAAGAUGUCAUAUCCAAUGAGUUAGGACACAACACCUCAAAUAUCAGAGAGUAAGUGUUUUAUUUAACACUCGUAUUAUGAUUUAAAAGAAUAUGCCGUUAUUUAGGUUAAACGAGAAAAAUAGAAACCCAGUAAAUUAGGGCACGAUUUCCUGAAUUUCCAAAUACAGAAUGUUGCUUUACUAUAGAAAGCACACAAAUUUGUAAUUUAAAAGAAUGAUAAUAAUAUAAAUAUAAAUAAGUAUUGUAUUAAAUAAAAUAAUGAUACAAAUAAUAAAGAAUUCAAAGUUUGAAAUUAUAUAAAAGUAUAAACGAAUAAAUAAUAAAAAUGAUGAAAUGGAAUCAAUGUAUUAUAUAUAAAAGAAAUACGUAAGUGUAAAAAAAAAAACUAUAAUAAUAGUAAUAAUAGUUAUGAUGAAUGCAAUAAUAAUACUAAAUAUAACAAUAAUAAUAUUAAAAAUAAUAGCAAUAAAAAUAAGAAUAAUAACAAUGAUAAAAAAGGGUUUAAUAUAAAUAAUAUAUAUACAUAUGAUAAAAUAAAAAUGUAUAAAAGAGCUUGAAUGAAAAUUUAUAUAUAAAUAUGAUACAAAGUAAAAAAAAUUUUAAAAAAUAAGUAAUAUAUAGAAAGUUCAAAACAAAUAACAAUAAAAGAAUCUAAAAUCAUUAACAUAUAAAAGAUAUAUACAAAAGUUUAAUAUAAAUAACAUAUGAAAUUUUAAAAUUAAUAAUAGUAGAAAAGUUUAUAACAAAUAAUAUAAAAAAUUUAACGCGAUUAUCAUAAAAAACGAUAUAAUUAAAUAGCAUAUACGAAGUUUAAGAUAAAUAAUACAUAUAAAAUAGAUUAGGGUAACAUAUAUAUACAUAAAGCAAGUUAAGAUAAAUAAUAAGAAUGUGAACAAUCAACACAUAAAAAUAAGUUAGAAUAGAUGUAAAUAAGUAACAUAUAAAAUAUUUGAAAUAAUAUGUAAAUGAAACAAACAAAAAAAGGUUAAUAAGUGAAUUAAAUAGAUUUCGGUCAUGGCUAAAAAUAAAUUAAAAUUCGAGGCAUAAAAGUAUAAAUACUGAAAAGUUAGUUAAGGAUAAAAACGAAAACCAAAUAGGAUCUGAGGGCUAAAUUUAAAAACAAAAGAAAACACAAAAUAGAGCUGAUUGAAUGGGGGUUAAAAAGGGGAAGGACUAAUUGCAUAAAUCUUCCUUUUAGGGAGAAUGCACAAACCUCCCACUAUACCAAACGGCGUCACUUCAACAUCAUCAUUUAAAUCAAAAUCUUCUCUUUUUUUUACUACAUUUCCAGCUCUUUUUUUUAAACAAAACAGAAAGCUUUUUUUUUUUUUUGCUUUCUCUCCCCUUUUCUCCCCCUGUUUCUCUCCUUUUGGCUAGGGUUUUAAGACCCAUCCUUGCUGCCGUCGUCCCGACUCCACCAUGGGUGGUGGUUAAAACUGCAAGGAACGUUUUUGGGCCCGUUUCAGAGCCAUUCAAAGGCCACGUUUCCUUUAGCCCAAAGACAAGAAGGAAGGAGAUCCUUUUACCCCUUUUAGAAUCGGCUCCGCCGACGGAGAUGAGGCUCCGACGGCGCGACUCCGGUACGGUCCAGGUAUUUGUUUUACUUCCUUUUUGUUUAGAGAAUAAAUGUCUAAAAAAAUAUGAUAUGAAAUGUAAAAAAUACGAAAAGAACAUGAAAAUAGAAAUCGAAAUCAACCUUUUCUCCUUUUUUGCUUUUUGAUUGCUUAAUAUGCGUGAUACAUUUUUGUAUAUCGAAUCCGCCCCUUUAAAAUGAUAGAUUUUGGCUUUUUAAAGCCGAUCUACGAAACAUUCAUCUCCUAUUUUUUGUUUUCGUUCUUUUGUUUAUUCUUUCCCCCAUCCCUCGCAUGCUUUCUCUUGCUGUUGUUUUUGUCUCUGUUGCAGGUGUGUUAGGUGUGGGUGGUGCACGUGAUGGCCAAGCGUUUGAACGUGCUGCCCAAGCACUUGAGGAGCGGCGGCUGAAAGAGGGGCUGGGGUUUUUGCUGCUGCAAAUGUUUAGUUUUUUGUGUUAGUAUUUUGAAUUGGGCUAGGUUUGGGUAGGUGCAUUUAGGUUUGGGAUUUGGAGGUUGUUGGGUUUUGGGGUCAUACUGGGCCUGGUCAAGGAUUGGGUCGUACAGCUGCCCCUCUUUGCUCAUUGUCGUGUAACGAGAAUGGUGCAAAGACUAUAAAAAGACCAAUUUUGCCCGGGCUCGCCGAGUAUUGAGCUCUUGAUCCUUGAUCUUCUUUAAAUGGCCUCUUGACGGCUUCAAUCUGCUUCACUGCAACUCAGGAAGGCGAUUUCUGCUAUCUUUGAUCUGCUCCCCGUCUAAUACAGAGACGCCAAAUCAUCUUAGAUCCACUUCAAUGAAAUCAUCUGAAGGUUGGAUCUGCUAUGUAUCUGCUCUCCGUCGAAAUGGAGAUGCCAGAUCUGUUAUCUUGAAUCUGCUUUGGUGUGGGAACAUCUGAAAGUCAAAUCUGCUAUGUCUUCGAUUUGUUCCUUGUAAACAUAAGGACGCCUAACCAUCUUGGAUCUUGCUUCAGUAUAAACAUCUGAAGGUCAGAUCUGCUAUGUAUCUGCUCUCCAUUGAAGUGGAGAUGCUAGACUUCGAUUUGUUCUCUGACACUACAGAGAUGGCAAAUCAUCUUAGAUUUGCUUCAUCGUAAACACGUGAAAGCCAAAUCAGCUAUGUCUUCGAUUUGCUCCUUGUGAGCACAAGGAUACCAAACCAUCUUGGAUCUGCUUCAGCAUAAACAUCCGAAGGCGAGAUCUGCUAUGUGUUUGCUCUCUAUCAAAUUGAAGAUGCCAAACUUCGAUUCAUUCUCUGACAAUACAGAGACGACAAAUCAUCUUAGAUUUGCUUCAUCGUAAAUACAUGAAAGCCGAAUCAGCUAUGUCUUCGAUCUGCUCCUUGUAAGCAUAAGGAUACCAAACCAUCUUGGAUCUGCUUCAGCAUAAACAUCUAAAGGCGAGAUCUGCUAUGCUGCAGCCUAUUACCCUACUGCUUUGGGUUUUAAAGCGCGCCGUCUCUGAUAACCUGUAAAAUGAUUAUGCUUGAUAAUUUAGGAUGCUAUGCUUGAAGUGAGUCAAAUGUUCCUAAUUAAACAUGUUAUGAUGCAGAAUGUCAUGAAUACGCCCCCUAUCCAAGACAUCAUCAUUCAUUCCUUCAUUUGCCUUUCUUUUCUCAAAGUAGUCAAUUACUACAAAGAUAAAUCGAUGUCCAUUCGAAGCUUUUGGUGAUAUUAGUCCAAUGACAUCCAUGACCCACAUGGAAAAGGGCCAUGGAGAAGUCGUAACAUGUAGAGGUGAAGGUGGUACAUGUAUCUUGUCUCCAUAAAUCUGACAUUUAUGACAUUUCUUGGCGUAGUUGAUACAAUCCCCUUCCAUGGUAGACCAAUAAUAUCCAAAUCUCAUGAUUUGUCUAGCCAUCGUGAACCCAUUUGCAUGUGUCCCGCAUACGCCUUCAUGAACUUCUUCUAAAAUUAGCUUAGCUUCCAUAGCAUCAACACAUCUCAAAAGUACCUGGUCUUUCCUUCUCUUGUACAGGAUAUCCCCGUCUAAGACAUAGUCGCAUGCUAGCCUUCUCAACGUUCGUUUGUAAUUUUCAUUAGUCGGUUCAGGGUAUUUACGAUCCCUCACAUAUCGUAAUAUAUCCUGAUACCAAGGGUUAUCAUCCUCUUCUUCUUUCUCAAUGUUGCAACAAUGUGCUGGAGCCUCGUAGACACUCAUUUGAAUUGGUCUUAUCUCUUCUUCUUUAUUCGCCUUAAUCAUUGAGGCCAAGGUUGCUAAAGCGUCUGCCAUCUGAUUUUUGUCUCGUGGGAGAUAAUUGAAGGUGAUGUCAUCAAACUCCUCAAGUAACCCCAAAACUACCUUUUGAUAAUUAAUCAAUUUAGGGUCCCUUGUUUCCCAUUCACCUCUAAGCUGAUAAACAACCAACGCCGAAUCUCCAUAUACUUCUAGGGUUUUUAUACCUCGCUCUAUAGCUGCUUGAAGUCCCAUGAUGCAUGCUUCAUAUUCAGCCAUAUUGUUUGUGCAAUCAAAUUCCAACUUGCACAUAAAAGGAUAAUGAACGCCAUUCGGAGAUACCAAGAUUGCCCCAAUUCCAUUUUCUACUGCAUUAGAAGCCCCAUCAAAAUUGAGCCUCCAAGAAGAAUUUUCAGUCAUUGCUAUACACAUCAACUCCUCAUUUGGAAAAUCGAAGUUCAAUGGCUCAUAAUCCUCUAGAGCCCUACUGGCUAAGAAAUCUGCUAUCGCACAUCCUUUUAUAGCCUUCUAACUUAUGUAGAUUAUAUCAAAUUCUGAAAGCAAAAUUGGCCAUCUCGCCAUUCUUCCAUUCAGAGCCGUUGACUCCAUCAUGUAUUUCAAUGGAUCAAGCUUUGAGAUGAGCCAAGUGGUAUGGUAUAACAUGUACUGUCUUAAUCUCCGAGUUGUCCAAAUCAGAGCACAACAUAAAUUUUCAAUCGGUGAAUAUCUCAUCUCACAGUCAGUGAAUUUCUUAUUGAGAUAAUAGAUUGCCUUCUCCUUUUUUUCUGACUCAUCAUGCUGACCAAGCACACAUCCCAUAGAAUUACUGAACACUGAUAAGUACAGUAUUAUUGGUUUAUUUGGGCUGGGUGGAGACAAUACCGGAGCAUUCAACAAAUACUGUUUGACCUUUUCAAAAGCAUUAUGGCAUUCCCCAUCCCAAAUACCUUGAUUGUGCUUUCUGAGGAGGCGAAAUAUAGUAUCACAUUUCUCGGUUAGUUGUGAAAUGAACCGAGCAAUGUAAUUCAACCUUCCUAGGAAUCCUCGAACUUCUUUUUGAGUACGUGGUGGAGGUAAUUCUUGUAUGGCUCUGACCUUGUCUGAGUCGACUUCAAUUCCUUUUUCACUGACUACGAAGCCUAACAACUUUCCGGAUCUGGCUCCAAAGGUACACUUUGCUGGAUUGAGCUUCAACUGAAAUUUUCUCAACCUUACAAACAAUAUUCUCAAGACCUCAAUAUGCUCUUUUUCCGUACGUGACUUGGCAAUCAUAUCAUCAACGUAUACCUCAAUAUCCUUAUGCAUCAUGUCGUGGAACAAGUUCACCAUGGCCCUUUGGUACGUUGCCCCUGCGUUUUUUAGUCUAAAUGGCAUUACUUUAUAGCAAAAGGUGCCCCACAAGGUUAUAAAUGUGGUCUUAUCCAUGUCCUCUGGAUGCAUCUUUAUCUGGUUGUAUCCUGAGAAACCAUCCAUAAAGGAGAACAAUGUAUAUCCCGCUGUGUUAUCUACUAAAGUGUCAAUGUGGGGUAAAGGAAAAUUAUCCUUUAGGCUUACUUUAUUCAAGUAUCUGUAAUCAACACACAUUCGUACUUUCCCAUCCUUCUUGGGAACAGACACAAUGUUAGUUACCCAUUCGGAGUACUUCACUUCUUGCAAGAAUCCCGCAUCAAACUGCUUCUUGACUUCGUCCUUUAUUUUCAAAACGAUAUCUGGCAUCAUUCUUCGCAACUUCUGUUGGACUGGCUUACAAUCCUGUCUUAUCGGAAGACGAAGUACCACAAUGUCAGUACUCAAUCCAGGCAUAUCCUGAUAUGACCAGGCGAAGAUAUCUUUAAACUCUCGAAGCAACUCAACCAGACCAUGCCUUGUGUCCAUGCCAAUUAGGGUUCCAAUUUUCAACUCCUUCCCUUCCUCUAGGGCUAUAUUCUCUAUUGCUUCUUUCUCAUGUGGCAUGAUUUGCUUCUCCUCCUGCUUAACCAUUCUUAACAGAUCGAGAGAUACGUCACAAUCUUGAACAUCUUGAAAAUCCUGAGGUUCCUCUAAACCCAUGUCUUGCUUGCUAGAGAAAUUAGGAGCUGUAGUAUCAGUGCUCAUAUCGUUGAUAUCUAGGGACCUGUGCGGGUAUGAAAGAAUAUACAAAGAAUGAAUGAAUCGAAGAAUGAUUGUUUAUGUUCUAUGAAUAAAAGAAUAAGAAUUACUAGAAUUUGAAGGAAUAUUGGUCGAUAAAAAUAGAACAAUACUUGUUUAAAUUGAUAAAAAGUUAUGUUUUAUUUAAAUAAUUAUAGAUGAACAUAAGCCUAUUUCGCGAAUAUAAUCUUACUACUCCUAGGCCCUAGAGUAACAGACAUGUUUUGAGAAUUACUCUGAAAAAUUUUUAAAGACUACAGGAAGGUCUUCCGCAGUCCAAUUAUUCAGAGAGCUCCCCGGUUCGUAAGGGCGAAUGCCCUCGAGGCUUCCUUGCUCCGAUCCUUCAUUGUGCACAACAUUAACUUGAUGACUUUCCUUUAUCAGCAGUCCUCCUGAUUUGAAGGAUUUGGAUAUAGGUGGGAAUGUCAUCGGUUCCCACUCCACUUCUCUUCCAUUUAAACGCGCCUUUUUUCUCGCUUGGCGCUUCUCUAUUUCCUGCCUCUUGUGCUUGUGGUCUGGCUUGAAGCCUAAGCCAAAGCGGUCCUUCUUCUCAAUCAGUUUUUGGAUUUGAACCCCUCCUUGCAACUGUCUUCCUAUUCCUUUUCCCGGCAAUGCUCAUUUCCCCAUCAUCAUUUGUAGGGCCAUCCUUGUGGCUCCAGACAUUUUGGGUACCGGCACUUUGCUUCCUUCCAAAAUGAAGGUGGCAUUAAUAACCUCUAAAGAGCGGAAAGAACAUUCAAUAGCCUCUUCAUUUGCCUCAACAUAAGGGGCCUUGCUGGUAACUGCCGCUAUGAUGUCCUCUUCCGCAUUGAUGGUUAUUAAGCGACCAUCUGUCACUAACUUUAAUUUUUGGUGAAAUGAAGAGGGCACCGCUCCUGCCGAGUGUACCCAUGGUCUCCCCAAUAAACAAUUGUAGGAGGGCUUGAUAUCCAUUACUAGGAAAUCAACUUCAUACGUAUUCGGCCCAAUCUCUAGAGGGAUGUCAACUCAUCCCAUUACUUUUCUUUCAGUUCCAUCAAAGGCUCUUACCACAUUAUGACACAUUUUCAUAUGCGAACUGUCAAUUGGCAAUCUGUUCAGGGUGGAUAGCGGCAAGACGUUUAAAGCAAACCCAUUAUCCACGAGUACACUUGGAAGUGUGUAUCCUUUGUACCGAGUAGUGAUGUGUAGGGCUUUGGUUGACCCUAUGCCCCCAGGUGGAAUUUCAUCAUCAUUAAAAUAAAUGAAAUUGUCAGCACUAAUGUUGUUUACUAACCGGUCUAGCUUGUUAACGGAUAUGUCAUGGGUAACAUAUGUUUCGUUAAGCACCUUUAACAACGCAUCUCGAUGUACCUCAGAAUUCAAGAGUAGGGCUAACACUGAAAUACGCGCCGGCUGCUUGCGCAACUGCUCGACCACACUAUACUCGCUAUGUUUCAGGAAUUUUAAAAACUCCUUAACCUCUUCCUCCUUUACCGGCUCAUUGAUGAGUACUUCAGUCUCCUUCUUCCUUUCAGCCUCGACAUCUUUCGUCUUUGGGGGCUUUACUAUGAUAUUCCCCCCGUUAUAACGUUUCCCACUUCGUGUAUGGGAACCUUCAUUUUGCGUGCCCCUAGACGCGCUAGCUAUACUCUCCCCCUCAGGUAUUGUUAUGUUGCAGUCAUAGCUCCAUGGCACCUCCUAUCAUCCUUGUAAGGGAAAGGAUUGGGUUUAUGGAUGACUAUUUUGGGCCCAGUUUGCGACCCCUUCUUAUUAUUCCCUAGCAAGGAAAUAAUAAUUCUCAGUUGGUUGGUUCUUUGUCGUUCAUUCUCUAGCACACAUAUUUGUCCUUCAUAAGAAUUACCCUCAGAAACCUGCAACUCUUUGUUAACUAUAAGGCCUUGUACCAUGACCUUGAACUCUUCACAAUUUUGGAUCAUAUGACCCCCCUCCCCAUGGAACUCACAAUGGUUCUCUAUUCCUUUUCCUCCUUUUCUAGAAGUCAGCAUACCUCUCCUUACCAUCUCCUCCUAUAUUACCUUCAUAGGUGUCUUCACCUCAGCAAUGUCUUCCUUGAUUUUUCUUUUCUUUGUUUCAUCAAUGGCAUUCACUCCUUGAUUGCCAUGAUCCGGUAACGGGCUUUCAGUAUUAGGGGUACUAUCAAAUUUCACAACCCCCAUUUUGAUGAGCCUCUCCACGACCUUCUUGAACCCAGUGCAGUUUUCAAUUGAAUGCCCCGAUAUUCCCGCGUGAUAUUCACAUUUAGCAUUUGUAUUAUACCAUUUGGGGUAUGGUGGCUGCAGCGGUUUCAAGUGAAAUGGAUCAAUGGCAUGUACAUCGUAUAAGCUUUGAUAAAGCUCACGAUAUGUCACCGGGAUAGAAGUGAAUUGCAUCCUCUCCGAAUUCUAUCUUGUACCCGAUUCCUAUCUUUGAGUACUUUGUUGUUCACCCGUAGCUGCUUUAGGUUGUUCAACUGUGAUUACCCUAGAAUUGAAGCUGUUCAUGUUAUUUACCUCAUUGUCUUUUCUCCUUGGGGUCGAUCUUUUAGCCACUUCCCCCUCGAUUUUACCGCCUCUCACGGCAUUCUCAAUCAUCUCACCCGCCAUAACUAUAUCCGAGAAACUUUUCGUGGUACUUCCGAUCAUAUGUGUGAUGAAUUACGCCUUCAAAGUAUUAAUAAAUAACAUGAUGGUUUCCUUUUCCAACAAUAGUGGUUGUACUUGCAUUGCCACCUCCCUCCAUCGUUGAGCAUAUUGCCUAAAACUUUCAUUAGGUUUUUUCUCCAUGUUUUGAAGUGUGAUCCUAUCUGGUGUCAUAUCGUCACAUGGUUAUACUGUUGCAUGAAAGCCUGUGCAAGAUCUCUCCAUGACCCGAUUCUUGCACGGCUCAACUGAUUGUACCACCUAGCCGCCGCUCCCAUUAGGCUGUCCUGAAAAAAAUGGAUCAAUAGUUGAUCGUUGUUCACAUAGCCAGUCAUCCUUCUACAAAAUAUUGUUAUGUGUGCCUCUAGGCAAGUAGUCCCGUUGUACUUUUCAAACUUUGGCAUCUUAAAUUUAUGAGGAAGCACCAAAUCUGGAACCAAACUUAAGUCUUUGGCAUCGAUCCCAUGAUAAUUGCCAGUGCCUUCUAAAACCCUAAACUUCUCCUCUAAUCACCUGCAACGAUCUUCCAAUUGUUUCGAGGAUUCAGUGGCCAUUCUUUCCUUCUCCAUUAAAUCCAGAUCAGGAGUAAUAGGGUUGACCGAGCUAUCACCCAAAUUAUUUCCCAACCCAGAUGGGAAAUUUAUAGGGAUUCAAGCAUCCACUGGCCUAUGUUGAGGCCUCACUGUGACAGAUGGCCUUCUAGGAGGUGCCUCGGUUUGCAGGGGCAUAUGAAGCGGGGUAAAACCCGGAGGAGGACCUUCAUUCUCUUCUUCAGUGAUCGCCAUGAGAGCUUUUCCUUUAUCAAUGGCUCUAAGUAGCUGAGUCAUUUCAGCCAUCAUGUUUCUCUGAGCCUCUUGCAUCUGCUUCCUCAUUUCAUUCUGCAUUUUGGCCAACUGCUCUUGCAUUUGAUCUUGCAUAUCUUUUUGUAAUUGCUCGAACCUUUGAUCCAUGUUCUUAGUUUUAGUACGAGUGCCGUAAGGAUAUGUGAUUUCCAGGUUUUCUUUUCUACCUUUGGAAAGUAAACUUCAGCUUAUCAGGGUCUUUCUAUAACUUUGAAUGCAAAUGAUGUGAUGAAAUUUUAUGAGAUGCAAAUGAAUGAAUGCAAAAAGAAUAUCGAUUCUGGUUCAACUUCAUUUAGAAAAUUUUAUUUAGAAAAAGAAUAUCUUUACAUAUAAGAGGAUUACAAAUACGCUUUCGCCCCAAGGCCCAAAGCUUUAACUCUAUCUAAUAAAAGGGCUAACUCUCGUCCUACAUCUGACGAUGAUGAAUACAUCAGACUCAAAACGCCAACUCGAAUUGCCAAGUCUUGCACAUACUCAGCAACCUCUCGAAUCUGGGCUAUGGCUUCACCAAUGACAUGAUCCAUUUUUCUAACCUGUUCUUUAGCCUGGUGUAGCUCUCCUCUCAGAUAAUCCUUUUGCGCCUUGAGCUACUCAACCCAGAGUUCACCGUCAUACCACGCCUUCUCCAAAUCUUCAACCUUUCUUCUUAGCUCCUUUAACUCAACCGUAGAAUUAUGGUUUUGGUGCCAACGCAGGGAUUUUCCAAGUUCCAUUACCUUGGUCUUCAAUCCUUUAUUCUCUUCCUCUAAUGCCAAAUUCUGCACCUGCAUCUCUUGGAAUUUCCUCUCCCAGUACUCAGCUCUAGUCUUUUCCUCUUGGACCUCCUUCUACAACUGAUCUGAAGAUCCUCCUGCUUUCGCCCUCCUCAAGGCUACUUGUGCCUUUUGUAAUGCUACUUUAGAUCAUCUCGAUCUUCCCCAAUCUUUCCUUUUUCUUUCCUCUCUUUCUCAACUUUCAUCUUCUGAACAUCAACUUCUAAACUCAAGUACAUCUUUUAUUCCUCGAGCUUUGCUACCCUCCUCUCGAAUUCCAAGCUUUGUCUCUCAAACUCCUGCUUUAUAAUUUCUAACUCUAAGGGCCUUACUUGCAAAUAUUCCUCCAUUGGUCGAGCUCCUUCCAUACUUGGCUUAGGGAUAUUAUCAUUAACCCUUCUACGUCUCCAUUUUAUGUAUUCCGGUGUCGUAGCGGGGCUAAUAGCUACUCCUCUCAAUCGACAAGUCUUCUUCCAAGCACUAGAAACUUCACUAACCCUCCUCUUGUAAUCGGCUCCUCUAUAUACAAACUCACUUUGAGCCAACCCCUGAGUCGCUAGUAUGAACUGUCUCAAUCCAUGCUGCCUCAGUACGAGCAAAGGGGCAUAGCCAAUGGCACCCAAAUUCCCAAUAGGGGUACCCAAUCAAAACUACCGCAUCGGUAAAGAACCUCACCAGGCGUCAUCCACGGAGUCCUCCACUCGACAUCUUUCGACUGAAGGUUCUGAAGUAGCGCUGUCAAAUUCUCUUCUGGAACAUCAACUCUCCUGGUUGAAGCUACUAUAUCUUUCAACGGUGAGUAAUCCUCAAAGAAAACUCGACAAACCACCCUAUCUAUCAACCGAAAAUGACUGUAGAACCAAGCCAAAAGCAACUGAGCACACCCUAUUAACCUGCCAGCACCAGCCCUCCUACAUGCACCUAAAGACCUAAAUGUUUCCGCCAAAAUUACAGGGACAGAAGGGACCUUUUUACUGAGUCGAUGAAAAAGAUCGGUGGUUGCCUCAUCCACAUAUCCCAAAGCCCUAGGGAAAACCAUCAAUCCAUAUAAACUUAAGGCAAAAACAUCUACCUUCUUUGUCUCAUCAGGGUGUGUCAGAAUCAAAUCUUUCAAAGCGUCCCACGAAAUGCACUUGCACUCACCCUUUUCUAUAAUUCGGGCUGUGGCCCACUGCUCGCUCAUCCUCGUAGUAAUCAUCAAUUUCUUCCAAAAGGUAGGGACACAGGGACCUCGGGAAUAGAUUCUAUCAUUCUGAAACCGGGGACAACGAAGUAAAGCAGUGUACUCUUCCACAGUAGGUACCAUGUCUACUUCCCCAAAAGUGAAGCAACUGUACGCCGGGUUCCAAAACUGAGCAAGGGCUCGAAAUAAGUGCUCGUCUAUUUGAACAUCAAGCAAGUAAGGUAAGUCUCCAUAGUUAUCGUAGAAUAACUGCUUGGUCCCAUUACCCCACUGAUCCCAAAUUUCUUUAAGCUCUUGGAGAUUAUUCUGCGUGACGCUAAUACGAAUGUAAUCUGACAACUCCGAUAUGUAUCCCUCAGCUAUACUAUCUCCCUUUUCUAGUUGAGUUUGCUCGGACCAUCUAUGGACGUUAACAUUGCCUUCCACUCUAUCAAGAAGUCCGUUCUCCAUAAUAAAACUUCCUAACUUAGAAACUGACCGUGAAUCGAUACCUUUAUAAAUGUAAAAUGACAUGCAAACAAAAGAAAAGAAGUAGUCAGUAUUGCAUGAUAUCAAUAAAUCUCAACGAUAGUUUAUAAGGGUAAUAUCUAAGGUUUAAUCCUAACUAAGUUGUUUUCUUACGGUUUUUCUAUAUGAGGUUGGUUCUAAAGUUUGAGGUACCUGAAUCAACAGAUUCCUCUAUUCUCACCCAUUAUAGGCUCAUUUGAAUCGAGUUCGGUUCAGGGGAAUACAUUUCCCUAUGGCUACACGGAGAUGAAAAUCUCACGAAACCAUAGAUUCGGACGUAUCCCGAAAGUGAUCUACUAUCUUGCACGGAGGCGAAAACCUCACGAAGGCAUAGCUUCUCACUCCCACUUAAGGGUGUGACCACAACGGUCAUGCAAAUGCAGUGCAUAUCAGGAUAUAUCAACACAUGCAAUAAUACAAACACAUGUAAUGCAAAGAGAAUUAAAUUUUAAAAUUUUUAAUUUUCGACAUUAAGACAAAGAAUAAUCAAUUACACGGCUUGACUCUCUUAUUCAUCCCCAAUGGAGUCGCCAAGCUGUCGAAACCAUUUUCAAAUCGGGUUUUGGAAAAUGGGAAUCGAUUUUAAAAAUGAAAACGGGAGUCGCCACCAGUCUUUUUAGGUGUGAUUGGAUCACCUUUAAAACAUUUUGUUUUAAAAUCAUUAGUUUUGGUCCACGAAAUAAAAGAACGGGUUCGGGAGUCGGUUACGUACGAGGAAGGAUUAGCACCCUCGUAACGCCCAAAAAUUGGUACCUAAUUGAUUAUCAAAUGUCUUUAAUGUCAGAAAUUAAAAAAAGUUUUGAGAUGUAGUCCUCUUUAAAAUAUUUUAACUUUGAAAAUUGGGAUUCACUCGCGUCAAAGUAUUGACAUUAAGUUAACCUUUUUUGAAAUUCCUAUCUCGAAACAGCAAAACGCUAUAUCCAAUAAGUUAGGACAUAUUGCUUUGAAAUUCCAAGAUAGUGGCUUGCAUUUAGAAAACCUAAAAAACUUAGAAGGGUACUUAAUUAUUCGAAUUCAACGAGAAAAGUGGCAACCCAAUAAGAUAGGGCACUACUUUCUAAAAAUUUUGAAACACCAAGCAUUGCCUUACUUGCAAAAAAAAAUCUUAUCUCGAGGUAAUAAGAUGUCAUAUCCAGUGAGUUAGGACACAACACCUCAAAUAUCAAAGAGUAAGUAUUUUAUUUAACACUCGUAUUAUGAUUUAAAAGAAUAUGCCGUUAUUUAGGUUAAACGAGAAAAAUAGAAACCCAGUAAAUUAGGGCACGAUUUCCUGAAUUUCCAAAUACAGAAUGUUGCUUUACUAUAGAAAGCACACAAAUUUGUAAUUUAAAAGAAUGAUAAUAAUAUAAAUAUAAAUAAGUAUUGUAUUAAAUAAAAUAAUGAUACAAAUAAUAAAGAAUUCAAAGUUUGAAAUUAUAUAAAAGUAUAAACGAAUAAAUAAUAAAAAUGAUGAAAUGGAAUCAAUGUAUUAUAUAUAAAAGAAAUACGUAAGUGUAAAAAAAAACUAUAAUAAUAGCAAUAAUAAUUAUGAUGUAUGCAAUAAUAAUACUAAAUAUAACAAUAAUAAUAUUAAAAAUAAUAGCAAAAAAAAUAAGAAUAAUAACAAUGAUAAAAAAGGGUUUAAUAUAAAUAAUAUAUAUACAUAUGAUAAAAUAAAAAUGUAUAAAAGAGCUUGAAUGAAAAUUUAUAUAUAAAUAUAAUACAAAUUUUUUUUAAAAAAAAAUAAGUAAUAUAUAGAAAGUUCAAAACAAAUAACAAUAAAAGAAUCUAAAAUCAUUAACAUAUAAAAGAUAUAUACAAUAGAUUAAUAUAAAUAACAUAUGAAAUUUUAAAAUUAAUAAUAGUAGAAAAGUUUAUAACAAAUAAUACAAAAAAUUUAACGCGAUUAUCAUAUAAAACGAUAUAAUUAAAUAGCAUAUACGAAGUUUAAGAUAAAUAAUACAUACAAAAUAGAUUAGGGUAACAUAUAUAUACAUAAAGCAAGUUAAGAUAAAUAAUAAGAAUGUGAACAAUCAACACAUAAAAAUAAGUUAGAAUAGAUGUAAAUAAGUAACAUAUAAAAUAUUUGAAAUAAUAUGUAAAUGAAACAAACAAAAUUAGGUUAAUAAGUGAAUUAAAUAGAUUUAGGUCAUGGCUAAAAAUAAAUUAAAAUUCGAGGCAGAAAAGUAUAAAUACUGAAAAGUUAGUUAAGGAUAAAAACGAAAACCAAAUAGGAUUUGAGGGCUAAAUUUAAAAACAAAAGAAAACAGAAAAUUGAGCUGAUUGAAUGGGGGUUGAAAAGGGGAAGGACUAAUUGCAUAAAUCUUCCUUUUAGGGAGAGUGCACAAACCUCCCGCUAUACCAAACAGCGUCACUUCAACAUCAUCAUUUAAAUCAAAAUCUUUUCUUUUUUUUACUACAUUUCCAGCUCUUUUUUUUAAACAAAACAGAAAGCUUUUUUUUUGCUUUCUCUCCCCUUUUCUCCCCCCGUUUCUCUCCUUUUGGCUAGGGUUUUAAGACCCAUCCUUGCCGCCGUCGUCCUGACUCCACCAUGGGUGGUGGUUAAAACCACAAGGAAUGUUUUUGGGCCCGUUUCAGAGCCAUUCAAAGGCCACGUUUCCUUUAGCCCGAAGACAAGAAGGAAGGAGAUCCUUUUACCCCCUUUAGAAUCGGCUCCGCCGACGGAGAUGAGGCUCCGACGGCGCAACUCCGGUACGGUCCAGGUAAUUGUUUUACUUCCUUUUUGUUUAGAGAAUAAAUGUCUAAAAAAAAUAUGAUAUGAAAUGUAAAAAAUACGAAAAUAACAUGAAAAUAGAAAUCGAAAUCAACCUUUUCUCCUUUUUUGCUUUUUGAUUGCUUAAUAUGCGUGAUACAUUUUUGUAUAUCGAAUCUCCCCUUUAAAAUGAUAGAUUUUGGCUUUUUAAAGUCGAUCUACGAAACAUUCAUCUCCUAUUUUUUGUUUUCGUUCUUUUGUUUAUUCUUUCCCCCAUCCCUCGCAUGCUUUCUCUUGCUAUUGUUUUUGUCUCUGUUGCAGGUGUGUCAGGUGUGGGUGGUGCACGUGAUGGUCAAGCGUUUGAACAUGCUGCCCAAGCACUUGAGGAGCGGCGGCUGAAAGAGGGGUUGGGGUUUUUGCUGCUGCAAAUGUUUAGUUUUUUUGGCUAGUAUUUUGAAUUGGGCUAGGUUUGGGUUGGUGCAUUUAGGUUUGGGCUUUGGAGGUUGUUGGGUUUUGGGGUCAUAUUGGGCCCGGGAAAGGAUUGGGUCAUACACCAAACAUUGCCUUAUUUAAGAAAAAAACUUU
rnacentral:lncRNA from 1 species